UUUUUUUUGGGCGGCAGAUGGGAUGGUGUACGGGGGAUGGCUUGUGGAGGAAGACUCAAAACAGGGGAAGGAAGCGAAAGAAAGGCAGGAAAAAAAGUGUUGGAGGACGGGGGGGAUACCUUGCUCAAGGAGAAAACUUUCAGGUAAAAUUUUCUGUGAACUCCAUGUUUCUUCGUUAUGACAUUAUUGUGCUCACUUCUUUUGUUGAUUCCAGGAUGUGAUUUGUUGGUCGGUUUGGAUGUCAUGGAUUAUUGGUUUAUUUUUGCUGAAUUUAUCCGUGUGCGGAGGUGCUCUGUUUGACUCUAUUCUGGUUUCCCUAACUCCUUCCAUAAGCACCUGAAUGUAUGAAUUCAUCCCUGAGCCCGAUUAUAUAAAAAUCAUGCUUUGUUCCCUGUGGUUUCUUCCCUCUGUUUGUUGCUCUAUUCCUUGUUGGUUGUGGGAAUGAGGUCAUCGAUGGCCAGGUUAUCGAAACUGGGGAAGUGACUUCGUGAACGGAUCACCUUCUAUGCACCCAUCUCAUCUUUCUCAUUCACUCAUCACGGCUACACUUCCAUGAUUACACCAUCCUCAGUCAAAUACAUAUCUCCAUACCCAUUUUUCACCUUUCCCGUACCUUCCUCACCUAUCCAUCACACCCAUCGUCAUAUCUAGUUCAUCACUAACCCAUUUUCCUCUCGCCAGCCGUGGUUAUGCUUCGUCCAUCUCAUGCAUACGAUCCCUCACUACUAUUCCUAUAUUCUCAUCCUUCCAAACUCCUCAACACAACACCUAACCCUCAUACCUGCACCCCGCCAUGCCCGCGCCUAGCUCACCCCCAUAGGAACCUCAAAGCCGUUCGCCUACUUGCAUGGGAGCCAUGCAUGCCGCCCCUCCCCGCGUCUUCCUGCACCGGCUAUGUGCGCGCCUGCACCAGCCACCAAUGGCGGCAGCGCCUUCUGGACGUCGCCAGGCCGCUGCCACCUGCUCCGGCAACGCGCGCGCCUGCACCAGCAGCCAUGGCGGCGGCACCUUCUGAACGUCACCAGACCGCCGCCACGGCUCCCCUCUUCCCCGCGCCGCCGCUGCUCCUCUUUUCCCCGCGCCGCCAUGGCUCUCCUCUUCAUCGUGCCGCCGGUGGAGUCUUCGCGGGUGGAGAGGCAAUUGGUGAAGAGAAGCUUUGCCCAUGAUGGUUUUUGGGCUUGGGUUUGAACUGGGAACCCAGGCCCAAGCCUAUGAAGAGAAGCCCAGGUUUAUGAAGGCUUUAAUUGCCUUGGGCUUGCCCAUUAAUAUCAUAUGGAUUGGGCUUGAUGAGGAUGGGGCUUAUUGGUGGAUUUGGGCUUGACUAGGUUUGGGCUUUAUUAGGGUUGCUGAUGGACUGGGUUUGGGCUCUAUUAUUAUUAUUAAUUCAACAUUUAAAAUACUAUUAUUAUCAUUGUUAUUAAUCAAACUUUUAAAAAUCUUAUUAUUACUAUUAUUAUUAUUACGUUUAUCAUUAUUAUUAUUUCUAUUCAACAUUUAAAAUAUUAUUAUCAUUAUUAUUAUUAAUUCAACAUUUAAAAUAUUAUUAUUAUCACUAUCAUUAAUCCAAACUUUCAAAACCCUAUAAUUAUUAUUACUAACCCAAAUUUCAAAAUCUAUUUAUUUAUUAUUAUUUAUUAUUAUCAUUAAUCCAAAUUUCAAAAUCUAUUUAUUAUUGUUAUCCUUAUCAUUAAACCCAACCUCCAAAAUCUCAUCAUUAUCAUUAUUAUUAAUUCAAACUUUCAACACCUAUUUAUUAUUAUUUAUUAUUAUCAUCAGUCCAAACCUCCAAGAUCUCAUCAUUAUUAUUAUAAUUAACUCAACUUUCAAAAUUUAUUUAUUAUUAUUAUCAUCAUUAAUCCAAGCUUUCAAAAAUCUCAUCAUUAUUGUUAUUAUUACCUCAACUUUCAAAAUCUUAUUUUUAUUAUUAUCAUUGAUUAAAACUUUCAAAACCUUAUUAUUAUUAUUAAUUCAAACUUUCUAACUUCCAAUUUCCAAGCCCAAUUUAUAAAAAUUCAACCUUCAAAUGAUACUCCAAAAUUCCGAUCUUUAAAACUCAAUUUCGAUUUCCGAAAAUUCUCAUACUCACUUUAAUCUAUUUAAUUAUUGUUAUUUUGAUUAUUUAUUUCAAAACCCCAUUUCAAAUCAAAUUCUCUAAAACUUCUGAUUCUCGAAUUAAAUUCCUAAUCCCAAAAAUUCUCAUGUUCGCACUAAAUUAUUUGAUCAUUGAUAUUUUAUUUAUUUAUUUAUUUCAAAACUCCAUUUUAAAUCAAAUUCUCUAAAACUUCUGAUUUCCGAAUUAAACUCCUAAUCCCAAAAAUUCUCAUGUUCUCAUUAAUUUAUUUAAUCAUUAGUAUUUUAUCUCCAUUUUAAAUCAACUCUUUAAAACUUCAGAUUUACAAAUUAAAUUCCUAAUCUUGAAAAUUCCCAUAUUCACAUUAAUUUAAUCACUAAUAGUUUGUUUAUUUAUCUUAAAAUUCUAUUUUAAACAAUUCUUUAAACUUUCUAACUUCUAAAUCUAAUUUCCAAUUUCAAAAAUUCCAGCAUUCCAUUCAUUUAUUUAAUCAUUAUUUUCGUCCUUAUUAUUAUUAGUCCAUUUAUUUACUUCAAAAUUUCAUUUUUAAACAUUUUUUUGAAUCCCAAUUUUCGAACUUAAUUUCCAAUUUCUAAAAUUCUAAUUUCCUUCAAGUUUGACAUCCCAAAAUUCCAACUCUUAAAUUUAAUUCUCAAGACUCCAAUCUUCAAAUAAUUUUCGAGACUCCAAUUUCCAAAUAAAUUUCAAAAAUUCAAUUUUCUCUCUAACAGUUUUAAUUCUCUUCGGGUUUCAAAUAAUCUUCGAUUUCUCUUGAUUUUAUAUAAACAUGAAUGCUAUUUUCAUAAUUCCAGAAUAAUGGGAUUUGUGAUAUUAAUUCCUGCAAAAAUGAAUGGGCUUUGGUGGGGGCCCAACAUACGUGCUUUCCUCAUGAUUGAUUGAUUGUUUGAUUGAUUUAAUUGCCAUGCGUGCUUGAUUUUAUUCUGCUCUAUGGCAUGCCCGAAAUUAUCCUUUAAUUGUGCACUAACCUCACUUUUUGAUAAGCGCAUUGUGGCUCGUCACCCAGGUACGUAUCUAUCCCCAUUCUGAUAUUUCCAUAUACAUGUUUUGAUUCUCCUAUGUGCAUGAUAGUUCCGGGUAUUCAUUGUUUUUCCUCAUCAAUUGCCAUGAUUGCUUCAUUUUAUUAGUAGAGACCCAUUUAGGGACUUAGAGGGGUGCUACGGUUCAUACCGUACCUUCCUGAUAAGUAACCUGACCCUCGGACCCGAUCCGGUUUUUCACAGACCACCUUUUCCAAAGUAAGGAGUCACACUUAGGGUUUUUCUUUCUUAUUUUGUUUACCCUUUUAAAAAUAAAACAAAAAUAAGUGGCGACUCCAAGUCAUUUUCUUAAACAAUAAAAAAUCAAAUUUUCAAAUAAAAAUCGAGUCCGCCAUUGAGUGGGAAACGCAUGAGCCGAAAUGCGGGGUCCACAAAAGGUCAUUGAAAACCCAAUUUUAGAAAUAUAACCCUUCAUCAUUUUUUUUAUCUCAUGUUAACAAAAAUGCUCUUAUUAUUUUCUUAUAAAAAUAAUCAUUUCUUUUAAAACACACUAUAAAUACUCCAAAUAGUCAGGGGCUUUUAUGUAUAAAAAAAUGAAUUACUCUUUAAAUAAAAAUAUUGGAGGGAAUAAAUUAACAAAUAUGAGGUAUUUCAUCCCUUUUAUCUAAUUAUUUCUAUAAUUUUAAGAGUUUAAGAAGGCUAGACAAAGACUAAUUAUUAGGCACAUUUUGUAAAAACACUAGUUAUUAGACACAUUUUUCGCUCAAUCAAUCAAUCACGGAGUUGACUAGACACUAAUUAUUGGACUUUUUUUUUUUUUUUUUUAUAAUAAGUGAAAGACAAGAAUACAAUCGACUACUUUGGUCAAUUAAACAAUCAUUCAGUUGACUAUAAACUAAUCUUUAGAUUUUUUUUUUUAUAAUAAUUGGAAGACAUGAAUACAAUCGAUUACUUUGAUUAAUUAAUCAAUUAUUCAAGAAAUUUAGAAAAAUAUUGGAUAAAAGAUAUAUAUAACGGAUUAUUUCAAAUUGAAACUUAAGAUUAUAAAUCUUACUUUUAAUGUUGAAAAAUCAUGUAAAACACAAGUUUUUAUCUUUGAAGUAAUCAAUUUCAUUUUUCACAAAAAAUCAUUAAUAAUGCAUGAAUGAAUUCUUUUAAAAAAUCUUAUAAAAAAUGUGAUUAUUUUUCAUUCCCAAAUACUUAGGUUCUAAAGAUCAAUUUUAAAGCAUACUUAUCCUUACUAUGCCUUACAAGAAAAUCUAUUCUAUACAUAUGAUCUUGUAAAAAAAUGUAAAUAAAAAAAUAAAAUAAAAUAAAAAGAAAAAAAAAAGCCUCUCUUGUUUUCCUCUUUUGACUGGAUAUCAUUACCAUACCUAAAAUUAAAUAUUUAAUUAAAAUAUUAUUUUACUAUCAUCAAAAUUUAGAUUUAACCAAACUUUAGGCUAGUAUGUUGAUACGAUAAGUUAAUUUUCUAUCUUAAAGUUUUAAAAACUUUUGAAAUUAAACAUUUUCUUACACAUUUAUUUUUAAAGUUUUUUAGCAUAAAAUUUAAAAUUGAAGCUUUUAAGGGAAAACCUCAUAAUAUAAUAUACUAGAAAGACAUGGUCAAACAAAUAGAGACGAAGCCUCAAAAGGAAGGGGCAAUGGUUGAACCACUUGACAUUGUUGCCUACUACUAAGAUGGUGUAAGAAACAACAUAACCAAUGGAACAUAUGCACAUUAAACAUUGUACAAUUAUUAUAAAUGUCUUAUACAUUAUGUGUGAAAAUACGAAAUAAAUAAAUAAAAUUAUAUUCAACAUUUAUAUUUGUAUACAAACAAUAUUUUCGAUAGUUUGAUAUAAAAAAACAAAUAAAAAAAUGAAGAAAAGCAUAUAAAUAUAUUUUCAAUGGACAAACUUAUUCAAUUAGUAUAAAUAUCUUGUAUAUUUAAUACAAAUACCUUAUACUUUGUGAAAAUGUAAAAAUAUAGUAUUUGAUAUUUAUAAAUGUGGGUAAGUAAUUUUUCUAAUGGUUUGAUUUAAAAAAAAAAUAAUGAGAAUCAAGAAAUACAUGCAAAUAAAUUAGUGUGAAUGAUAAAGGAUGUUUUUUUACCAUAAAUUUUCAUGGACUUAGCAUCAAUUAUGCAUCUAUAGAUGUUAACCCAAUUAGCAUAAUGUGAAAACCCUUACACACAAUAUAUAAACCCUAUACUUGAAUUAGGAAGGACAAAAAAAAAAUAGUUAGAGCAUUUGGUACCAUCAAUGAUGACUUCACCUAAAGAAAAGUUAAUGAACAUUAUGUUCUCAAUGGAAGAGCAACCCUAGUAGGACAUAUGGAGUAAAUUGAUGCUCUUCUUUCGACAACGAAGUAGCUAAGUCAUGAAAAUGGGGUUUUGCUAACAACAUUAAAUGCAAGAAUUCCCCAAUAUACUGCAAUUCAUAUUCAAUUCAUAGACUUUCAACUAACUACUCUCAAUAACGAGCAAACCCAAGUCAAUACAUAAGAUUGAUUAUUACUUAUGAUAAUUGAAACCAUAAUUAAUAAGACAUAUAUAUAUAUAUAUAUAUAUAUAUAUAUAUAUAUAUAUAUAUAUAUAUAUAUAUAUAUAUAUAUAUAUAUAUAUAUAUAUAUAAAAAAAAUAGAGACAAUUGUGUUUUGGAUCCAGGUGGAUCAAAAAAUAAGGUUUGGUUUAUAGAACUUACAUAAUUGAUGGAAAUGAUAUAAGUUAUCAAAAGACCAAAAUACUCAUUGACCUUUCACGUAAGUUUUUUUGGUCUUUAUUGUACCACUAUUCAUGCAACCAUAAUAAUUUUAUUUUAACUAUUUGGAUUUUUCAUUGUUUUUUAAAACUUUUUUUUUUAUAAAUAAUUGAAAAUCAACAUUAUUUUCUAUUUUAAAUUAUAAAUAAAGAAAAAUUACGUUCAAAAACUAUUUUAAAAAAUACUUUCUAAAAAAAUGGUAAUAUGAUUUAUAUUUUUUACAUUUUCUAUUAGAAAAAAAUAUUUAAUUAAAAAUGAAAAAUAAUUUUUAAAAAUAAAAAUUGAAAACCUUGUUUAGUACUAUUUUUUUAUAUGAAAAUAAUAAAAAUAAUUAAAUUUCAUUAAUUGAUUAUCCAUUAAAUUUUAUAUGAAAAUUUUUUAUAAGAGUAAAAAGAUUCAAUAUCUUUAAAAAAAGAAAAAAAAAACAAAACAAAACAAUAAGUUAGAAAUGAGUAAUACUUAAUUGGGAAUAGAAAAGGGGAAAAAAUUGAAAUUUACACUCAUUAUAUGCCUAUGUAGGGAUUAAAGGUAUUUUAGGGAUUAAUGAAGGAUAAUAUCCUUUAACUUAAUUUUUAUAAUUUAUUUGGGUCUUGACCUUAAAUGUGCAUGAUAUAUGGAUCUUUGGUCAAUUUUUGGGCCCAUUCGGGCCCAAAAUACAAUUCUCCCUACAAAAAUAUUUAUUAAAAUAAAUUAAUUAAUAAAAGCCAUUUAAAGAGUUUCAUAACUUAGUAUCGAAGCUAUUGUAAGAAAAAAGUAUUAUAUAAUGUAGGGUUUAGGUUCAAAGUCUACCUAAGAUUAAAUUUAAGUCUCGAGACAAAUUCACAUUCAAAACUAGGUUUUUAAGUUUGAAAAAUAGAUCCCUUAAACAAAUUAAAUGGUAAAAAAUAAUUACAAAGAAAAUUUCUCUAGCUGGUUUCUUCAUCUUGAAAACUAACGGAAACAUAUAUUAAUAUUUGGUAUGAAAAUUCGUAACCUUAGAAACACAGCUUUGAGUCUUGCUGAGAAAAACAAAGCUUAUUUGCUCGUAGACCAUCGUAGUGGUCGUCAUACCGUGUGAGGACCGGGGAAGCAUCUUUGCUCGUAGACCGGCUUUUGUAGUCUUUCUUUAACAAUUACAAGUUGUCAGGAUUCCCUUCAUCCUCCCAAAUAAUAUUGUUUUUGGUCUUGUUCUGGUUGCAUCUCCGUGGAAGGAAAGAAGAUGAAUCAAGUUCCUUUGUAAGUAUCAAUGUCUCUGAUUCAUUUUUUGGUUCCUAGAAUCGAAUCCUCGCUCUGUUCUUGCUUAAUUUCUCCUUUUUCUGUUGGGUCUUUCACUGCAGGUUUAGCUCUGCACGGGAACUGGCAAAUUUGGUGCUGAGCUCCAAUCUAAUCGACUGUGCUUUCACCAAAAUUCUUGAACUUAAGAGAGGCCAAACAGCCUUGCCUGUUCAAUACAGACUUUAUCAACUGUCUUCCAAGUGCACAAUUGUAGCUUUUGUCUCUUCACCUGACUGCACUCAAUACCCUCUUCCUGGACAAGGAGAUUUAGAUCGGUCUCCUCUCUUUGACUUCCUCCGUACCGAAGAAUACCCGUCCGUCUCCAUUAACAGAGCAGCAUUAGCCCUCUAUACCCCUCUCCAUGAUCAUCUCUCUGGACUAACAGAUGAGGUCAAAAUCUGAUACUUGUUUGAAUUUUCGUUUCCUUUUCGUUAACAAUUGUGAGACACGAAACAGCUUGACCAUGAGAUCUCCCUCAUGGAGUCGAACUACCUGAAGGAUAAGACGUCACACAUAUCCAUUUUCAUGGCAUCGUCACAUGACCCAUUGAUCGGUUGUGAUUCAACUCUUAAUAGGAACACAGUAGAACUGGUGUUGGUAUAUCUGUCUUUAGAUAAGCUUGCAUAUAUCUUGUCACUGAAAAAGGAAUGUUCAGAAGUGAGAUUAGUGGCAUUAUUCUGACAUGGAUUUCAUAUGGUUACUUGUUUUGCAGUUGACUCAGAUUGAAGGUCAGUUAAUCAUCACUGGGCACUCCCUGGGAGGAUCCGUUGCUUCUCUCUUCACCUUACGCCUGCUAGAUGGCAAUUUAUUAAAACCCAAAUGCCGCCCCUUUUGUAUCACCUUUGGUUCACCCCUCAUAGGCGACUUUGGCCUCCAACACUCCAUAUGGAAUUCUUUCUUCCUGCAUGUAGUGUCUAACCAAGACCCAGUCCCCGGACUCUUCCUCCCAUCCGGCAGAUCUCCGCCCACAUCCUCCCAUUCACAAACUACCGGUUACAAGCCCUUUGGGACAUAUCUCUUGUGCUCUGAACUUGGUUGUGCUUGUUUUGACAACCCUGAUUUAAUUUUGGGAUUGCUUAAAGUCAUAUCAUCAGAGGUUGCCGGAGGAUUGCAGGAUGUUGACUAUGGGGAGAUUUUAAGAAACCUCAAGGAGAGGGCAAUCUGCAAGGGACUGCCGCAGGUGGGUGAACGGUUUGCAGAUCCAUUUUCAGCUGGGAUCAUCAUGGAACUUGAGACAAUUGGAUUUAAUCAAACAAAGGUAAACAGCUUUCUCCCAUCUAAUGAUGUUAUGAAACAUGGUUUACACUACACCAAAUACUGCAAUAACUGCCCUAUUCAGAUUUAUCUUCUUGUUCUUUGGGAUCUUCCAUAACUAGUCUCAUUUUUAAAAUUCAUGGCAGUUGCUGCAGCAUAACAUUGAUAUCAACGCUAUGAUAAGAACAAUGGAAGCGGAAACCAGAAGCCUAAUCCAGAAAAAUAAAGCUUCCGAUGCCAAGAAACUGAAUGACAUAAAAAGAGACAUGGCCCAUCUAGAAUGGUAUAAGAAGAAAUCGGAAAUGGGUUACUACGAUUGCUUCAAAAAUCAGGGGUCUAAAAGGGACAUCAACGUUGAACAAUUUAGGGGAAACCUCACAAUGUACUGGGAAGACAUGGUUGCACAAGUACAGAGGAAGCCCCAGAAGGAAGGAGCAACAUUUCGAACCCGUUGGUUCUAUGCAGGGACAGUUUAUAGGAGAAUGGUUGAACCACUGGACAUUGCUGCCUUCUACAGAGAGGGUGGAACAGACUACAUAAACAAUGGAAGAUCUCUUCAUUACAAGCUGUUGCAGCAAUGGUAUGAAGAAGAUGUGAAACCCCCCUCUAGAGAUAAGCUUGAUUCCAAGAAGCAAAAGGUGUCUGGUAUCCUAACUGAGGAUUCUUUGUUUUGGGCACAUGUGGAGGAGGCCAUCUUGUCAUGCGAAUUGCUCAAGAGUCAAAACUGUACUCUUGAGCAGGGAAAAUCAUCAUGGGAUAAUCUGGUUAAGUUCGAGGAGUAUGUAAUGGAACAUAUUAACAACUAUGCAGCGUCCCCUGAGAUUUUCUCGAGGGAAAGCAGCUUCAUGAAAUGGUGGGGACUGUAUGAGGGCUACAUAGAUACUUGCAGUAAUUCCCAUGGGUCGCCAUUGAUCAACUUCAUGAAGAAACGUAGCUAUAUGAAGUAUGGUUAGAGGGGCAAUCCAGUUUGUGUGUUGUGUUUGUUGUUUUGUGAGCGUUCAAUGGAUAAAACUAGAAAGAGUGACCUUUUUCCCUUUUUCUUGGUUGCUGCCCAUAUUCUCAGCACUAUUUUCUUCCUUCUUUUCCUCUGUUUUUUUGUUAAGAAAUGAAUAUUAUGAUGUUGCUGGGAUGCACUUUCAUUGUUGUUCUAUUACAUUGUGUUUUAUUUAUAUCCUAAACAAAUAAAUCAAAACAAGAAAAUCAAAUAAGACUUAAAGAGUCUUUUCCUUCAAAAAAAAAAAUGGGGAAAAAGAAAAACAUUUUUGUUUAGAUUCAACUCCACCAAAACUUGCAACAACUUCCCAUUGAAAAAUUCCUUUUAAGCUUCUGAAUGAUAUAAAACCAGAUAUGUUCCAGCUAGAAUGGUACAAGAAAGAAAUCAAAAGAUGAGUACAGUGGGUUAUUAUGACAGCUUUAGAAACCUGGGGUGUAAAAGAGACAUUAAAAUGGAACCGAUGGGAAGACAUGGUAGAACACGUAGAGAGGAAGCCUCACCAGGAAGGGGCAGCUUUGCAAACCCUCUGGCUCUGUACAGGAACGAAUUAUAGAAAGAUGGUUGAACCACUUGACAUUGUUCCCUACCACAGAGAGGGUGGAAGACACUACAUAACAUUACACGCUAUUGGAGCAAUGAUGCAAUGAAGAGGAGAAGGGGGCUUUGUCUUCUCAUGCAAAUUGCUCUCAGAGCUCAGAACCUACUCCUGAAGGGAAAGAAUCAUCAUUGAGUGAUCUGGUUAAGUUUGAGGAUUUAUUUAUAUAAUUGAACUGAUUGGAAGCUAUGCAGUGUCGGCCCCCGCCCGAGCAGCUUCAUGAAACGGUGGAAAGAGUUGGAAGAAGUCAUAGAUACUUGCUAUAGGAGCUUCAUGAAGUAUGGAGAGGUGUGGCAUAGAUACUUGCAGUCUCUGAAUUUCCCAAAUCCAAUUUCAGAUUGUGUAUUUAGAUUCGUGGAACUUGUUUUCUUGCUUUUUGUUAGGUACAAUUGAGAUGGGCUGAACCGAAAGGCCCGCCAGGAUGAACAAUAUAAUGGGCCUGAAUUUUAAACCAGCGGAUGGGCUUUGUACUGGAUUCAGCUGUCUGAGCCCAAUGAGUAUUGAAUGUAUUUCUGUAUAAAAUUAAAUUUUUAACAUUGAAAUAUAAGGACUUACUUAAAAACACAUUUGGUAACUUUUUUUUUUUUAUGGUUAAUAAUAGAUUUAAAAAAAAAUUAAAAAUAUAUAAUUUUUUAGGAUAAAUUUGAGGCAUGUUUAGGUAUUUUUCGUGGUAAAGAGUUUUGAGAAGCAAUGGGAAAUAUACAGAAUACUUUAAAAACUUUUGCAUAAGUAAGAUACUUACACGAGGCUUUCAUGAAAAAUAAAUUGAUAAAAACAAUUCUCAUAUUUAAAUUUCGAAACAUAAAACAACUCAGAACUGUUUUUAAAAAUUGUUCUUAAAAAUAGUUUUCUAUUAAGUCACAUUCAAGGAUGCUUUUAUCUUUUAUUUUUCUAUGUUUCAUCCUUGCAUAAAUGGAGUACAAAGACAUAAGUUAAUCUAAUUAACAAAUAUAGAUAAUCAUCCGAUAAAAGAGUAAAUUAGGUGAUGAUCUCUUUAUAUAUGCAAGUAAUGGAAUGAAUGUGAUGAAAAAUAAAAUAAAAAAGUAAGGGGAGAAAUGUUGUAAAUAAAGUGUUUUUAUUGUAGUUCAACGACCUAUCCACUUCCGCACCUUGACAUAUUUCACAAUUUUAAAAGUUUUCUUAAUCAUGAUUCUCUUUAUUAUUCUUUAAGUCCGGAUUUCUUAUGUUUCAAUAGACUUUUACAAUCACUAAGAUAGUGUUUGUUUUUUCACUUAAUUCUAAAUAUAACUUAAAACUAAAUAAUAUUUAAUAAUAUCAGGAUUAGGUUGUUUUUUUUAUAACAUUUUAUUUCUAUAUAAUAUUAAAAAGUAAAGAAAAAUCAAUAUAUUAUUUUUUUCAUUUAAAAAAAGUCAAAUAUUUUGACUUUUUUUUAAGCUAAAAAUUUAUAAUAAAAAAUAAAAAACAAACAAACAAACAAACAACUUAAAGUGUAAAAAUAGAUUGUUUUCAAUAAAAAUUUAAAAAAAAACAAACACCUUCUAAAUAAAAUUCCUUAACCACUCGUUCAAUAGCUCCUUUAAGCACAAAAUGUAUUGAAGUGCUCACAAUGAAAAGAUAAACAAGUUUUGAUUCAAUAUAAUUUUGGGUUAUCUAAUUAAAAGGGUCAUUGAAAACCCAAUUUUAGAAAUAUAACCCUUCAUCAUUUUUUUAUCUCGUGUUAACAAAAAUGCUCUUAUUAUUUUCUUAUAAAAAUAAUCAUUUCUUUUAAAACACACUAUAAAUACUCCAAAUAGCCAAGGGCUUUUAUGUAAAAAAAAAUGAAUUACUCUUCAAAUAAAAAUAUUGGAGGGAAUAAAUUCACAAAUAUGAGGUAUUUCAUCCCUUUUAAAUAAUUAUUUCUAUAAUUUUAAGAGUUUAAGAAGGCUAGACAAAGACUAAUUAUUAGGCACAUUUUGUAAAAACACUAGUUAUUAGACACAUUUUUUGCUCAAUCAAGCAAUCACACAGUUGACUAAACACUAAUUAUUGGACUUUUUUUUUUUAUAAUAAGUGGAAGACAAGAAUACAAUCGACUACUUUGGUCAAUUAAGCAAUCAUUCAGUUGACUAUAAACUAGUCUUUAGACAUUUUUUUUUAUAAUAAUUGGAAGACAUGAAUACAAUCGAUUACUUUGGUCAAUUAAUCAAUUAUUCAAGAAAUUUAGAAAAAUAUUGGAUAAAAGAUAUAUAUAACGGAUUAUUUCAAAUUGAAACUUAAGAUCAUAAAUCUUACUUUUAAUGUUGAAAAAUCAUGUAAAACACAAGUUUUUAUCUUUGAAGUAAUCAAUUUCAUUUUUCACAAAAAAUCAUUAAUAAUACAUGAAUGAAUUCUUUUAAAAAAAUCUUAUAAAAAAUGUGAUUAUUUUUCAUUCCCAAAUAUUUAGGUUCUAAAGGUCAAUUUUAAAGCAUACUUAUCCUUACUAUGCCUUACAAGAAAAUCUAUUCUAUACAUAUGAUCUUGUAAAAAACUGUAAAUAAAAAAGAAAAAAAGAAAAAAAACCUCUCUUGUUUUCCUCUUUUGAUUGGAUAUCAUUAUCAUACUUAAAAUUAAAUAUUUAAUCAAAAUAUUAUUUUACUAUCAUCAAAAUUUAGAUUUAACCAAACUUUAGGCUAGUAUGUUGAUACGACAAGUUAAUUUUCUAUCUUAAAGUUUUAAAAACUUUUGAAAUUAAACAUUUUCUUACACAUUUAUUUUUAAAGUUUUUAGCAUAAAAUUUAAAAUUGAAGCUUUUAAAGGAAAACCUCAUAAUAUAAUAUACUAGAAAGACAUGGUCAAACAAAUAGAGACGAAGCCUCAAAAGGAAGGGGCAAUGGUUGAACCACUUGACAUUGUUGCCUACUACUAAGAUGGUGUAAGAAACAACAUAACCAAUGGAACAUAUGCACAUUAAACAUUGUACAAUUAUUAUAAAUGUCUUAUACAUUAUGUGUGAAAAUACCAAAAAAAAAGAAAAAUUAUAUUCAACAUUUACAUUUGUAUACAAACAAUGUUUUCGACAAUUUGAUAUAAAAAACAAAUAAAAAAAAUAAAGAAAAACAUACAAAUAUAUUUACAAUGGACAAACUUAUUCAAUUAGUAUAAAUAUCUUGUAUAUUUAAUACAAAUACCUUAUACUUUGUGAAAAUGUAAAAAUAUAGUAUUUAAUAUUUAUACAUGUGGGUAAGUAAUUUUUCUAAUGGUUUGAUUUAAAAAACAAAUAAUGAGAAUCAAGAAAAACAUGCAAAUAAAUUAGUGUGAAUGAUAAAGGGUGUUUUUUACCAUAAAUUUUCAUGGACUUAGCAUCAAUUAUGCAUCUAUAGAUGUUAACCCAAUUAGCAUAAUGUGAAAACCCUUGCACACAAUAUAUAAACCCUAUACUUGAAUUAGGAAGGACAAAAAAAAAAUAGUUAGAGCAAUUGGUACCAUCAAUGAUGACUUCACCUAAAGAAAGGUUAAUGAACAUUAUGUUCUCAACGGAGAGCAACUCUGGUAGAACAUAUGGAGUAAAUCAAUGCCCUUCUUUUAACGAUGAAGUAGCUAAGUCAUGAAAACAAGGUUUUGCUAACAACAUUAAAGGCAAGAAUUCCCCCAAUAUACUCCAAUUCAUAUUCAAUUCACAGACCUUCAACUAACUACUCUCAGUAACGAGCAAACCCAAGUCAAUACAUAAGAUUGAUUAUUACUUAUGAUAAUUGAAACCCUAAUUAAAUAAAUAAGGACACAAAUAUAUAUAUAUAUAUAUAGGGACAGUUGUGUUUUGGACCUAGGUGAACCCAAAAAUUAAGGUUUGGUUUAUAUAACUUACAUAAUUGAUGAAAAUGAUAUAAGAUAUCAAAAUAUCAAAAUACUCAUUGACCUUUCACAUAAGCUUUUUUGGUAUUUAUUGCACUACUAUUCAUUCAACCAUAAUAAUUCUAUUUUAACUAUUUGGAUUUUUCAUUGUUUUUUAAAACUUUUUAUUUAUAAAUAAUUGAAAAUCAACAUUAUUUUCUAUUUUAAAUUAUAAAUAAAGAAAAAUUACGUUCGAAAACUAUUUUAAAAAAUACUUUCUAAAAAAAAUGGUAAUAUGAUUUAUAUUUUUUAUAUUUUCUUUUAGAAAAAAAUAUUUAAUUAAAAAAUGAAAAAUAUUUUUAAAAAUAAAAAUUGGAAACCUUGUUUAGUACUAUUUUUUUUAUAUAAAAAUAAUAAAAAUAAUUAAAUUUCAUUUAUUGAUUAUCCAUUAAAUUUUAUAUGAAAAUUUUGUAUAAGAGUAAAAAGAUUCAAUAUCUUUAAAAAAAGAAAAAAAAAACAAAACAAAAAGUUAGAAAUGAGUAAUACUUAAUUGGGAAUAGAAAAUGGGAAAAAUUUUGAAAUUUACACUCACUAUAUGUCUACGUAGGGAUUAAGGGUAUUUUAGGGAUUAAUGAAGGAUAAUAUCUUUUAACUUAAUUUUUACAUUUUAUUUGGGUCUUGGGAUUAAAUGUACAUUAUAUAUGGAUCUUUGGUUAAUUUUUGGACCCAUCCGGACCCAAAACACAAUUCUCCAUAAAAAAAUAUUUAUUAAAAUAAAUAAAUUAAUAAAAACCAUUUAGAGAGUUUCAUAACUUAGGUGGUGUUUGUUUUUUUGGCUUUUUGGUGAAAACCAUUUAGUUUUAGAAUUUAGGUUGUUUGUUUUUUUACUUUUUCAUGACUUAUUAUAAACUUUUUACAAAAUAGAAAAAGCCAAAAUAUAUGACUUUUUCUAAAUAGAAAAAUAACACAAUGGUUUUUUUUACUUUUUAAUACUUAAUAGAAAUAAAAUAUUAUAAAAACAAACAACCUAAUAUUUAAUACUAUUAAGUAUUAAAGUUCUAUUUAGAAUUAAGUAAAAAAACAAACACCACCUAAGUGUCGAAGCUAUUGUAAGAAAAAAGUAUUAUAUAAUGUAGGGUUUAGGUUCAAAGUCUACCUAAGAUUAAAUUUAAGUCUUAAGACAAAUUCACAUUCAAAACUAGGUUUUUAAGUUAGAAAAAUAGACCCCUUAAACCAAUUAAAUGGUAAAAAAAAAUUACAAAGAAAAUUUCUCUAGCUGGUUUCUUCAUCUUGAAAACUAACGGAAACAUAUAUCAAUAUUUGGUAUGAAAAUUCGUAACCUUAGAAACACAGCUUUGAGUCUUGCUGAGAAAAACAAAGCUUAUUUGCUCGUAGACCAUCGUAGUGGUCGUCAUACCGUGUGAGGACCGGGGAAGCAUCUUUGCUCGUAGACCGGCUUUUGUAGUCUUUCUUUAACAAUUGCAAGUUGUCAGGAUUCCCUUCAUCCUCCUAUAUAAUAUUGUUUUUGGUCUUGUUCUGGUUGUAUCUCCGUGGAAGGAAGGAAGAUGAAUCAAGUUCCUUUGUAUGUAUCAAUGUCUCUGAUUCAUUUUUUGGUUCCUAGAAUCGAAUCCUCGCUCUGUUCUUGCUUAAUUUCUCCUUUUUCUGUUGGGUCUUUCACUGCAGGUUUAGCUCUGCACGGGAACUGGCAAAUUUGGUGCUGGCCUCCAAUCUAAUCGACUGUGCUUUCACCAAAAUUCUUGAACUUAAGAGAGGCCAAACAGCCUUGCCUGUUCAAUACAGACUUUAUCAACUGUCUUCCAAGUGCACAAUUGUAGCUUUUGUCUCUUCACCUGACUGCACUCAAUACCCUCUUCCUGGACAAGGAGAUUUAGAUCGGUCUCCUCUCUUUGACUUCCUCCGUACCGAAGAAUACCCGUCCGUCUCCAUUAACAGAGCAGCAUUAGACCUCUUUACCCCUCUCCAUGAUCAUCUCUCUGGACUAACAGAUGAGGUCAAAAUCUGAUACUUGUUUGAAUUUUCGUUUCCUUUUCGUUAACAAUUGUGAGACACGAAACAGCUUGACCAUGAGAUCUCCCUCAUGGAGUCGAACUACCUGAAGGAUAAGACGUCACACAUAUCCAUUUUCAUGGCAUCGUCACAUGACCCAUUGAUCGGUUGUGAUUCAACUCUUAAUAGGAAUACAGUAGAACCGGUGUUGGUAUCUGUCUUUAGAUCAGCUUGCAUAUAUCUUGUCACUGAAAAAGGAAUGUUCAGAAGUGAGAUUAGUGGCAUUAUUCUGACAUGGAUUUCAUAUGGUUACUUGUUUUGCAGUUGACUCGGAUUGAAGGUCAAUUAAUCAUCACUGGGCACUCCCUGGGAGGAUCCGUUGCUUCUCUCUUCACCUUACGCCUGCUAGACGGCAAUUUAUUAAAGCCCAAAUGCCAUCCCUUUUGUAUCACCUUUGGUUCACCCCUCAUAGGCGACUUUGGCCUCCAAGACUCCAAAUGGAAUUCUUUCUUCCUGCAUGUAGUGUCUAACCAAGACCCAGUCCCCGGACUCUUCCUCCCAUCCGGCAGAUCUCCGCCCACAUCCUCCCAUUCACAAACUACCGGUUACAAGCCCUUUGGGACAUAUCUCUUGUGCUCUGAACUUGGUUGUGCUUGUUUUGACAACCCUGAUUUAAUUUUGAGAUUGCUGAAAGUCAUAUCAUCAGAGGUUGCCGGAGGAUUGCAGGAUGUUGAUUAUGGGGAGAUUUUAAGAAACCUCAAGGAGAGGGCAAUCUGCAAGGGACUGCCGCAGGUGGGUGAACGGUUUGCAGAUCCAUUUUCAGCUGGGAUCAUCAUGGAACUUGAGACAAUUGGAUUUAAUCAAACAAAGGUAAACAGCUUUCUCCCAUCUAAUGAUGUUAUGAAACAUGGUUUACACUUCACCAUAUACUGCAAUAACUGCCCUAUUCAGAUUUAUCUUCUUGUUCUUUGGGAUCUUCCAUAACUCGUCUCAUUUUUAAAAUUCAUGCCAGCUGCUGCAGCAUAACAUUGAUAUCGACGCUAUGAUAAGAACAAUGGAAGAGGAAACCAGAAGCCUAAUCCAGAAAAAUAAAGCUUCCGAUGCCAAGAAACUGAAUGACAUAAAAAGAGACAUGGCCCAUCUAGAAUGGUAUAAGAAGAAAUCGGAAAUGGGUUACUACGAUUGCUUCAAAAACCAGGGGUCUAAAAGGGACAUCCACGUUGAACAGUUUAGGGUAAACCUCACAAAAUACUGGAAAGACAUGGUUGCACAAGUACAGAGGAAGCCCCAGAAGGAAGGAGCAACAUUUCGAACCCGUUGGCUCUAUGCAGGGACAGUUUAUAGGAGAAUGGUUGAACCACUGGACAUUGCUGCCUUCUACGGAGAGGGUAAAACAGACUACAUAAACAAGAAAAGAUCUCUUCAUUACCAGCUGUUGCAGCAAUGGUAUGAGGAAGAUGUGAAACCCCCCUCUAGAGAUAAGCUUGAUUCCAAGAAGCAAAAGGUGUCUGGUAUCCUAACUGAGGAUUCUUUGUUUUGGGCAUAUGUGGAGGAGGCCAUCUUGUCAUGCGAAUUGCUCAAGAGUCAAAACUGUACUCUUGAGCAGGGAAAAUCAUCAUGGGAUAAUCUGGUUAAGUUCGAGGAGUAUGUAAUGGAACAGAUUAACAACUAUGCAGCGUCCCCUGAGAUUUUCUCGAGGGAAAGCAGCUUCAUGAAAUGGUGGGGACUGUAUGAGGGCUACAUAGAUACUUGCAGUAAUUCCCAUGGGUCGCCAUUGAUCAACUUCAUGAAGGAUCGUAGGUAUAUACAGUAUGGACGUUAGAGGGGCAAUCCAGUUUGUGUGUUGUGUUUGUUGUUUUGUGAGCGUUCAAUGGAUAAAACUAGAAAGAGUGUGACCUUUUUCCCUUUUUCUUGGUUGCUGCCCAUAUUCUCAGCACUAUUUUCUUCCUUCUUUUCCUCAGUUUUUUUUGUUAAGAAAUGAAUAUUAUGAUGUUGCUGGGAUGCACUUUCAUUGUUGUUCUAUUAAAUUGUGUUUUAUUUAUAUCCUAAACAAAUAAAUGUAAACAAGAAAAUCAAAUAAGACUUCAAAGAGUCUUUUCCUUCAAAAAAAAAAAAAAUGGGGAAAAAGAAAAACAUUUUUGUUUAGAUUCAACUCCACCAAAACUUGCAACAACUUCCCAUUGAAAAAUUCCUUUUAAGCUCUGAAUGACAUAAAACUAGAUAUGUUCCAGCUAGAAUGGUACAAGAAAGAAAUCAACAGAUGAGAACAAUGGGUUAUUAUGACAGCUUCAGAAACCUGGGGUGUAAAAGAGACAUUAAAAUGGAACCGAUGGGAAGACAUGGUAAAACACGUAGAGAGGAAGCCUCACCAGGAAGGGGCAGCUUUGCAAACCCUCUGGCUCUGUACAGGAACGAAUUAUAGAAAGAUUGUUGAACCACUUGACAUUGCUGCCUACCACAGAGAGGGUGGAAGACACUACAUAACCAAUGGAGGAUCUAAACAUUACACGCUAUUGGAGCAAUGAUGCAAUGAAGAGGAGAAGGGGGCUUUGUCUUCUCAUGCAAAUUGCUCUCAGAGCUCAGAACCUACUCCUGAAGGGAAAGAAUCAUCAUGGAGUGAUCUGGUUAAGUUUGAGGAUUUAUUUAUAUAAUUGAACUGAUUGGAAGCUAUGCAGUGUCGGCCCCCACCCGAGCAGCUUCAUGAAACGGUGGAAAGAGUUGGAAGAAGUCAUAGAUACUUGCUAUAGGAGCUUCAUGAAGUAUGGAGAGGUAUGGCAUAGAUACUUGCAGUGUCUGAAUUUCCCAAAUCCAAUUUCAGAUUGUGUACUUAGAUUCGUGGAACUUGUUUUCUUGCUUUUUGUUAGGUACAAUUGAGAUGGGCUGAACCGCAAGGCCCGCCAGGAUGAACAAUAUAAUGGGCCUGAAUUUUAAACCAGUGGAUGGGCUUUGGACUGGAUUCAGCUGUCUGAGCCCAAUGAGUAUUGAAUGUGUUUCUGUAUAAAAUUAAAUUUUUAACAUUGAAAUAUAAGGACUUACUUAAAAACACAUUUGGUAACUUUUUUUUUUUGGUUAAUAAUAGAUUGUUUAAAAAAAAAUUAAAAAAAUAUUAUUUUUUAGAAUAAAUUUGAGGCAUGUUUAGGUAUUUUUCGUGGUAAAGAGUUUAGAAGCAAUGAGAAUAUAUAUAGAAUACUUUAAAACUUUUGCAUAAUACUUACUUACAUGAUGCUUUCAUAAAAAAUAAAUCAAUAAAAACAAUUUUCAUAGUUGAAUUUCAAAACAUAAAACAACUCAGAAUUGUUUUUAAGAAUUGUUCUUAGAAAUAGUUUUCUAUUAAGUCACAUUCAAGGAAUCGUUUUCAUAUAUGCAAGUAAUGGAAUGAAUGUGAUGAAAAAUAAAAAAUAAAAAGUAAGGGGAAAGAUAUUGUAAAUAAAGUGUUUUUAUCGUGGUUCAAUGACCUAUCCACUUCCACACCUUGAUGUAUUUCACAAUUUUAAAAGUUUUCUUAAUCAUGAUUCUCCUUAUUAUUCUUUAUGUCGAGAUUUUUUAAGUUUUAAUAGACUUUUUCAAUCACUAAGGUGGUGUUUGCUUUUUCACUUAAUUUUAAAUAUAACUUAAAACUAAAUAAUACUUAAUAGUAUCAACUAUUAAGUUGUUUGUUUCUAUAACAGUUUAUUUCUAUAUAAUAUUAAAAAGUAAAGAAAAAUCAACAUGCUAUUUUUGUCAUUUAAAAAAAGUCAAAUAUUUUGAAUUUUUUUAUUUAGCUAAAAAUUUAUAAUAAAUCCUAAAAAGAUAAAUAAUAAUAAUAAUAAAUAAAUAAAUAAAUAAAAACAAAUAAACAACUUAAAGUCUAAAAACAAAUUGUUGUCAACAAAAAAUUAAAAAAACAAGCACUUUCUAAAUAAGAUUCCUUAACCACUCGUACAAUAGCUCCUUUAAGCACAAGAUGUAAUGAAUGAAUACAACUUUGGUGAAAUAACUAAAGUGCUCACAAUGAGAAAAUAAACAAGUUUGGAUUCAAUAUAAUUUUUGGCUAUCUAAUUAAAAGGGUAAUUGAAAACCCAAUUUUGGAAAUAUAACCCUUCAUCAUUUUUUUUACCUCAUUUUAAUAAAAAUACUCUUAUUAUUUUCUUAUAAAAAUAAUCAUUUCUUUUAAAACAUACUAUAAAUACUUCAAAUAAUCAAGAGCAUUUAUGUAAAAAAUGAAUUACUCUUCAAAUAAAAAUAUUGGAGGGAAUAAAUUCACAAAUAUAUGGGGUAUUUCAUCCCUUCUAACUAAUUAUUUCUAUAAUUUAAAGAGUUUAAGAAGGCAAGACAACUAAAUAAAUGAAGUUUUCAAGUUAUUGUCUCUAUCAUAAAUAAAGUCCAAUAAUCACAUUUGUAUCGUUUUGUACAAAGACUAAUUAUUAGGCAUAUUUUGUAAAAACACUAAUUAUUAGACACAUUUUUCGCUCAAUCAAACAAUCACACAGUUGACUAGAAACUAGUUGUUGGACAUUUUUUUUUAUAAUCAUUGGAAGACAAGAAUACAAUCGACUACUUUAAUCAAUUAAGCAAUCAUACAGUCGACUAUAAACUAGUCAUUGGACAUUUUUUUUAAAAUCAUUGGAAGACAGGAAUACAAUCGAUCACUUUGGUCAAUUAAUCAAUUAUUCAAGAAAUUUAGAAAAAUAUUGGAUAAACGACAUAUAGUGGAUUAUUUCAAAUUGAAACUUAAGAUCGGAAAUCUUGCUUUUAAAUCAUGUAAAACACAAGUUUUUAUCUUUGAAGUAAUCAAUCUCAUUUUUAACAAAAAAAAUCAUUAAUAAUAUAUGAAUGAAUUCUUUUAAAAAAUGUGAUUAUUUUUCAUUCCCAAAUACUUAUGUUCUAAAGGUCAAUUUUAAAGCAUACUUGUCCCUACUAUGCCUUAUAAGAGAAUAUAUUCUAUACAUGUGAUAUUGUAAAAAAGUUUAAAAAAUAAAUAAAUAAAUAAAUAAAACCUCUUUUGUUUUCCUCUUUUGACUAUAUAUCAUCAUUAUCAUACUUAAAAUUAAAUAUUCAAUCAAAAUAUUAUUUUAUUAUCAUCAAAAUUUAAAUUUAACCAAACUUUAGGCUAGUACGUUGAUAUGACAAGUUAAUUUUCUAUCUUAAAGUUUUAAAAACUUUGAAAUUAAACAUUUUCUUACACAUUUAUUUUUAAAGUUUUUAGCAUAAAAUUUAAAAUAAAAAAAUACAUUAUUUUCAAAUUCAUUUUGAAAAUUUUUAUUUUAAAAAUAAAAAAUUUAAUAAAAAAAAAUGCAGGCCAGUUUUUUUUCCCUCUUUUUACCCUACAGUUUAAUUAAUUUGAGGUUAGAGGAAAGCUAUGAAAGAAAGAAAAUAAAAAUAAAAAAGAAAAUGAAAGAAUGAAAAAUAUAGCAAAAAAAUUUAAAAGAAAAAAUCUACAAGCUAAUAUUUUUUUCUUAUUUGAGAUGAUAUUUUAUAUUUAGCUUUACUACAAGCUAAAGUCACCAAAACCAUGAUCACAAAAGGGUAAUAUUGAUAUAAUGAAAGAUUAUGAAAAAAAAAAAGUUCUAUAACAAGCAAUAUUUGCUUGACUUUCAUUUAAAAAAAUUUAAAAUCAAAAUACUUUUAGUAAAAUUAUCUAAACAUGUCAAACCUAAACGAAGUGAGUGUUUCAUAUUAAGUUAUUUUUUAAGCCAAAAAACUUAUUUUAAUAGAAUUAAUCACAUAGAUAAAAAGUUGCUAUCGUGGUGGGAAAAAGGUUUUCUUUCAUUUAUUAAAUGCUAAUAAAUUUUGAAUUAUUGAAUUCAUAAAUCUUUUAAUAAAGGUCUCAUUACGUUACAUCUAAGGUUUUAUUGUGUUGGCAUCUUAUGUCUGGUGUUAUUAUUUAUUUUAUAUCCAUUUUAUUGUUUUAUAGUUUAAUCUCAUUUGAUUGUACUAUCAUUAAAUAAUCUAAAUUUGAUUACUAUGAGAUUUUAAAGUUAGAUAUGAUGUCAAUCAUGGUAUAGAUUUUGAAAGAUAUUAUCAAAUCAAAUAUUUAGGGUAUUUGAUAAAUCAAUUUAAUAACUUAAAAUGAUUUAAUAAUUUAUUUAUAUUAAUUUAAAGUUUUCAAAUAAAUUUUUUUAUAAAUAUAAUUUUAGAUUUAAGUAAAGAUAAGUUAAUUUUAAAUUUUAAAUUAAAAUAAUUAACUCAUUCUUAGUUAAAUCUAAAACUAUAUUUAAAAUAAAUAAAAACAGAGAUGGAUAUAAAUUAAGUCAAUAACUCACUUUAAAUCAUUGACUUGAUUUACCAAACACUUCAAAAUCUCACAUUUACAAGACCUGAAGUGGAUCCUUUUCAAUGAAUAUUGUCAUAUUUGUUGGAGUGUACCCAAAAUCCAAAUAUUUCAGUCUUUUUUCUCUUUAUUUCAUUUUAAAAUAAAAUAAUAAUCAUUAUACCAUGAACUUUCAAAAGUACCAUCAUUAUGUCAGUGGAGAUGGGAAGCUGAAAGCCUGAAACAAAUCAAUGGUGAAAGACACCAGUUUUCCAACAACAAAAAAGGCCAAAUCUGAUUCCAACUCAUCCAGUCUAUCUGUGCACUUUGACAACUGAAACACUUUAUUCCAAUUCACAUUUCACUAGAAAUUCCAUUCCAUAUCUACUCAAUAUUCACUGAAAAGGGUUUACAAUGAAAUAACAACUNNNNNNNNNNNNNNNNNNNNNNNNNNNNNNNNNNNNNNNNNNNNNNNNNNNNNNNNNNNNNNNNNNNNNNNNNNNNNNNNNNNNNNNNNNNNNNNNNNNNGAAAUUCAAAGAGCAACACUACUAACAUCUCAGAAUCCUCUGUGCAAUCACUACCAAAACUUUUCCUUACACAUGAAUGAAGAAAUGAGGCUGUACAUAUAUAAUCUGCGGAUGACAACAUGCAAGAAUGCAAAUGGGGGAAAUGGGGAAACAAAUAUUCUAGACAGGGUCUUAUUGGAAAGAAUCUAGGAUUGGGGCUUGAAGAAAAAUGGAAGAAUGGCAUCAUAAGACUGCAGUCUGAGUGGGAGAAGAAUUCAGGCGGGAGAGACAGGUUGAAGAUGAGUUCAGUAAUGAGCUCUCAAGGCUUGGGCAUGGUUCAGGGAACACCCAUUGGGAGAACCCAGAGACAUUUGAGCAAACCCAAGAGAUGGAGGCAGGAGGAGUAGUUGAUAGGGAGAUGUUGGAUAGACAAAUGGAAGUGAACGGGGAUUCUUGAAUACCAGUGAAGCUUCCAGCAAUGGUUAUGUUUGUGCCGAUCACAUUCUGCAAGGUGAUGUGAUCCAAGACAGGGAGUGCAUUGGGGUCAAAAUGGUCAUCUGGGUGGGAGCCGAUUUGGCCUGUUGCACUGAAGGCUGUGUGGAUGUUUUCCAUUGCGACAUCUGAUAUGAUGAUUUCUUGGAUAUAACCACCUCUUCCCUUGGUAGUUCUGAACUCGAUGCCACUGAAUGAGUUGUAUAGGUGGACCUGCUCCACACAGACGUUAGAAAUGCCACCAGACAUCUCACUACCGAAGGCCAGGGAAGAGCCAGAUGAUGAUUGAAGGUUGACCCGUCUGAUGUGUACAUUUGUGGUGGGUCUACCAUAGGCAAUGCCAUAUUCAUCCCAGCCACUCUUGAGUGCAAUGGCAUCAUGGCCCAUGGCAAUGCUGCAAUCCUCUAUGCAGGUGCUAUCUGAAGAAUCUGAAAUCAAAACAUUAUACAAAGUUGACUUAGCAAAAUUCUUUUCAUGACUGAACCCUUCCUGAACAUAGAAAAAAGUAAAAUUAUAAUCUACAUGAACCACUAAACAAACCACAGGUAACAACCUGUUUCCUCUUUCAACAAAUAUCCCUAUCAAUAUACUUAAACAUUCAUAUAUACAUUAAAAACUAAUAUAGAUUUUCAGAAAUAUCUUACCAAUCGGAAGAGGGUUCAAACAAUAAACAAAGACAAAACAAUUCUAGCACUGAUAAUUAAAGAUCCAAAAGUUUAUCAAAUUUAGUAAAAAGAAACAGACCAAAACCUACAAAAUUAUUGUUAAACAAGUGAAAAACAAAACAUUAAAUUAUCUAUUAUCACUCUUGGAGACUGACGGUAUGAAAAUAAGUUCAAAUGCCUCAGAUUCCUUCACCUCCAUUCUUAAUUCCUAGCCUCUUCAACAACCAAGUUUCAAGUACCUUAAUUCGUCCAUCUCCAGAACUGAUAGCAAAGAAGUCCAAAGAAGGGGUAAAGGUUGUUAAUAAAUCUCGGAUAUUCGAUGGGCCCAUGGUCCUGUAUCAAAAGAAUAAAUUAAAUGUCAAAGUCCUUACAAUUCAUAAUUUACAAAUUAGAAAUGAAAUUGUAGAUAUACGAGAGGUGUUCCAAGACGUUAUUAAGGGAGAUUGACUGUAACUGCCUAUUGAUAAAGAAACAAAACAACUUACCAUGACGAAAAUAAUAUAGCUCAAAAUCACAGUAGGAAGUGCCAAAAAAAGGUGGCAAUCCUCUGAAACAUAUGAUGAAGAAGAUAUAAAAAAAUAUAUAAGAAAGACACAGCAUUAAAAAUUUUAAAGCUCGCCAAUAUGUUGCCAAUCCAGUAAAUCAUUUCAUUAACUAAACUGAUUCAGCACUUAAGCUCUAAUAACCUUUGUUUGGUAGCCGAGAAAAUGGAAGAGAAGGAGGAAAAAAAUGCAAUAUCAUGCUAUCUGUUACUGAAUCAAGCCAAACAAUUCAGUUAAACUUGGCUGAACAGCAGUUUUAGCUUUCUUAGCCUGAAUAACGAAAAUUCAAGAUUUUAUCUAUUUUACUUUCCUGCAUUUUCUCAGCUUCCCGGUUUGUCUACGGACAAACUAGAGGAAAAUAAAAUAAAAAAUAAAAAGAAAACUAAAACCAGGUAUUUUCAGUUGUUCUCCAUAAAAAGCAAACGAAAAAUCAACAGAACUAAAUCCUGAGCAAUUACCGAUCCGGCUCAGGCUGAAUUUCCGGUUCUCUUAGAAAAUAUUAUAUAGCAGUUCCAAUAAGGGACCGUCGUGCAUCAUUAUACUAAUUUUCCUCCGUUUUUCGGCAACCAAACAGAGGAUAAACUUGUUUUGAGGAGAAGAUGCACGCUUACCUGUUUUGGCGACCGGCGGCGGCGAGAUGCAAAGAAAAAGAGAGAACGAGAGAGGGGUUUUACCUGUUUUGGCGACCGGCAGCGGCUAGAAGCAAAGAAAAAGAGAGAACGAGAGUGGGGUUUUAGGAACGCAGCCGCGUAGCUGCUCAUUUCGCAAGGGCCCCUUUUUUAUUUCUUUUUCUUUUUUUUCAAUUUUAGGAUUUUUCAUUUUAGCCUCCAUAUUUGAGUGUAUUUAGAUUUGUGGAACCUGUUUUGGGGCUUUUUGUUAGGUACAAUUGAGAUGGGCUGAACCGAAAAGCCCGCCAGGAUGAACAACAUUAAUGGGCCUGAAUUUUAAACCUAUGAAUGGGCUUUAUACUGGAUUCAGCUGUCUGAGCCCAAUGAGUAUUGAAUGUGUUUCUGUAUAAAAUUAAACUUUUAACAUUGAAAUAUGAGGACUUACUUAAAAACACAUUUGGUAACUUUUUUUUUUGGUUAAUAAUGGACUUUAAGAAAAAAUUAAAAAUAUAUUAUUUUUUAGAAUAAAUUUGAGGCAUGUUUAGGUAUUUUUUGUGGUAAAGAGUUUUGAGAAGCAAUAGAAAAUAUAUAGAAUACUUUAAAAACUUUUGCAUAAGAUACUUACUUACACGAGGCUUUCAUGAAAAAUAAAUCGAUAAAAACAAUUUUCAUAUUUGAAUUGCGAAACAUAAAACAACUCAAAACUGUUUUUAAGCAUUGUUCUUAAAAAUAGUUUUCUAUUAAGUCACAAUCAAGGAAGCUUUUAUCUUUUAUUUUUCUAUGUUUCAUCCUUGCAUAAAGGGAGUAUAAAGACUAAAGUUAAUCUAAUUAACAAAUUUGGAUAAUCAUCCAAUAAAUGAGUAAAUUAGGUGAUGAUCUCUUUAUAUAUGCAAGUAAUGGAAUGAAUGUGAUGAAAAAUAGAAAAAAGUAAGGGGAGAAAUGUUGUAAAUAAAGUGUUUUUAUUGUGGUUCAAUGACCAAUCCACUUCCACACCUUGACAUAUUUCACAAUUUUAAAAGUUUUCUUAAUCAUGAUUCUCCUUAUUAUUUUUUAAGUCCGGAUUUCUUAAGUUUCAAUAGACUUUUACAAUCACUAAGAUGGUGUUUAUUUUUUCACUUAAUUCUAAAUAUAAGUUAAAACUAAAUAAUAUUUAAUAAUAUCAAGUAUUAGGUUGUUUUUUUUUAUAACAUUUUAUUUUUAUAUAAUAUUAAAAAGUAAAGAAAAAUCAAUAUGUUAUUUUUUUCAUUUAAAAAAAGACAAAUAUUUUGCCUUUUUUUUAAGCUAAAAAUUUAUAAUAAAAAAAAAAAAGCAAACAAUUUAAAGUGUAAAACAGAUUGUUUUCAACAAAAAUUUAAAAAAACAAACACUUUCUAAAUAAGAUUCCUUAGCCACUUGUACAAUGGCUUCUUUAAGCACAAAAUGUAAUAAAUGAAUACAACUCUGGUGAAAUGACUAAAGUGCUCACAAUGAGAAGAUAAACAAGUUUGGAUUCAAUAUAAUUUUGGGUUAUCUAAUUAAAAUGGUCAUUGAAAACCCAAUUUUGGAAAUAUAACCCUUCGUCAUUUUUUUACCUCAUUUUAACAAAAAAAAGCUCUUAUUAUUUUCCUAUAAAAAUAAUCAUUCCUUUUAAAACACACUAUAAAUACUUCAAAUAGCCCAAGGUUUUUAUGUAAAAAAAAAUGAAUUACUCUUCAAAUAAAAAUAUUGGAGGGAAUAAAUUCACAAAUAUGGGUAUUUCAUCUCUUUUAACUAAUUAUUUCUAUAAUUUUAAGAGUUUAAGAAGGCUAGACAAAGACUAAUUAUUGGACUUUUUUUUUUAUAAUCAAUGGAAGACAGGAAUACAAUCGACUACUUUGAUCAAUUAAGCAAUUAUACAGUUGACAAUAAACUAGUCGUUAGACAUUUUUUUUUAUAAUAAUUGGAAGACAUGAAUACAAUCGAUUACUUUGGUCAAUUAAUCAAUUAUUUAAGAAAUUUAAAAAAAUAUUGGAUAAAAGAUAUAUAUAUAUAUAACGAAUUAUUUCAAAUUGAAACUUAAGAUCAGAAAUCGUGCUUUUAAUGUUGAAAAAUCAUGUAAAACACAAGUUUUUAUCUUUGAAGUAAUCAAUUCAUUUUUCACAAAAAAUCAUUAAUAAUACAUUAAUGAAUUCUUUUAAAAAAUCUUAUAAAAAAUGUGAUUAUUUUUCAUUCCCAAAUACUUAGGUUCUAAAGGUCAAUUUUAAAGCAUACUUAUCCUUACUAUGCCUUACAAGAAAAUCUAUUCUAUACAUAUGAUUUUGUAAAAAAGUGUAAAUAAAAAAAAUAAAAAAUAAAAAAUAAAAAAUAAAAAAAACCUCUCUUGUUUUCCUCUUUUGAUUGGAUAUCAUUAUUAUACUUAAAAUUAAAUAUUUAAUCAAAAUAUUAUUUUACUAUCAUCAAAAUUUAGAUUUAACCAAACUUUAGGCUAGUAUGUUGAUAUGACAAGUUAAUUUUCUAUCUUAAAGUUUUAAAAACUUUUGAAAUUAAACAUUUUCUUACACAUUUAUUUUUAAAGUUUUUAGCAUAAAAUUUAAAAUUAAAGCUUUUAAGGAAAAACCUCAUAAUACAAUAUACUAGAAAGACAUGGUCAAACAGAUAGAGAGGAAGCCUCGAAAGGAAGGGGCAAUGGUUGAACCACUUGACAUUGUUGCCUACUACUAAGAUGGUGUAAGAAACAACAUAACCAAUGGAACAUAUGCACAUUAAACAUUGUAUAAUUAUUAUAAAUGUCUUAUACAUUAUAUGUGAAAAUACGAAAAAAAAAAUAAAAUAAAAUUAUAUUCAACAUUUAUAUUUGUAUACAAACAAUAUUUUCAAUACUUUGAUAUAAAAAACAAAUUAAAAAAAUGAAGAAAAACAUAUAAAUAUAUUUACAAUGGACAAACUUAUUCAAUUAGUAUAAAUAUCUUGUAUAUUUAAUACAAAUACCUUAUACUUUGUGAAAAUGUAAAAAUAUAGUAUUUGAUAUUGAUACAUGUGGGUAAGUAAUUUUUCUAAUGGUUUGAUUUAAAAAACAAAUAAUGAGAAUCAAGAAAAACAUGCAAAUAAAUUAGUGUGAAUGAUAAAGGGUGUUUUUUACCAUAAAUUUUUAUGGACUUAGCAUCAAUUAUGCAUCUAUAGAUGUUAACCCAAUUAGCAUAAUGUGAAAACCCUUACACACAAUAUAUAAACCCUAUACUUGAAUUAGGAAGGACAAAAAAAAAAAUAGUUAGAGCAUUUGGUACCAUCAAUGAUGACUUCACCUAAAGAAAAGUUAAUGAACAUUAUGUUCUCAAUGGAAGAGCAACCCUAGUAGGACAUAUGGAGUAAAUUGAUGCUCUUCUUUCGACAACGAAGUAGCUAAGUCAUGAAAAUGGGGUUUUGCUAACAACAUUAAAUGCAAGAAUUCCCCAAUAUACUGCAAUUCAUAUUCAAUUCAUAGACUUUCAACUAACUACUCUCAAUAACGAGCAAACCCAAGUCAAUACAUAAGAUUGAUUAUUACUUAUGAUAAUUGAAACCCUAAUUAAUAAAUAAGGACACAAAUAUAUGUAUAUAUAUAUAUAUAUAUAUAUAUAUAUAUAUAAAAUAGAGACAAUUGUGUUUUGGACCCAGGUGGAUCAAAAAUUAAGGUUUGGUUCAUAAAACUUACAUAAUUGAUGGAAAUGAUAUAAGUUAUCAAAAUACCAAAAUACUCAUUGAUCUUUCACGUAAGCUUUUUUUGUCUUUAUUGCACCACUAUUCAUGCAACCAUAAUAAUUCUAUUUUAACUAUUUGGAUUUUUCAUUAUUUUUUAAAACUUUUUUUUUAUAAAUAAUUGAAAAUCAACAUUAUUUUCUAUUUUAAAUUAUAAAUAAAGAAAAAUUACGUUCAAAAACUAUUUUAAAAAAUAAUUUCUAAAAAAAUGGUAAUAUGAUUUAUAUUUUUUAUAUUUUCUUUUAGAAAAAAAUAUUUAAUUAAAAAAUGAAAAAUAUUUUUCAAAAUAAAAAUUGAAAACCUUGUUUAGUACUAUUUUUUUAUAUGAAAAUAAUAAAAAUAAUUAAUUUAUUAUCCAUUCAAUUUUAUAUGAAAAUUUUUUAUAAGAGUAAAAAGAUUCAAUAUCUUUAAUAAAAGAAAAAAAAAACAAAACAAAAAGUUAGAAAUAAGUAAUACUUAAUUAGGAAUAGAAAAAGGGAAAAAUUUUGAAAUUUACACUCACUAUAUGCCUAUGUAGGGAUUAAAGGUAUUUUAUGAAUUAAUGAAGGAUAAUAUUUUUUAACUUAAUUUUUACAAUUUAUUUGGGUCUUGGGCUUAAAUGUGAAUGAUAUAUGGAUCUUUAGUCAAUUUUUGGGCCCAUCCGGGCCCAAAACACAAUUCUCCCUAAAAAACUAUUUAUUAAAAUCAAUAAACUAAUAAAAACCAUUUAGAGAGUUUCAUAACUUAGUGUCGAAGCUAUUGUAAGAAAUAAGUAUUAUAUAAUGUAGAGUUUAGGUUUAAAGUCUACCUAAGAUUAAAUUUAAGUCUUAAGACAAAUUCACAUUCAAAACUAGGUUUUUAAGUUAGAAAAAUAGAUCUCUUAAACCAAUUAAAUGGUAAAAAAAAUUACAAAGAAAAUUUCUCUUGCUGGUUUCUUCAUCUUGAAAACUAACGGAAACAUAUAUCAAUAUUUGGUAUGAAAAUUCGUAACCUUAGAAACACAGCUUUGGGUCUUGCUGAGAAAAACAAAGCUUAUUUGCUCGUAGACCAUCCUGGUGGUCAUCAUACCGUGUGAGAACCGGGGAAGCAUCUUUUCUCGUAGACCGGCUUUUGUAGUCUUUCUUUAACAAUUACAAGUUGUCAGGAUUCCCUUCAUCCUCCUAUAUAAUAUUGUUUUUGGUCUUGUUCUGGUUGUAUCUCCGUGGAAGAAAGGAAGAUGAAUCAAGUUCCUUUGUAAGUAUCAAUGUCUCUGAUUCAUUUUUUGGUUCCUAGAAUCGAAUCCUCGCUUUGUUCUUGCUUAAUUUCUCCUUUUUCUGUUGGGUCUUUCACUGCAGGUUUAGCUCUGCACGGGAACUGGCAAAUUUGGUGCUGAGCUCCAAUCUAAUCGACUGUGCUUUGACCAAAAUUCUUGAACUUAACAGAGACCAAACAGCCUUGCCUGUUCAAUACAGACUUUUUCAACUGUCUUCCAAGUGCACAAUUGUAGCUUUUGUCUCUUCACCUGACUGCACUCAAUACCCUCUUCCUGGACAAGGAGAUUUAGAUCGGUCUCCUCUCUUUGACUUCCUCCGUACCGAAGAAUACCCGUCCGUCUCCAUUAACAGAGCAGCAUUAACCCUCUAUACCCCUCUCCAUGAUCAUCUCUCUGGACUAACAGAUGAGGUCAAAAUCUGAUACUUGUUUGAAUUUUCGUUUCCUUUUCGUUAACAAUUGUGAGACACGAAACAGCUUGACCAUGAGAUCUCCCUCAUGGAGUCGAACUACCUGAAGGAUAAGACGUCACACAUAUCCAUUUUCAUGGCAUCGUCACAUGACCCAUUGAUCGGUUGUGAUUCAACUCUUAACAGGAAUACAGUAGAACUGGUGUUGGUAUCUGUCUUUAGAUAAGCUUGCAUAUAUCUUGUCACUGAAAAAGGAAUGUUCAGAAGUGAGAUUAGUGGCAUUAUUCUGACAUGGAUUUCAUAUGGUUACUUGUUUUGCAGUUGACUCAGAUUGAAGGUCAGUUAAUCAUCACUGGGUACUCCCUGGGAGGAUCCGUUGCUUCUCUCUUCACCUUACGCCUGCUAGAUGGCAAUUUAUUAAAGCCCAAAUGCCGCCCCUUUUGUAUCACCUUUGGUUCACCCCUCAUAGGCGACUUUGGCCUCCAACACUCCAUAUGGAAUUCUUUCUUCCUGCAUGUAGUGUCUAACCAAGACCCAGUCCCCGGACUCUUCCUCCCAUCCGGCAGAUCUCCGCCCACAUCCUCCCAUUCACAAACUACCGGUUACAAGCCCUUCGGGACAUAUCUCUUGUGCUCUGAACUUGGUUGUGCUUGUUUUGACAACCCUGAUUUAAUUUUGGGAUUGCUUAAAGUCAUAUCAUCAGAGGUUGCCGGAGGAUUGCAGGAUGUUGAUUAUGGGGAGAUUUUAAGAAACCUCAAGGAGAGGGCAAUCUGCAAGGGACUGCCGCAGGUGGGUGAACGGUUUGCAGAUCCAUUUUCAGCUGGGAUCGUCAUGGAACUUGAGACAAUUGGAUUUAAUCAAACAAAGGUAAACAGCUUUCUCCCAUCUAAUGAUGUUAUGAAACAUGGUUUACACUUCACCAAAUACUGCAAUAACUGCCCUAUUCAGAUUUAUCUUCUUGUUCUUUGGGAUCUUCCAUAACUCGUCUCAUUUUUAAAAUUCAUGGCAGCUGCUGCAGCAUAACAUUGAUAUCAACGCUAUGAUAAGAACAAUGGAAGCUGAAACCAGAAGCCUAAUCCAGAAAAAUAAAGCUUCCGAUGCCAAGAAACUGAAUGACAUAAAAAGAGACAUGGCCCAUCUAGAAUGGUAUAAGAAGAAAUCGGAAAUGGGUUACUACGAUUGCUUCAAAAAUCAGGGGUCUAAAAGGGACAUCAACGUUGAACAGUUUAGGGGAAACCUCACAAUGUACUGGGAAGACAUGGUUGCACAAGUACAGAGGAAGCCCCAGAAGGAAGGAGCAACAUUUCGAACCCGUUGGCUCUAUGCAGGGACAGUUUAUAGGAGAAUGGUUGAACCACUGGACAUUGCUGCCUUCUACAGAGAGGGUGGAACAGACUACAUAAACAAUGGAAGAUCUCUUCAUUACAAGCUGUUGCAGCAAUGGUAUGAAGAAGAUGUGAAACCCCCCUCUAGAGAUAAGCUUGAUUCCAAGAAGCAAAAGGUGUCUGGUAUCCUAACUGAGGAUUCUUUGUUUUGGGCACAUGUGGAGGAGGCCAUCUUGUCAUGCGAAUUGCUCAAGAGUAAAAACUGUACUCUUGAGCAGGGAAAAUCAUCAUGGGAUAAUCUGGUUAAGUUCGAGGAGUAUGUAAUGGAACAGAUUAACAACUAUGCAGCGUCCCCUGAGAUUUUCUCGAGGGAAAGCAGCUUCAUGAAAUGGUGGGGACUGUAUGAGGGCUACAUAGAUACUUGCAGUAAUUCCCAUGGGUCGCCAUUGAUCAACUUCAUGAAGAAACGUAGCUAUAUGAAGUAUGGUUAGAGGGGCAAUCCAGUUUGUGUGUUGUGUUUGUUGUUUUGUGAGCGUUCAAUGGAUAAAACUAGAAAGAGUGUGACCUUUUUCCCUUUUUCUUGGUUGCUGCCCAUAUUCUCAGCACUAUUUUCUUCCUUCUUUUCCUCAGUUUUUUUUGUUAAGAAAUGAAUAUUAUGAUGUUGCUGGGAUGCACUUUCAUUGUUGUUCUAUUAAAUUGUGUUUUAUUUAUAUCCUAAACAAAUAAAUGUAAACAAGAAAAUCAAAUAAGACUUCAAAGAGUCUUUUCCUUCAAAAAAAAAAAAAGGGGGGGAAGGGGAAGAAAAACAUGUUUGUUUAGAUUCAACUCCACCAAAACUCGCAACAACUUCCCAUUGAAAAUUUCCUUUUAAGCUUCUGACUGACAUAAAACUAGAUAUGUUCCAGCUAGAACGGUACAAGAAAGAAAUCAAAAGAUGAGCACAAUGGGUUAUUAUGACAGCUUCAGAAACCUGGGGUGUAAAAGAGACAUUAAAAUGGAACCGAUGGGAAGACAUGGUAGAACACGUAGAGAGGAAGCCUCACCAGGAAGGGGCAGCUUUGCAAAUCCUCUGGCUCUGUACAGGAACGAAUUAUAGAAAGAUGGUUGAACCACUUGACAUUGCUGCCUACCACAGAGAGGGUGGAAGACACUACAUAACCAAUGGAGGAUCUAAACAUUACACGCUAUUGGAGCAAUGAUGCAAUGAAGAGGAGAAGGGGGCUUUGUCUUCUCAUGCAAAUUGCUCUCAGAGCUCAGAACCUACUCCUGAAGGGAAAGAAUCAUCAUGGAGUGAUCUGGUUAAGUUUGAGGAUUUAUUUAUAUAAUUGAACUGAUUGGAAGCUAUGCAGUGUCGGCCCCCACCCGAACAGCUUCAUGAAACGGUGGAAAGAGUUGGAAGAAGUCAUAGAUACUUGCUAUAGGAGCUUCAUGAAGUAUGGAGAGGUAUGGCAUAGAUACUUGCAGUGUCUGAAUUUCCCAAAUCCAAUUUCAGAUUGUGUAUUUAGAUUCGUGGAACUUGUUCUCUUGCUUUUUGUUAGGUACAAUUGAGAUGGGCUGAACCGCAAGGCCCGGCAGGAUGAACAAUAUAAUGGGCCUGAAUUUUAAACCAGUGGAUGGGCUUUGGACUGGAUUCAGCUGUCUGAGCCCAAUGAGUAUUGAAUGUGUUUCUGUAUAAAAUUAAAUUUUUAACAUUGAAAUAUAAGGACUUACUUAAAAACACAUUUGGUAACUUUUUUUUUGGUUAAUAAUAGAUUGUUUAAAAAAAAUAUUAUUUUUUAGAAUAAAUUUGAGGCAGGUUUAGGUAUUUUUGGUGGUAAAGAGUUUUGAGAAGCAAUGAGAAUAUAUAUAGAAUACUUUAAAACUUUUGCAUAAUACUUAAUUACAUGAUGCUUUCAUAAAAAAUAAAUCAAUAAAAACAAUUUUCAUAGUUGAAUUUCAAAACAUAAAACAACUCAGAAUUGUUUUUAAGAAUUGUUCUUAGAAAUAGUUUUCUAUUAAGUCACAUUCAAGGAAUCGUUUCCAUAUAUGCAAGUAAUGGAAUGAAUGUGAUGAAAAAUAAAAAAAAGUAAGGGGAAAGAUAUUGUAAAUAAAGCGUUUUUAUCGUGGUUCAACGACCUAUCCACUUCCACAACUUGAUGUAUUUCACAAUUUUAAAAGUUUUCUUAAUCAUGAUUCUCCUUAUUAUUCUUUAUGUCGAGAUUUUUUAAGUUUUAAUAGACUUUUUCAAUCACUAAGGUGGUAUUUGCUUUUUCACUUAAUUUUAAAUAUAACUUAAAACUAAAUAAUACUUAAUAGUAUCGAGUAUUAAGUUGUUUGUUUCUAUAACAGUUUAUUUCUAUAUAAUAUUAAAAAGUAAAGAAAAAUCAACAUGCUAUUUUUGUCAUUUAAAAAAAGUCAAAUAUUUUGAAUUUUUUUAUUUAGCUAAAAAUUUAUAAUAAAUCCUAAAAAGAUAAAUAAUAAUAAUAAUAAAUAAAUAAAUAAAUAAAUAAAAACAAAUAAACAACUUAAAGUCUAAAAACAAAUUAUUUUCAACAAAAAAUUAAAAAAAAACAAACACUUUCUAAAUAAGAUUCCUUAACCACUCGUACAAUAGCUCCUUUAAGCACAAGAUGUAAUGAAUGAAUACAACUCUGGUGAAAUAACUUCACAAUGAGAAAAUAAACAAGUUUGGAUUCAAUAUAAUUUUUGGCUAUCUAAUUAAAAGGGUAAUUGAAAAUCCAAUUUUGGAAAUAUAACCCUUCAUCAUUUUUUUUACCUCAUUUUAACAAAAAUACUCUUAUUAUUUUCUUAUAAAAAUAAUCAUUUCUUUUAAAACAUACUAUAAAUACUUCAAAUAAUCAAGAGCAUUUAUGUAAAAAAUGAAUUACUCUUCAAAUAAAAAUAUUAGAGGGAAUAAAUUCACAAAUAUAGGGGGUAUUUCAUCCCUUCUAACUAAUUAUUUCUAUAAUUUAAAGAGUUUAAGAAGGCAAGACAACUAAAUAAAUGAAGUUUUCAAGUUAUUGUCUCUAUCAUAAAUAAAGUCCAAUAAUCACAUUUGUAUCGUUUUGUACAAAGACUAAUUAUUAGGCAUAUUUUGUAAAAACACUAAUUAUUAGACACAUUUUUCGCUCAAUCAAACAAUCACACAGUUGACUAGAAACUAGUUGUUGGACAUUUUUUUUUAUAAUCAUUGGAAGACAGGAAUACAAUCGACUACUUUGAUCAAUUAAGCAAUCAUACAGUCGACUAUAAACUAGUCAUUGGACAUUUUUUUAAAAAUCAUUGGAAGACAGGAAUACAAUCGAUCACUUUGGUCAAUUAAUCAAUUAUUCAAGAAAUUUAGAAAAAUAUUGGAUAAACGACAUAUAGUGGAUUAUUUCAAAUUGAAACUUAAGAUUGGAAAUCUUGCUUUUAAAUCAUGUAAAACACAAGUUUUUAUCUUUGAAGUAAUCAAUCUCAUUUUUAACAAAAAAACAUUAAUAAUAUAUGAAUGAAUUCUUUUAAAAAAUGUGAUUAUUUUUCAUUCCCAAAUACUUAUGUUCUAAAGGUCAAUUUUAAAGCAUACUUGUCCCUACUAUGCCUUAUAAGAGAAUAUAUUCUAUACAUGUGAUAUUGUAAAAAAGUUUAAAAAAUAAAUAAAUAAAUAAAUAAAACCUCUUUUGUUUUCCUCUUUUGACUAUAUAUCAUCAUUAUCAUACUUAAAAUUAAAUAUUCAAUCAAAAUAUUAUUUUAUUAUCAUCAAAAUUUAAAUUUAACCAAACUUUAGGCUAGUACGUUGAUAUGACAAGUUAAUUUUCUAUCUUAAAGUUUUAAAAACUUUGAAAUUAAACAUUUUCUUACACAUUUAUUUUUAAAGUUUUUAGCAUAAAAUUUAAAAUAAAAAAAUACAUUAUUUUCAAAUUCAUUUUGAAAAUUUUUAUUUUAAAAAUAAAAAAUUUAAUAAAAAAAAAAAGGCAGGCCAGUUUUUUUCCCUCUUUUUACCCUACAGUUUAAUUAAUUUGAGGUUAGAGGAAAGCUAUAAAAGAAAGAAAAUAAAAAUAAAAAAGAAAAUGAAAGAAUGAAAAAUAUAGCAAAAAAAUUUAAAAGAAAAAAUCUACAAGCUAAUAUUUUUUUCUUAUUUGAGAUGAUAUUUUAUAUUUAGCUUUACUAUAAGCUAAAGUUACCAAAACCAUGAUCACAAAAGGGUAAUAUUGAUGUAAUGAAAGAUUAUGAAAAAAAAAAAAAGUUCUAUAACAAGCAAUAUUUGCUUGACUUUCAUUUAAAAAAAUUUUAAAAUCAAAAUACUUUUAGUAAAAUUAUCUAAACAUGUCAAACCUAAACGAAGUGAGUGUUUCAUAUUAAGUUAUUUUUUAAGCCAAAAAACUUAUUUUAAUAGAAUUAAUCACAUAGAUAAAAAGUUGCUAUCGUGGUGGGAAAAAGGUUUUCUUUCAUUUAUUAAAUGCUAAUAAAUUUUAAAUUAUUGAAUUCAUAAAUCUUUUAAUAAAGGUCUCGUUACGUUACAUCUAAGGUUUUAUUGUGUUGACAUCUUAUGUCUGGUGUUAUUAUUUAUUUUAUAUCCAUUUUAUUGUUUUAUAGUUUAAUCUCAUUGAUUGUACUAUCAUAAAAUAAUCUAAAUUUGAUUACUAUGAGAUUUUAAAGUUAGAUAUGAUGUCAAUCAUGGUAUAGAUUUUGAAAGAUAUUAUCAAAUCAAAUAUUUAGGGUAUUUGAUAAAUCAAUUUAAUAACUUAAAAUGAUUUAAUAAUUUAAUUUAUAUUAAUUUAAAGUUUUCAAAUAAAUUUUUUUAUAAAUAUAAUUUUAGAUUUAAGUAAAGAUAAGUUAAUUUUAAAUAUUAAAUUAAAAUAAUUAACUCAUUCUUAGUUAAAUCUAAAACUAUAUUUAAAAUAAAUAAAAACAGAGAUGGAUAUAAAUUAAGUCAAUAACUCACUUUAAAUCAUUGACUUGAUUUACCAAACACUUCAAAAUCUCACAUUUACAAGACCUGAAGUGGAUCCUUUUCAAUGAAUAUUGUCAUAUUUGUUGGAGUGUACCCAAAAUCCAAAUAUUUCAGUCUUUUUUCUCUUUAUUUCAUUUUAAAAUAAAAUAAUAAUCAUUAUACCAUGAACUUUCAAAAGUACCAUCAUUAUGUCAGUGGAGAUGGGAAGCUGAAAGCCUGAAACAAAUCAAUGGUGAAAGACACCAGUUUUCCAACAACAAAAAAGGCCAAAUCUGAUUCCAACUCAUCCAGUCUAUCUGUGCACUUUGACAACUGAAACACUUUAUUCCAAUUCACAUUUCACUAGAAAUUCCAUUCCAUAUCUACUCAAUAUUCACUGAAAAGGGUUUACAAUGAAAUAACAACUCAGCAAAAUGUAAAUAUAGAAAUAAAGAAAUUCAAAGAGCAACACUACUAACAUCUCAGAAUCCUCUGUGCAAUCACUACCAAAACUUUUCCUUACACAUGAAUGAAGAAAUGAGGCUGUACAUAUAUAAUCUGCGGAUGACAACAUGCAAGAAUGCAAAUGGGGGAAAUGGGGAAACAAAUAUUCUAGACAGGGUCUUAUUGGAAAGAAUCUAGGAUUGGGGCUUGAAGAAAAAUGGAAGAAUGGCAUCAUAAGACUGCAGUCUGAGUGGGAGAAGAAUUCAGGCGGGAGAGACAGGUUGAAGAUGAGUUCAGUAAUGAGCUCUCAAGGCUUGGGCAUGGUUCAGGGAACACCCAUUGGGAGAACCCAGAGACAUUUGAGCAAACCCAAGAGAUGGAGGCAGGAGGAGUAGUUGAUAGGGAGAUGUUGGAUAGACAAAUGGAAGUGAAUGGGGAUUCUUGAAUACCAGUGAAGCUUCCAGCAAUGGUUAUGUUUGUGCCGAUCACAUUCUGCAAGGUGAUGUGAUCCAAGACUGGGAGUGCAUUGGGGUCAAAAUGGUCAUCUGGGUGGGAGCCGAUUUGGCCUGUUGCACUAAAGGCUGUGUGGAUGUUUUCCAUUGCGACAUCUGAUAUGAUGAUUUCUUGGAUAUAACCACCUCUUCCCUUGGUAGUUCUGAACUCGAUGCCACUGAAUGAGUUGUAUAGGUGGACCUGCUCCACACAGACGUUAGAAAUGCCACCAGACAUCUCACUACCAAAGGCCAGGGAAGAGCCAGAUGAUGAUUGAAGGUUGACCCGUCUGAUGUGUACAUUUGUGGUGGGUCUACCAUAGGCAAUGCCAUAUUCAUCCCAGCCACUCUUGAGUGCAAUGGCAUCAUGGCCCAUGGCGAUGCUGCAAUCCUCUAUGCAGGUGCUAUCUGAAGAAUCUGAAAUCAAAACAUUAUACAAAGAUGAGUUAGCAAAAUUCUUUUCAUGACAUGAACCCUUCCUUCCCUGAAAGCCAACCAAAUUCUUCACAUGGCAUGAACCCUUCCCUGAAAGCCAACCAAAUUUUUUUCAUGGCAUGAACCCUUCCCCUGAGAGCCAACCAAAUUAUUUUCAUGGCAUGAACCCUUCCCUGAGAGCCAACCAUCCUGCCAUUGGGACCUCCCACGAGGUUUGAAUCCCUAGCCCCUGAUAGAGGCUUCUACACCAGCCAGUGAACCGAGAGGUUGUUGCUCAUGGUGGGGUUUCUCAUCUCAACACAAAAGUAUUCUCAAAAUGUGUAAAAGGAUAAAUUCAUAAAUCAAUGCAAAGGAUUUAUAAACUGAUCAGGGAAAUGACAGUAACAGGCUCUUAAAUUCAACCUAGAGAGGAAGAAGUCCUUAACAAAAUUGAGAUAUUAUACACUAACAUGCAAACCAUAGGGUGUAUGUGUAUAGAUUUGGAAAGCUACAUGGCCUGGGGCUAAAUCUGCCUAUCCUUUUCCAUCGCAUGAGCUACUAUGUUCCCACUGCUUACUGUUCAAAAUUUGUACCUUAUAAUCAAAAAAUGGUGAUAUGGACUAGAAAUUAUAUUACAAAUAUAGGGAAAAUAAACCAUAUAGAAAGGUUUUGGAUGGGUAUCCUUCUCCUUUUUCCAUUGUUGGAGCAAGAAACAUGCACAUGAGCAUGUGUUUCUUCCCCAUUUUUGUCUGGUUAAAAACAACAAAAUUAGUAACAAGCAUACUACAUAAAUGCCAAAACCCUCAGGUUUACUUAAAAUUGUAGCCCAUGUUUCUGAGAAUUUCUAGCAACAACCAACAAGGCAAGUAGGCUUCUCUGCUCUCUUAAAAAUUUCCCGCAAAUGAUCAAAACCAGACAAAUUUAAUUAAACACUGUUUUGCAUUGAGCACAAGAAAAAAAAGUGCUAAAAGCAGGAUUCAAAAAGUCAGCUUGGAGCCAUGCUUAAAUGAGAAGAUAUCAGGUUUCUAUUAACAUAAACUGCAAAUGCCUCAAAACAAUUAUGUUGCAGCUCAAUGUAGGUUUAUGCAAGAGUGAACAUCACGAACCUGGGACUAUACCAACAGUGUAAGGAGAUUCAGGUGGAGCAUAAACCGAUAUGUUUUGAACUCUUACAUUACUGCAUCCAAAUAUAUACAUAUGAAUUAAAGUCCUACUGCUAGUAUCAUUAAUUAAAAUUCAAAGAAGGGGCAUAGCAAUCACAGAAGGUACCUGCAAUAGACCGGAUGGAUGUUGUAUGCAGGGGCAUUCAGGAAAGUAAGAUUAGAAACUACAACAUUAGUGGAUGCCAGAAACUCCACAAGAUGAGGGCGACUGUAGUUCAAGGAAUGAGAGGUGAACCAAUCCCACCAAACUGAGCCCUGGCCAUUGAUGGUUCCAUUAUCACCUAGGGCAGUUAAUGAAUGUAAGAAUGGUCAUAUGGAAGACUCGGGCCUAGCAUGCCUACAAGGACAACAGGAAUUGAAACAAACAAAAGACAUUCAGAUGUACACUUACCUGUUAUCACCACAUCGCGCAGCAUAUACCCGUUUAUCAAGCUUCUAUAUCUUCCUCCAGGAAGUUCGAUCCCUCGACCAUAUGAAGGAAGGGGUUCUAUGACUUCCCAAUGUGAUGGAUCCUGAGCAAAGACUCAUAAAUCCUUAGAAGACAAUGGUAAAAAACUUAGAAACAAGAGGAAAACAAAAUAAAACAUGGGAUUUUAAGCUAAGAGUGGAUCAAUACCUGAGACCCAAGAAUGACAGCACCUCUUUCCAAGAAGAGUGUGAGGUGGCUCGUGAGAUUGAAACUUCCAGUAAGCCACUUCCCUGGUGGCACAUAAAGCUGAGCGCCACCCUUAUCAGCAAAAGAUUUGAGAUAAAAUAUGGCAUUCUGGAAGGCAAUGGUGUUCAAUGUUUUCCCAUCCCCGACUGCGCCAAACUCCAAGAUAGAUACACUGUGUGGUCUGGGAUCCAAUGUCAAACUAUUUGUGCACUGUCCACCCCUUUCUUGUCCAUUACUUUCAACAGCAUUGCUCAAUACCAGAAUCACAAGCAAUGGCAACUAAGAGGAAAAUAGAAGGGAAACCGCAACAUAAUUAUCGCUUCUCAAUGCCUUAAACAUUCAUAAAAAAACUAAAAAACAUAUACAAAAGAUUCUUAAAUCAACACAAAAUCAGAAAAUGAACAAUUUCACAGAAAAGAGAUAGGACUACUUGGGAAAAAACCAACACCCGACAAUGGAGUCGAAGAACCAGAAAAAAAAAAAGAGAGAGAGAGAGAGAGAGAGAGAGAGAAAUAUACGAGAGUACUAAUGUGGAUUUCUAGAAGCAAAAUUUUGAAAAAUCAUCAGAUACCCCGAUAAUGAUAGAAAACUCAGAAGCGAAACAGAAAAUAGUAGAUUCAGGAUUAGCAAAAAUUUGCUGCUACUGAAAUUCCUCAAUGCCAAAUAGAGGACCUGCAAGUUGCUAAACUGUAAGAGAACAAGAAUCAUAUGAGGAGCUAAAGUAGAUAAAGAAGGGAAAUCCCUAGUUGAAUACUGAAGUCAACAGGCAGUAUCACACUAUGAAAAAACAAUCGAACAUGUGAGAUGCUGUUUGGGAAUUGAUCUUGGAAUUCUAGGGGAAAGAAGAGAUGAUUCAGUCAAACUAAAAAUAAAAAAUUAAGUAGCUGAAACAAGCAGUCUUCAAAUGCCCAUCCUAAAUGUGACAAUUUGAAGUAUGAUUUCAUGAUUUUAUCACAACAGAUUAAAUAAUGAGAAUCACUUUGAGAGAUAAGGGAUGUAUAAAUACGACAAUCGAAUUCCCCUAACAGAAAAAACCUCCAAAACGCACAAAAUCAUUCCAAUACCCACAUCAAAAGAAAACCCCUUUACAGCAAAAACCCGAUGGCCACUUCAAAACAAGAAAAUACCCACAACAAUCAAACUCAAAAAACCAAGCCUAGAAAAUUGAGAUUUCCGGGCUCGGCCAAGAAAAAGAGGGAAAAUCAAAAGAACCCCAGAAACCCAGAAAAGAAAAACGUACUUACUAGCAUCUUCAUGGGUCGUCAGAGCUUCUGCAGCAAUGAUCCCCUGAUGCCCAAACAAGAAGAAGAAGAAGAACAGCGGCAGCAGCAGCAGCACCCCCAAAAAAGAACUGCAGCAGAAAAGAGAAAGACGAAGAAGAAGCAUGAAAAAACAGGGGAGCUUUCUGUACUGUCUGAUGUAUUAUGCGAAAUUCACAACCAUAUUAAUAAUAAUUACCAAAACGACAAAAGAAUUAAUAAAUGGUAAUGGAGAGAAAAAUAGUAGAAAAAAGCCAGCUUUCUCAUACACACAGGCAAGAAAAAUCAAACCUUUAGGAGGUGCAAACUAAUAAUAAAGGAAUAAAAUAUUGAAUUACCAUAAAUUAUUCUCUAUAAUCACUAUGAUUAAUAACGUCUCUCGCCGACAAAUUUGUUUGAAACGUCCCCCCUUCUGCCCUGCCCCUCAUGAGAGAGAGAAAGUAGAGAGAGAAAGAAAGAAGGGGGUAUGCUGUAAGAGUUUUUCCAGUGCCAGUGUGCUGCUACGUUGGCUUACAUUUGUUGAGAUUUGAUUAGUCAGAGAAGAAAUUGGGGUGGGGUAUCAUAUACUCACCAACGGUGUGAUAACUUUUGGUGCAACUAUACUUAGCUGGUGACACCCUUUAAUGAAGGAUUUGGCUACGAUAUUAAAGGACUACUUUUCUAUACCAUGCCCAAAAAAAGCUACCAAUUGUAAAACAUCGUAAGUUACAGCCAACCAUAAAAUGCCACGUGUUUAAGAGGUACCAUUGUUUGGCAUCUUUGUAUUAUAAUGAAUUCUAUAUGAUACAAAAAUAUUUUAGUAUACCCCAUUAUAGAUUUCAAUAACUUAACUUUCAUAUUAUACCAAAUCUACACUAUAAACUUUUCCUUAAUGGUUUAAAUUCCAAUUUUAAAGAGUACAAAUAAAAUGUAAAUUAUAAUUUUUUUUCCAAAAGAUAUGGAUAUGUAUGGUAACUCCAAUUUUUUUUUUAAUUUAAAAAACAUGUUUAAUGAAUUUUUAUACAAUUUUGUUAUGGAAAUAAAUUAUUUUUAAAAACAAAUUUAAUAGGUUUUGUGUUUUUCUUUCGUCAAGUGUUCUAUAAUAUAAUUAAAAAGUAGAUAAUACUUCGAAAACUUUCACAUUUAAUAUAAAUAUGUAAUAACUUUCAAAGGGAAUAGAUUUAAAAAACUAAAUUUAUAUUUGAUAAUUGUUUUAAAAAAUAGUUUUUUAAGAAUAAUUUUUAAAAACUAUUUUUUGAUAUUUUAUAUAACAAAAACUCUAUUUGCGGAUCUGAAAUGUUUUUAAUACUUUUAAAUAUACUUUAAAAAUAAAAUUUACAUCAAGUGUUUUAUUUUUAAUUAUUCUACAUAUUCAUAUAAUUAUUUUUUUAAAACAAUCCUCCAAAAAUAUGUAAAAACAAAAUAAAAUAACUAAAAUAUAUUUUACCAGAACAUUUUUUUUUCUUAAAACAAUUCUGAUUAUCAAAUGUGUUUUCCUAUUUUUUGUUAUAAAAAACAAAAAAUUGUUCUAAAAAUUGUUGCCAAACAAAUCCUAAUUUUCAUGUUUGAGUUAUUAAAUUAUAAUUUAAGAUUUUUUUUUCAGUUUAAUAGAAUUUGGCAUGUAAUUAAAUGCCCACUAAAACAUUUUUUUUAUGAUUUCAAAUAUUUUUAUUUUAAAAAGUAAAUAAUAUUGUUAGCAUUGGAAUGGAUAUUAAUGUAACAUACCUUUUUUUGCCAAAUUACCAUUGCUAGAGUACAAAAAGUACAAAAAUAGAAACAAUUUUUUCAUCUUAUUAUUAUAAAAGUAUGCAAAAGUUUUUAAUUACUUUCUAUACUUUGAAUUAUUGCUUGAAACACAUUUAAAAAACACUCAAAAUAUUUCAAAAUAGUUUUUAAAAAGCAAUCUACUUUCAAAACAAAUUCUUAAAAAACUGUCUUGUAAAACAUGUUUUUUCAAUUUAAAAAAUAUUUUUAAGAACAAUUUUAAAUAGAGCCUUGAUGUAAAAAAAAAAAAAAAAGAGGGGUUUGAAGGUGGCAAGAGAAGAGGGGGAGGUAGCACGGAGAGGGGUAAGAAAGGGUGGGUGAGGGUGAGAGUUAUAAGUGGAAAAUUGGAAAAGGGUAUAAAAUAAGAGAAGGAUAGGGGGUGCAUGGGGUAUCGAGUCGGCAUGUGGGCUGACAGGGAAGAGAAGAGGUGGGUGGGACCCAGAUGCAAUCAUAGCCAAUAUGCUAGCCUGGCUUCAAUCCUAUUCGCUAUUCCCUCCCCUCUUCACGCCGCUUCUCUCAUUUUCCAACCAUUUAAGCUUUUCACCUUUUCUUUAUUUAUUUUUAUUUUUGAAAAAAAAAAAAGUCAGUGACUUGGCGAGCGGGCAUAUUUGAAAAACGAUAUUAAAAUAAUUUCCUAUUCCAAUUUUUAAAAAUAUGUUUUCUAAAUUUGAAUUAAAACUAACUUCAUAAGUUCGAAAACUAAAUAAAUUUUAGAGUAAAUUUAAUAUAUUUUAAAGUGAUUUUUUUUAUUGUAUUUUAAGAAAUAAUUGAAAAUAUGAUGAAUACUACAUUGUAUAUGAAUGUAAAAUACUUUCAUGAAUAUUAUUUUUCAUAUUUAAGUUCUUAAAUAAUUUUUUAAUUAAUUUAUUAUUUUUUAUAUUUCAACUCUUAAAUAAUUUUUUAUAUUAUUUUUAAUUAAUAUUAUUAUUAUUUUUCAUAUUAUUUUCUUAAAAAAUAAUAAUUGAUAAUUGAUUUUAAUAACUACUCUUGCAUUUGUUUUUAAGAACUAUUUUUUGUUAAUAUUGUAAAAUAGAUCCUACAUUUUUUUAUACACUAGGCCACCUCAUGAGUAUGUUAGGGAUCAAUAAGAAAUCUUAUUGUUUGUCAAAAUUGUCUUAUUUAUUUUUAUUGCUUUAUUUAUUUGUAAUAAGAAAUCUUUGUGUUUAACUAAGUUGUAUUUCUUGAUACCUUCUUUUUAUUUUUAUUUUUUAUUUAGUCUAAGCGUAGAAGAAUAAUUUUUGGAAUGUAUUUCAAAUUUCUAGGUUUUUUUUGUAAAGAAUAUUUUUUAUUUUCAUAUGUCAUUGUAAUAUUAUUUCUUUUUAGAAUAAAAAAAAAGUAUUCAAAAUAUUUCUAUAAAUUUUAUGUGUGAAAAAAACUAUAAUAAGUAUAUGAGGUGGAUACAAAUGCAAGAAUAGUAAACUGUAGAACUCAUGAUUUAAUAUGUAAAUAUAUGAGAAAUAUGAGAUGUUUCGAAAAUUUAUUCUGUCAUCUAUUGAUGUAAGUAUGAUUCAUCAAAUCAUCUUAAAAUCUCAUAUAUUUUAAUUAAAGUUAGAGUUGAUUAUUCUGUAUUUGGAUUGUUCUCUCAUUGAGAUGUAAUUAAAAAACAUAUAUCAUGGAGAGAUAAAAAACUAAUUUAAUGCAAUUUGAUCCAAGGUGGAGAUGGUUAAAAAAUGUUUCAAAUUUCUAAUUAAUAUAGAUUUUUUGUUUAUAACAUAUUAUAUAGAAUAUUUUAUAUAUAUUAUAUUUCCUCACAAAAUAAGGAAAAUUAUUGAAAAUAUCUUUAUAAAUAUUUUAGUUCAAUGAGGAAAAAUGUUAUGAAAUAAAAAUGAACUUAUAAAAACUAUACUUCCAUUCUCUCAUCAAUGGAUGUAGAUAUGUUUAUUCGAACCAUAUUAAAAUGUCGUGUAUCUUUGUAUGAAUUAAAGCUUUUAUUGACACAAUAUCAAUUAUGGCCAAGAUACCAUAACUUUUUAUACACUAUAAAUAAUAGAAGGUUUCACUUGCUUUAUAACAAUUUGCACUUGAUUGUAUAAAUGUUGUCUAUUUUAAAUUUAAGUCGUUACAAUUUUAAAUAUUUCAUGUAGAUCUAAUAUUUUUGUUAUAUUCAUAUAUUUUAAGUUUAAACAAACUCUUAUACUAAAGUCGAGAAUAAUAUGCUCUUAAUCAUAUAAAUAUCUUUUACGAAUGCAAGGAAUCAUCGCAGUUUUUUCCCCUAUCCAACAAUGGGAGAUAUCACAUGCCUAAGCAAAAAAAUAAGAAACCAUUUGUAUUCAAGGGGAAGUAAUUUCCUUAGUAAAACCUAAUAGUCAAGCAACCGUGUACCAAAACGGAUUGUUAUUCCAUCAAAUCCAUUUGCAAUUGACUCAUAAGGAUAAAUGUUUUCUUCCAUUGAGUAAACGUACGACGCGUAGCCCAUGUCCAGAUUUUUGUAUAAUCCCAUGAAGUUCGUGUAAUACUAUAUACGUGCAAUUGUGCAAUCAACUAAAUGGAUUAUAAAUACGAGGUGUGGGUACUCCUCGUUAAGUCUCCUUCAACCUUCGAGACUUCAUGAUACGAUAUGCAUUUUGUACCUUAGAAUUUCUCAAAAGAAAACUAUAGUCUAAAAUUUUCUUGUCUCAAAUAUUAUUAUUUUUAACUUAAUUCUUCAUAAAGGGUUGUUAACGUUAAUCUACCGUUGAGGUAAAAAGGAGAUCUAUAUAAUAUUUUAAAAUUGGAAGAUGACUGAUAUAAUGUACCCAAUUUUUUGUAAGCUAAAAUAAUUACUUUUUCCAUUUUCAAGCAAUUAUUUUUCAUCCAUUUAUACUUUAUGAAAGAAAAAAAAAUCAUUAGUAUAAAAAUAUCAUCAAUUGACAAGGAAAAUUGUUGUUCCAAUAAAUAUGACAAACCAUAUUAUAAUAUGCUUUUUCUGUUAUUUUCAUAAAUACAAUAAGCAUUAUUAAAAAAAGUAUAUAUGAUCCCAAAUUCUUUAUUUUCUAAAAUAUCGAAAAUGAUGAUCUUAUAGAGAUAAAUUUUAAUAUUUCUUCAUCACCUUUUUCUUACUGUGGUCGCCUUCUUUGUGAUGCAUAUUUUUUUCUCUCCCAUAUGACAGUUGUGUCUCUUAUAAUUAUUGGAGGGUGCUUUUUGGUAUUUCUUCAAUAUGACAGCUAUCUUAUUAUCAUUAGAGGGUACUUUUUGGUAUGAUACAAAAAAAUAGCCAUAAGUACCUUAUGCUAUAUGUUUAUAAAGAAAUUUGAAGUAUGAUAGGAAUAGGAUUUUAAUUAAUAAAUUUUAAAAUGAAAUACAAGUUAUCAUGGGCUAUCGUACACAUACAAAUAAUAUUUGUACCUAGAAAAAUAUAUAAUAUUGUAUUUAUAGGCAUAAACUAUCCACUUUAGAUAUUCAAUUAUAAAAUCUUAUUCUCGAUCGAUCAAUUCAAAUUAUGCAGUUGAGGCAUUGGAUUGUAAAACCCAAUUUUUUCUAUCAAUUCAAUGAUACCUUUUAGUAUGCCAUUAAAAAUAGUAAUUUUAUAUUAUAAUAGAGAACAGAAUACCGUCCAUGAAAUCUAAAGAAAAAAACACUAUAAUCCAAAUUCUUGGAUAGGUUAACAUACCUUGAGUAAAAAUAGGACAUGUGUAAAUGUUUUGAAAGUUCUAUAAUGUUUCUAUUCUUGAAAACCUUAAUUAUUCGUAACUACUUCGAUCAUAUACUAGAGGAUUAAGAGAAAGGCUCAUCUUUGAACUUAUACAAGUAUUGUACCAAAAAAUGCAUCAUCAAUCAAAUGAUUUCAUAUAUGUAUGCAUAUCUCAUUGUUUUGUACCACUUCGAUAAAGUUGAUCUUAUUGUUUUGUACCCAAAUUUUAUUUCUUUGUAUUUUAUAUAAAUUUCAUUAUUUUGCGUUUUGAUUUCAUAUAUUAAUAUUUUUAUUCAAUAAUUCAUAUUUGAUAGUUUAUUUUGAAUGAUAUGAUUGAAACAUAUUCAUUUAAAUUUCAAACAUAAAUCAAAUGAUUAAUAUAUUUCAUGCCGAAGGUGGCUUUUUAUUAAAAAUAUUUUGAUAGAGAAUUAAUUAAUAUUUAUAAUCAAUAAUAUUUUUUUUCUUAACCAUUUAAUUUUUAUACAAAAACUACUUUCAAAUGUUAAGAUACGUCUUUAAUCAUCCCAAAAUAUAACUUUUAAAUAGAUUUUAAAAUUUAUUAAUAAUAAUGAAGUAUUCCACUAAACAUCUGCUAACUCUACAAGAUAAUAUUAAAACAUUAAAAUUAUGUUUGGUUUUUGAAAAUUUGAGAGAAAUAAAAUUCGGAUAAAAAAGUAGAAUGAAAAAAAAAAGUUAAACAUAAUAAAUUAUUUUUAUAUAUUUCUUUAAAUUUAUUGUAUUUAUUUCCAUUUAUUAUAUAAAGAUUAAAUAAUUUAAAAAUAUAUAAUUUUUUUGAUAAAUUUAAUUUUAUUUAUUUAUUUAUUUUUAUGAUAAAACCAAACUCGAGAAACCAUUUUUUUAAUACUUUUUUUUUUUCAGUACUUUUCAGGAACCAAAUAUAGCAUAAAAAUACAUGAUUUAUUUUUUUGUUUUAAGUUUUAAUUAAAAUUUGUUACAUAAAGUUGUUAAUUUUUUUUAUAAGAAAUAACAGUAUCUCAAUUUUCAUAUGAAGCUUCUUUUUGAAUAGCCAUAAACUGUCUCGAAAAAAUUAUAUAAAUAAGUCUAAAAACUUCUAUUAAAAUUUUGAAAAAGAACUUUUAGCUUCCAAAUCGAACUAAUGAUAACCCUGCAAUGUAAGAAAAUAAGAAUCGUUAGACAGAAUAUUGAAAUCAUACCAAAGAGUAGGUCAAUGCAACAUCCUUCAUGUUCACAACACAAAAGCAAAAGCUUUCAUUUUUCACGGUAACUUGUCUGGUGUCUGUCCGUUUUCUCUCCCUUUUUCUUGUACCCUAAGCCCUAUAUUUUUACACUCAAAAUUUGGCCUCUUGGACUUCACUUUGUUGCUCCACCGCUUCAACAGUUCCAGGGCUUCUUCAGUUUUGUUUUGCCCUUUUUUUUUGUGGGUUCAAACUUUCUAGCUGUAUAUACAUAAGAGAACAAAUCCCUUAUCAGAUCUCAUAUCUCCAAAAUCAACUCAAAAUCUUCAUAUGGUACGAACAAAACAUUAAAUCUAGACAAAGCUGAUAGGAGUUUGAUAGAAUGGAGUUGAAUGGAGCGUGAGGUCACAUGCUGAGCAUAUGGGAUUGAAGAGUGUGUGUGUGUGUGUGAGAGAGAGAGAGAGAGAGAGAGACCCACCUAGGGAAGCAGUGGCUUCUACAGUGAGGAAGCCACAUGCAGUGCAUAUAAUAGAGAAAUAAUUCAAGCUGGCAUGUGAUGAUUUGGAUAUGAUGUGAGGAAAGGUCCAAAAGAUGUUAGAAAAGAUAUUGUGGCAUAUGGUUUGUUUAAUGGAGGGGUAUGGCCCAGCAUAUAAUACAACUCUUAAUGGUAAAGAGAAGGGAAAUCUUGUAGUUGGAGUUUAGAAUAGUCAAGGCCAGUGAUUUAUAAGCCAAAUUGUUGACUGCAGAUAAUUUGGCUUCAUUUGGUGGAUUGGUUCACAUUGAUCAUUGGAUAAGUGCAAAUUAAUCAAAUAUGAUCUUCCUUGUACUAGAGGUCACAUCUUUUAACUUGGGGGUCUCAUCCUUACAUUUGCAAUGCCUUUAUUCUUAAUCUCCUCAUCCACACCAGGUCAGCUAUUUGUUGUCAUGGACUUAACCAUUUAUAGCUGAGUUUUGUUGCUCCUUUGUCCCCUUGUGGCUGAUUCUAUACUUUCUCUCAAAUGCUUUCAUUUCCAAUUUUCCUCUUUUAUUUAUCACAAUCUAGCUAUCUCUUUCUGGCAUGACCGGUAUUCUCUCUACUAUUGAGUCAUAAAUUGCUUUGUAACCUUCACUGUACGUUGUUUUGAGAAGUUCUUUCCAUUUUCUUCCAUGCCACCCUACACGUUGGGAAAAAUAUGUUAUAGCAACGUUAGAUUUUUUAGUAGAAGAGAGAAAUUAGUUAUUAGAAUUUUCAUUUAUUUUUGUGUAUUUAACCUUUCUAUUCAAGCUUUUGCCUACACAACAUAUAAACUAAUGAACCAGAACAUAUUAUCCUUAUAUAUAUAUAUAUAUAUAUAUUGAUAUGGCAUCACAUACACUCUUAAAAGAUUAAGCUAAUGGGAUGUAAAAGUAGACUCACAUAUAAAGUCCAAUUAAUAUUAAUAAUCAACAAAUGUGAGAAAUUGAAUUUUCGUUUAUCCUAUGUCAGACACCUCUAUUUAAUAGUUGACGCCCACCUCAAUGAGCUUGUGGUGAGUUAGACCAAAACUCGUUCUACUACCAAAUGGUGUAGAACCACAUACAUUUUUAAAAGUGUAAGCUAAUUGGAGGUAGAUGUAGAUCUUUUAUCGAUUGAUGACUAAUAUUGGUUGGAUUGACCUUAUAUAUAUAUAGACACAAUUUUCUUUACCCAAGUUCUGACUUUUCAAGGAGCCGGGUGAUAAAACUAUAAGUGGUCUACAUCCCUAAACUCACUGUUAUGAGCAGUAAGACCAUGAACCCAAUUCGAUGUGAAUAACAUUUUCUAUCGAGAGAUAACAUAUACACAUGUAUGCCUCCACCCCACUCAUUAAAACCCCCCAGCAUGUAUACCAUGUACAUGCAGUGUGUCAUCCAUGGAUAGAUCCUGUCCUUUUCGAGGAACACACAAUGACCAGCCCUGCAAUUGGAAUUUUGUCAAUCAAUACAGCACCUUCAGGACCAUGACCACAUGGCAUGACAGCAAGAAAUAGCUAGCCCUACAAACUAAAGGACCCACGAAAUGGACCAUCUAAUAAAAAAAUACCAAGUCUACCCAAAAGAUGUGGUUGUCUUCCUUGUUUCUUUUGGUGGAAAUCAGAAAAAACCAAAUCACCAAACUUGUGGACAGCCUGACUUUCAUAUAUAUACUCUGAUCAUUCAGUUUGGUUUCUCAAAUAUUUAUCAAAAUGAAAACCCCAACUAAGAAAUCGAAGACGAGGAAUCUUAUAAAUGACUAAGCAUCCAUCACAACGGAAAUCUCUUAACUGGUAAGGAAUUAAGUCAGUCCAUCUGGAGAUUUGCUACAGCGAUUUUUCUAAUGUUCACACACUUGAUGCGAGUAGCAUUUUUCUCAUGUAAAACACGCCUUAUGUUGGUUCAAGGGCCUUAAAAAAAAAAAAAAAGGUAAAUUGACCUAACCCAAGGUCGAACAAAAUAAGAAACAAAACACAAGGAUAGGGUACUUAUUAUUUAAAGUGAUUGAGGCAUAUCAACCUUUACGCCUCGAUGCAGAAAGGAAUUAACGUGCUACGUACCUUUAAUAUUCAACAACCAAUGCAACCUUGACUUAGGUGAACACUUUUGAUAAGAAAAAUACAGCUCAUAAGACUUUAUAUGAUGAUCACGUAGAGGAUGAUAUGACUGUAGUCAUGACGGAUGCAGUAAGAUCAGGUGCAGCAUGGUGGACACAGCCUCGGGUUGCAGAAUGCUGUAGGAUGCAAGGGAGUAAAAAGGACUGUGGAACAACUAAAUGACUAAGUAAAAAAAAAGAAUUAAAAAAAAUUAAAUAAAAAACAUUAAUUUUGGAUUUAUAAAACUGGUCUCCACUUAGGAUGGGAAACCAAGCCACCCGAAUUUCCGCUGGGGUGGGCUUGAGCCCUCUAGGCGUACGAGACUCCCACUUAUCCCUCCACAAGCUUAUAAAACUAAGGAAUUGGGAUUCAAUAUAUACCCACUUAAACGAGCUUCUCCUUUUUUCACGUGGGAUUGGAGCUUCUUCUUUUUUAACACUUCAAAACUCACUCACUCCUACACUUUAUGCAAGUAUUAUACGUAGACAAAAUACAAAUCGAGAAAAUCAGUACAGUAGAUAGAAUCUCAUCGUUGUAGCUGCUCAGAAGUCUGAUUACUUAAGAUGGCCGGAUGAAGGUGAUGCCCUGCCAUUCUGUAUUCCAUUAUCAACAGGCGCUGUAACACCCCACAUCCCCUCCGGCUCGGACAGUUCACUGUUGCAUGAACAUGCAGCAUAAGUUAUAGGCAGAGUGUCGUACACCUUGUGGUACCCACUGCAAUGAAAAACAUGCUACAGAAUUUGUUUCCAAUAACCAAAAAGUAUGCAUUCUAUGAGUAUAUUUUUACCUGCCCAACACAAUCCAUCUUAAAAACAUCAUAUACGGGAAUUUGUGUCUCAUGGAAUACCAACAAGUGAACUUGAUCAGAAUGGAACUGCACUCCAGUGUCCCCACCAGGAACCAUCCCAGAGGGCGGUUGAAUUGUAAUUGAUUUCCUUCUCUCCCAUGCAUCAGUGUUCCAAAAACAAAGCUACAAAAGCAGCCAUCAUAACCAAUGAUUUCAUCAAGGCAUCAGAACAACUACAUACUUGAUGUCAGAAUAGUAUAAGCAUUUGAGAAUCAUGAAUUAAAUGGCGUAUCAAAACAAAAACUAAUCAUAAUAAAUAAUAGUUGAGAUUAUCUUCCUAGAACAAGAAUGGAAAUCCCAAGAGUCUUAAGAGACGGAGAUAUGUUCAAGCAUCCAUAUACAUCUUUGAUCACACUCAUGUUUAUGAUUCAAACAAUUCUAAGGAGGAAUUUAAAAACAUAUGUUUAUGAUUUUUUAUACAGCUUCUUAGUACAUGUUGACAGAGAUGUUAGUACUCCAUUCAACUUUCCAGCAAGCCAAAUAACUAAUAAGAAAAAAAAAAAGAAAAAAAAGAAAAGAAAGAACUAGAAAAGGAAAGACAAAAUAAGGGAUGGUAAAGAUUCAUUGGAAUUGUUUGACAAUGAAUAAUGUUGGAAACGAUUUGUUUGUUAAUAAAUUUGUGGUAUUCCAUUUAUAUGCUAGUGAACUUUUUUCUUUUUGUCCUAUCAUUCAUUAGUAUAUUAGUAAGCAAGAAUUAGGGCAAAAAAAAUAAAAAAAAUUGAAUGUUUCACUAUUUGUGACCUAUGUCUUUUUAUUAUUAUUAUUUUAUUUUAGUUUUAAUGCCCAAUAGAUACUACCCAUUUUAUUAAAAAAUUUGUCCCAGCUGUUCAAAAUAACUUGAAAUUUGAUCAAGUUCUGAUUCAUCUUACUUCUAAAGUACUCAUCACUUCUAACCCAUCCUAUUUGUUGAUUUUUCCUACUUUUUAUUAGCAAAACUUCUUGAAAAAACCUUUGGGCUAUAUUGGUUUUUAGAAAAUGUUAAGCAAAAAAAGAAAAAAGAAAAAGUGUUAAAAAAUUUAAAUUUUUUAUAUUUGAUUUUACUAUAAAAAAAUAUGGAUAAAAAUCAAAUAUAAUUAAAAUUAAUAAUAAAUUUGUAUAAUUUUAUUUAAAAGAAUUAAAAUAAGUAAAAUAAGUUUGAAAGGCGGUAUAAAAAUAAUUUUUCCUGAUUGUACUUCUUGGAAUCAUACAUAGCCUUCAUAUCUUAUUAAUUGAUAUACUAUUAAUAGUUUUUUAUUAUAAAUUUUCCAUAUAUUGACCGCUAAUUACCCAUUCGAUAGCAUAUAAUUUCCCUAAAUGACGAAGAAUAAUAGAACCAAGUAUUCUUAUUCAUUGAAAUUCAAAAUUUUCACCAUGGGCCAGGGCUAACUCAAACCCUGGGCUGGAAAUUGUGUUGACCCGAUUGACGGCCCAUUUCUGUCGGAUCUCCUUGUCCGUUUCCAUCCCUACCCGAGAGACCACACAGGGUUUCAAUUUCCAAAAACCCUCACAAAACCCCAGCGGCGAUAGAAUCAAAACCCACAUAAUACAUUCAACAGAGGGGACUAGCAAGGAACGAAGGGGACCUCCAAUGGCGGCAAAGACCCAACAGAGCAACAAAUCUAAUAAAAGAAAGCAAAUUACAGGUCCUCACAGCAAGUCAGAUACCUCACCGUCCAAGAAGCCGAAGCUCCUUCAAUCCAAAUCCUCCAAUCCUGGAAACAAGGGCCUGAACAAGCCCUUCAAAUCGUUCAAACAACAGCGCCCCGUCAAAUCGCAUUCCGGAAAAUUAGAAACUGCUGGAGCAAACGAGGGUCCAAAAUCGAAGAGAGAACGUCGGUUGCAUGCCAAGGUGGAUUCGCUGUUUUGUAGAGAUUGGGUGUAUAUGUAGAACAUCGUAACUUGAAUUCGAAUUGAAAAUUAGGGUUUAUAUUUUGGGCAUGAAGUUGAAUAUGGAUUGGAAGUGUAAUUUGUUGUUUUGUUUGGUUUUGGAUUAACUGCAGGAACUGACAGAGGCUAGGAAAAAGAAGAGAAAGAAGCAUUACACUCUUGAACAAGUUAGUAGGGCCAUUUUCUAGUUUCCUUUGGUUUUCUAAAUGAACUUCACCUGAUAUAAUUAAUGUCAUCGAUUCAAAGUCCAAUUGAUAUUAAGCUUUUCUAUCAUGGAUUUUGGAGGCCAUAUCUGUAAAUCACGGGUGUUUUUUUUUUUUUCUGCGUUAUAUAUAUUGAAAAUAAUGUAUGGAAGGCAAGCAAAAUGCUGAAAGCAGUUUGAGAAGGGUCCAUUUUGAAGUGAAUUUCUGCAUUCUCUUCCUUUCCCUAAUUCUUCACAAGAACCAAAGAGAGUCUAAAACUUUGAUUUAUUUGUAAUUAUUGUGUAUGAGACUGAGCAUGUGUGGAUACAUGUUACACUUUAUUUAUUUAUUUAUUUUGGUUCUUUUUUAUUUUCAUACAAUUCUCUCUGUCAUAAGAGCAUGCAUGAGAUAUGGGCUCACUUCCUUAAUGAAGGUUAACUUGUUCUUCAUUGAUUAAACAAUUUCAAGCUCAAGCUUUCUUAUUAUUGGAUGUUUGCUCAUGAAAUAGUCACUAAGAUUUAUUCUAAGACUCACCCAGUGAAAGUGGAGUGCACAGCAUGUUUGCAGAUGUAGUAGUUACUAAGAUUUAUUUUAAGACUCGUAUAGUGAGAUUGUGGUGGCUUUUGGCUUAAUAGAGUUUUUCCGCCUUUCCAACUAGGAGCUUGCAUCACUGUGGGAAAAGAUGAGGCGCCGUAAUAUUGCAAAAGAAGAUAGAUCUAGGUAUGCUUAUUAACCAUAUAUUGCAUGGGGCACUUCCUCGUUCUUACUUUUUGGGUAUGUUUAUUAAUUAUAUAUUGCAUUGGCUACUUCCCUAAUGGCUUGUUUAUAUUCCUUCCAUUGUUAAAUUGAAAUUUAUCAUAGGUUGGUGAGUGAAGCUCUACAUAAGAUGAAAGGGAAAAUCCCUGAAAUAGCAGGAUCCCAUGUUUCUUCCCGUGUGCUGCAGGUGAUUUCUAGAAAAUUGCUUUUUGGGUGUCUUCAAAUUUAAGGGCUUCAUUUGUUUAUUCCAGCUUGUAGUAAUUCUUUAUCUUUUACCUCAGACUUGUGUUAAGUACUGUACACAAGCUGAAAGGGAUGCUGUAUUUGAGGAGCUUCAGCCACAGCUUCUCACCCUUGCAUGCAACACGUAUGCAGUGCAUCUGGUGAAGAAAAUGUUAGAUAAUGGUAUGUUCAGCUUCAAGGGUAAAAAAACUGAAGAGCACUGCUUCAGAGUCAAGUCGAUUUUAUUUUCUUAUUAUCUUAAGUUACUUUUAUGCUGCUUGCAGCCUCUAAGAAACAUCUGGCAGCAUUUAUGUCUUCCCUCCAUGGCCAUGUUGCUUCUCUUCUUCGUCAUAUGGUUGGAUCUGUUGGUAUGUCAUUAUAAUUUGAUAGGUUUUCUUGUUCUUUUUUUUUUUUUUUUUUGUUGAUGGGUAAAAAAUCCAUUGUAUUUUCUUGUUCUUCUGGAGUAUUUGGAAUCAAAUAGUUAUUUGGCCCUAAUAAUAGCUACAAUAAUUAGCAUUUUAUAUGGGUUUACUUUUCCAAAUUGCCCAAGUUAUGUCUCAGUUACUUUUGGCAGGUUCUUAGUUUACAGUGACUUAAGAAAAAGUACUGAGUUGGUUGGGCCCUCUUGGAUUUUUCUGGAGUUUGUUUAGGCAAGCUUGGAUUUUGAUUCUUGCCACACUUUUGGAGCAAGUAAGGUGUAAGGGAACCUGGGAGGGGAAGAAGUAAGAUGAUAGGAGUGUUUUAUUCAAUUGGCAUUGGCAUGCUGUUUCUUCAACUUGACCACUUCGAUAAUGUAUUCCUGUGAAGUAGCCAAAUUUAUUUUUCUCAAGCCUUUCAGGUUAUAUGAUUCUUUCAAUCAUUUGGCUUCAUGCAGUUGUUGAGCACGCAUACCAGUUGGGAAAUGCAACUCAGAAACAAGAGCUUCUGAUGGAAUUGUAUGCCACAGAGCUUCAGUUGUUCAAGGACUUGGCCUCAGUAAAAGAGAGCAGGUAAAGAGUCAUUUGUUUGAUUGACUUUCUUGAUAUCCUUUUAAUAUUUCCAAAUAACUGCAAAAUCUUCUCUUUAAACAAAAUCACCAUUUAUACGAUUUUCAAAAGUUCAUUUUUCUGAAGAUUAAAAAGUUACAUUUUCAAUCUUCAGGGCAAUUUGAGGACUAAAUUCCUAUCGCAGCAUAACAGGCAACCAUAGUCUUACAAAGUGAAAAUCUUAUUGUUUUUUCUAGGAUCUUUGUUUUCAUUCCAGGGUAUAAAGGAAUAACUAUUGAAUUACUUUUUCACCCCGAGUUGUGUUCCUUCUUUUCUUUUAUUUUCAGAUGUUUCUAAGAUGCCCUCAUUAUUAUUGGGUUUUACCCCCUUUAUGGUUUCUGUAUAUAAGGAUCCAUUAGGAUUGAGUGUGGAUCCAACAGGACAAUCAAAAUAUUGGAGUUGUUUCGUUUUGGAUUGCAUAUUGUUAAGUAAUCCCUAGAGCUUGUGCUUCCAUUGCAACAAAGGACUCCCUUUGGAUGUGGAAAAAGGUCAUAUCAGUAAUUGUAUGUGUAUAUAUUUAUGUGCAUAAAUGUGUAUGCAUGUGUGUAUAUGUGCUUCUUAUCACCAAAAAGUAAAAAAAAAAAUACAAAUAAAAUAAAUUAUUUAUUGAAUUAUAAUGUCAAUAUAUUAUUACUUUUUAUGGAGAUGAGUUUGUAGGGACUAUACGAAGUGGAUAGAAAUAUGAGGAAGAAUGAGAGAUAUCUGGUAGAGCGAGGAGGCUUGUGGUUUAGGGUGUGGAUAUAAGGAUUAGAGAAACAUGGGAUGUUUUGAGAACCCAAUAUUCAUAUCUGGUUCUGUCCUCUAUAAUGUUCUCUAUUGUAUAAAGAAAAAAUCCUCUCAUCCAUAGAUGUAGGUAUGACUAGUCAAACCAUGUUACAACCUCAUGUAUUAUUGUGUUGAUUGAUUUAUCUUUGUGUUUUUUGGAUUAACCUUGUUUACAUUAAAGCUUUCGUUGAUACAACAAUUUGGUAUAUUCCUGACAUGUAAUAUAUGAACUUUUAUGAAUUUUGAGGGUUCCUACUUUCUCAUUGUCCUUAUUACUUCUUUCAUGUUGUCAGGUUAAUAGAUGUAAUUUCUAAACUAGGACUGCAAAAAGGUUCUGUCUUACGACACAUGAGCUCUGUGAUUCAACCAAUUUUGGAGAAAGGAAUAGUUGACCACUCUAUCAUACACAGGGCAUUAAUGGAAUACUUAAGCAUUGCUGACAAGGUAUUCAUCUUGAAUUAGCAUUUUCUUGCCUGCUGGAGUUCCUUGUUUUUUCUCCACUUUAUUUUUACCUUUUCCUAAACCAAGUCUUCUAGCAGUCAUCUGCUGCAGAAGUAAUCCAGCAGUUAUCAGGUGCACUCCUUGUUCGAAUGAUCCAUACCAGGGAUGGAUCCAGGAUUGGGUUGCUCUGCAUCAAACAUGGGAGUGCAAAGGUUUGUGUAAAUUUGGUCAAGAUUCCCCCACGAGUUGAUCCACUAAAAGACAACUAAUCUGAUCUGAUCUUAUGCAUUUGAAGUUUUAAUUUUUAAUAACUGAUGAAUUGUUCUUCAAUGUCAUCUUUUAUUUUAGGAAAGAAAGAAAAUUAUCAAAGGAAUGAAAGGCCACAUAGACAAGAUAGCUCAUGAUCAAUGUGGGAGUAUGGUAAGGAUCAGUUUCAGAAUGCAUUUACUCAACUUUUAUUCUCUAGGGCACUCUUACAAAACUUCCUGUUAGCUUUCAGCCUGUGCAUUUUGACUUGUAUUUCCUACAGAUGUCAUAUUGACCAUGUUGUUACCAGCCUCAGUAAUUGAGAGUCUAUCUUUGUAGUUUGUGAUGCUUAUCAGUUCAGCUUUCUUAUUGUUACUUUUGGUUGAUAUGUCUUCGGGCUUUCUUAUAUUGAUAUAUAUUCCUUCAUAUAUGCAUUUGUAUAUAUAUAUAUAUCUUCCUUUGUAUAUGCAUUUGUAUGAGCAUAACAACACUGAAAUAAGAACUUGAUUUAUAUUUUUAGGGCAUUCCCAUACUAUCAUUGAGAUGAAAUCAUUCCAUUUUAUUUUCUGUAGCAGUUGAAGGCACAAAUCUAUCCUUCAAUUAAAGUUAUCUAUCAUAAUAAUGUGUCAACUUUCAAUGCAAAAGUUGAUGUCUAAUGAUAAUAGUAAUAAAAUGUAAGUGUUUUUAUUUCUUUAAAUCCUAAAGUGAUCCUAGAUGUGAUACUGAAUAGAAUCAUUUCAGAUUCUGUAAAUAACAAAAUGGAUUCAUGUUAAAUGCUUGCAGCAUGUAUCUCCAAUGCUUUAAUUUUAUGGGAUGUUCAAAGCUCCCUCCAGUAGCUCUGGUUUUCAUAAGAUUGUUUUGUGCACUCACUUCUAGUCUAUGGCAAUACAAGUUCAAUCAGCAUGAAGCCCCAACUGGAAUUUGACUAACGGAAUUUUGAAUGGCAUUUGCACAUGAUCCUGGCAAUGCUAACAUAGGUCCACCAUAUGUCUACGUCUAUGCUUAUGGGUUCAAUGCAAAAAUUGUUAUGGUUAAGAAAAUUUAUUGGCUUUAUGGUAUUAUAUAUUGUAUCCCACCAGUCAUCAGUACCAUUCUGAGGCCCAUCCUUACCUUAUUUUUUUUUCCUAUUGCUGCCUUGAUUAUUUUAUAAGGUAUAAAUUUUUGUUUAUUCUUUUGUGGUUCAUUUUAUUUUAGGAUUCACCUUACACUAUUUACUUUUCAGGUGCUUGCUUACAUUCUUUCAACUGUCGAUGACACAAAACUACUAACUAAGGUUGGCUCCUUUAGUGAUGUUUGUCAUGAAUUAUUCUUCAUAAUUAAUGGAGUUGCUUUUUAUUUGAAGUUCUUAAUCAAAUUCUCCUUAACACAGGUUAUUAUUCGUGAGCUUCAAGCAAUUUUGAAAGAGCUUCUUUUGGAUAAGGUUUCUACUCUUCUUGUUCUUUUACAUUACACUGGCAUAUAACCUCAAACAGAGAUUGAUAUAGCUCUGAAUAGGAUGUAAGUAUGGUUGACGAACCAUUUUUAUCUAAAACCCUAUUCUCGUUUUGGUUUUGCUGCUAGUUAACCACUUCCCAAAAAUUGUCUGGUGGGAUUAUUGAAGAUGUCUGUAGCAAACUCUGUGGGUCUUUUAGAGAUUAUUUGAUUUGCUUCAAAAGGAAGCUGAGACAUUGGUCGGCUAAAUUAGAUCAUUGCCAUUAUUUUUUUCUUUUAUCUUCCUGAAAUUAUUUUUAAAAUGCAUCCAAGUAAUUUUACAUGGGCCCUCUUUCCAAGUGCCAUGUAUACAGCUGUGUUGUUGGGAGACCAUCUUUACUAUUUUCCUAUUUUAACCUUAUAUUUCAUGGGUUCAUAAAGUGAUUCUGUUUCCCUUGUCUAAAUUUCAGAAUGGAAGACGAGUCUUAUUGCAGCUCCUUCAUCCAAAUUGUUCCCGCUAUUUCAGUCCAGAGGAUCUGGUUUCUUUCAAUUUGUCUAUUCCUUCUCUUAGUCCCAAGGUAUUGCCGACUUCUGAUAGCUUUUUGUAGUAAGAUAUUGAUCAGUGAUGCAAUACAUUGAAGCUUGUAUCUUUCUCUUUUUAUCCCAUGCCAGAGUGAGUCCAAGGUAAAUCCUGACUCUGUUAAGGAAGCAAAAUCUUCUAAGACCAAGGAAUCUGGUGAUGAGGAGACAAAGGGUGACCUAGAGGUAACUACAGCUGAGGCCAAUGAAAACACUAGCCCCAGUGAGAGCCAUCACAUAGCUGAAGGUGGAAAAAAGGAUCCAAAUCUAAGAAGACAAGAGUUGUUGGUUGAUAGUGGGCUUGCUGAGGUUUGUUGUUUCAAUCUAUUGUAUGAUAUUUUUAACCAAAAGGUUUAUCAUUUUUAUCUAUUUGCACCCUGUUGCCUUCAUUUACUUUUGCUCCAUCUUUUCUUUUCAACUGGAAGGUGAAUCACAUCAUCCCUUAUACACAUUCAUCUUAAUGGAAAGAAUUUAAGCUGUCAUGUUAUACACCUAUCCAAUUUGCUCUGGAAACUGAUUUUAUGUGUCUUGCAGAAUCUCAUUGACACAUGUAUUGAGAGUGCAGGAGAAUUACUUAGAUCAAAUUUUGGCAAAGAAGUCAUGUAUGAGGUAGCUAUUUUGUCUAUUACUUCAUCUUAAUGACAGUCAAUCCUCCCCAGGGUUUCUGUGGAUUUUUAGUCAAGAAACUGUUUAAAUGCUUUUAGUUUCUGUAUUAGCUGCAUUAGGUCUCUGGACUUAUCACCUGCCGGAUGAAUUGUGGUUUUAUAAACCCAGUUUUAUCUGUGAUCUUCAUCACACGGUCUGAAGCAAUCAAUGAGCUAUUAAUCCAUCAACUCAUUUCUUCACUUAUCUUGGUAAUGCAUGCAGGUUGCAACCGGGGGUGCUGGUGGCAUUCUACGCCCAGCUUUGGAUGAAAAGUUAGAUGCACUACAUGGAGCUAUAGCAUCUCUUGCAGCACAGCCUAAAUCAGAAGAAUCAGAAGAGGAACAUGUCCUUGAAAAUUUUCACUCCAGCAGGACCAUUAGAAAACUGGUCUUGGACUGCCCUACUUUUGCUUCCACUCUGUGGAAGAUAGCUCUUGGAGGGAAGUGCGAAAUGUGGGCCCAGGGUCACAGGUUUGACUACACUGACUCCUUUCAAGUCCUUUUAAGACCAAUGCAUUAACCACUUAGAUAAUGAAAUAUUUUCUGAUAUCACAUUUUGGGAAUGUGAAUGCAGUCAUAAGGUAGUUUUGGCAUUCUUAGAGGCCUCUGAUUCUGAGGUAUGUGAGCUGGCCAAGGGAGAGCUGCAGCCCUUGAUAGAUAGUGGCAUUCUCAAGAUCCCAGAGACCAAGCAGUAGGCAAAAUAAAGAGUUUCAAGGCACUGGUAGCCCCAAUGAAGAGAGGAAGUCUUACUCAAUGGAACAAGCAUUGCCGUGAUGGUGGAUCCUACUGGUUCUCACUUCCGUAGUAUUUCCAGUUACAUAGCCAUGUAAUGUUUUUCUUUUUGGCCUAAGAAACAAGUUAAUGUAGCGGCGUUCAUAAAAGACUAGACUGUGCCAGGCAGUGUUCCGUUUUGGUUGAAUUGAGUUUGAAAGUAAAAGAAAAUUUUUUAUCAAAGACGACUUGUUUUCCAUCAGAUGGGUCUGUACUAUAUCUGGCUUUCUACUUAUUCUUUUGAACUCGAAGCCAUAUGUUGUAUACUGCUGCUUGGAAUCUACAUAUAAGCAUAACAUCAGAUGAUUCUUUGUGAUUCCAUUUGCCAUAGAAAAUUGCUGAAUACAUGAAAAAUGCGUCAAUCAAACUGUGAUUUUGUGGAUAGAACAUGGUUCUCCUGAAUUCCUAUUAUUAAUUAAGACAUUUGGAUUAGCAAUUGAAUAGUUGCCUUCUGAUUUGAUCCUGAACAAAUUGCAACAUCUCACUCCUCUUCCAUAUUCCCAGUUCAGUAAGUUUCUUGUCUGCAACUACCAAAUCCCAGGUUUCUGGUAACUCCGUGUCCUGUAGUGAGGGUAGCCUUGGUGCAGAUAGUCAGACGGAUUGAAGAGAGGAGAUUCUUUCCUCGAUGUCACAUUGCUCCUCAAAUAGUUCUCUGUCACCCUUGACCCCGGCAAAUACCAGAGGCUCUCAGUCUUCUUAUAAAAGAGUGGUCUGUGGUGAGGAUAGCCUUGAAAUUGAUAGUCAGAUGGAUUGAAGAGUGGGAACUCUUCUCUUGAUGCUGCAUUGGUCUUGAAGCAAUUCUCUAUCACCCUUGCCUCCUCCUUUAACCUGUCUCUGAUGUCUCUCAGACCUCGAAAAACUUUGUAAUAUCUCGACCAGUUUGUAGGAUUCAAUGGCUUCAGUUUUGCGGAGCCAGAAUUGGCUGAAGGAUUGCAGGCAGUAUAGGGAAUUCUGUUGCAGUCCCUGCAGAAGCUUCUCCAUCUCUCUGAGUCAAAGGUUCUUCUCUUCACAUCAUCAGACAGACAUGCAUAUGCCUUCAAAUAAUAACAUACAGAUUAAUGAAACAGAAGAUCAAGUGAAAAGCAGCACAUCGCCCAAACCUAAUGUGGCAGAUUAUGUGGGUUCCAUAAGAGAUCACCCUAUGCCCAAUGAACCAUUAAUCUCUCCUACCCAACAUACAGAUCAUGUGGGUUCCAUAGAAGACUACCCACAAAUGGUUAGGGCCAUAUCUUCAUCCCUACCCACCAUAACAACUAUUUGGUGAAUCAAACUAGGCUCGAACUUCAACUUUGCAUUAACCUUGGGUUCUAUGUUCUAGGGAAAUACAUCAAAAAAGAGAGAAUGAAUAAAUCCCAUUUUUAUUCUAUUGGUAUCCUAUGGACUACUGCCCCGAGAUUCCAGAAGAUAUGUAAGGGAAGAGCUCCAACCUCUGAUACAAGUUUGAAGGCAAUUUCAGCCUUGGGAUGCUUGUUCUUAUCUGGGUGAAGUUGCAAAGCUGCAAAGAGAGCAUUCCUCACAAAAUAUGAAAGAAUAACAGACUGCAAAGACUACAGAAAUAUUUACUUCAAUCUGAAAUAUACCGAAUUUGUGGUAUUGUCUCCGAAUAAUAUCUACAUCUGCAUCUUCUUCAACCUGUUUCCACCCAGAAACAGAAUUCUCAGCAACAUACAUUCAAACCCAGAAAAAAUGGCUUCAAAUGAAUCAAGAAAAACCACCCAAGAAACGUACUCUAAGAAGACGGUACCAGUCGACGAGAGGCGAUUUAAUUCUCUUGUGAGAAUGCUGGUGAGGGCAGGCAAUGGAGCGUGAGGAAACGGAGAUAAUUUCCAACACCAACUGGGUUUUGAAAUCUGUCUGUUCUUCUCCAACUCUUCCCAUUGACAAACAAACAGGAAUCGAAGAUUUGGAGGAAAGGGUGAGACAAAUGCUGAAACAAGAAAAGAAUAAACUCACUUCCUGUUUCUCCCUCCUUUUUUUUUUUUUUUUUUUCUGGAUUUGAACUGAUGAGAAAGUGGAGCGGUUAAGAAAAAGGGGCACAGUUUGCGGGAGAGAAAUUUGAAAGUGGAUCAGUUGGUGGGAAGAUGUGAGAGAGAGAUGGAGAGCUUACCGUUAAUUUUGACACCAGGCAUUGACUGAGAUCAAUGCCUACGGGCCCUUCUAUAUAUUUCUUUAUUCACCCCAAUAUCUUCUAAAUGGUAACUUUUUUCCAUGAUUUUUAACUUUUUUUUAGUAUCAUGGGUGUUUCAAAACGACAAAAUAUUCGAAAACCCAAUUCAAUUUUGAAACCGAUUUUCUUGGAAUUCAAUGAAUUUUGUAGGUGGAUCUCAUGAUGUAGAGUUAGAUUAAAUUUGAAUGCAGUAGUUGAUUAAACGGAAAGGCAGUAACUGGCUUCAAAUCCAACCAACCAAACCUCCUAAUCUAAUAAUUAAAAACCAUUGAAUGAAUGGUCAGUUGUAAUGCCCAGAUGGUGAUGUUAAUGGCCACUGACUCUGAAGUAUAGAUGUAGAAGAAUGGUGGUAGGGGGUGAGGCAAAGCCCAGAGGCAGCAGUUUCAUUCUUCUUCUGUGAGCGUAGCAAGUGUGAUAUUGAAAGACAGUGAGGCUUUGCUCGUGAGCCUGCGGCGUCCAGUUGGGGUGACCCACGCAUAUAAUGCCCUCUGCGAUGCUUCACCCUUACCAACUCAAAAGGCUAUAUGGUAGGUGAAAACUUCAAAUAGACUUUUAAGUUACAUUACAGUUAAGUUAGGCAAAAAAUUCAAUUCAGGCCAUUGUUUACCCACCGUCUUUGAGUAAAAGACAUUCUGAGGCAUUGUAAAAUUGUUGGUGACCGAAGCUUCGUGGUUAACUUUUAUAUCAUGGUAGUAUUCUUCGUACUAUUAAUUAAUUUUUUAUGUCUUCUCGAAUUUUCAUAUUGUUCUUUAUUUUAUUUUAUAGGAUCCUCUAAUAAGGAUGGAGUAAGGAACAAGUUGGUGUAAACUAGGUUUGCAUUUAUUUAUUUUUAAAACAAUUACUAAAAAAUAAGUAAAAAUAAUUAGAAUAUAUUAAUAUUAUAUAAAAACAAUCUAUUUUUUACUUUAAAAAGAAAGAAAAAAAAAGAGUUUUUGAUUGUUAAAUAUGUUUUAUUUUUAUUUUUUUUAUUAUAGAAAAUAAAAAACUAUUUUAAAAAACAAUAACCAAACAAAAUCUGAGUAACUUCUUUCUAUCUUAUCUACUAUCAAGCUAGCCCUGAGUUCAAGUAUUAAAACUUAAUUUCAAACACUAUUUGGCAACAUUUAUUUCAAUAAGAAAAACUUUAGACCAAAAAAAUAAAAAUAUGUGAUUAAUUUUGAAUGAGCUUCCUAGACAUUUAAAGGUGGAGCCCUUUCAAGUUUCAACUCAAAUGAGAAGUCUCUUCUAGCAUCAUAAGCUGGCUAUUUCUGGAGACCCGUGCCAAACCAGCUUUAAGGAGUUACAACUUACAUGUGGGUCAUUGCCCUCAAAUAUUCACAAUCCGAUUCCAAAAGCUUUUUGGGCUCCCUUUUAGCCAAUAGUAAAAUAGUUGAAAUAUUUGGUGUUACAUUGGAGUGCCAUUCUUGUAUGAAGAUCAGCAAUACAAUAUACUAUGCAGUAUGCACCAUCUUGAUAUUGAUGAGUUUACUGUUUGCAUAAACUAGACAGGAGCCUCGGAGCGUUGCAAUGGGACAAAGUACAUGGGUUGGAGGUAAGAGAAUGGUGAAGAUAGGUCAACCGGAGCAGUUGAAAACCAAACCCAAUGCGAACUUUUCCGGAAUAAGUGGAUGGGGGAUUGGAAUCCGAAUAUCAAAGGCUAUGCAAAUGCAACCAUUUCCUGUCUCAAUUUCUAAAAUCCACGGACCUAGUUGCCCUAUGUCGCUUCAUUUUCCUAUAAAAACACCAAUGAUUUGUUGACUUUCUUGUGUAACUAAAAGCCAAUGCACAUGUAGUAGAAACCGUUUCAAAUGCUUCCAAAAUCAUUUUGAAAAUUUUAAGGUAAUAGGUCUUCUUCUAACUUUUUAUCUUAACGAUUCAAAUUAUAUGAUAAAAUUUAUAUCGAGACAAGCUAAAACAAAUAAUAGUACCAAGUAUAAGAAAAAUAAGUUGUUUAAUAGUAUAAUUUAGAAAAAUAAAACAUUAUAUAUGAAAUACUCCACUAAGGAAGUAGUAUUGAUGAAUGAUGAUUUAUUAAAAAUUCAAAUAUUAUAAAUACUUUUUUUAUUUUAUUCUCAACAAAUGUACUAUGUAUUCAUUAUAAAAUAUUUUUCAUAUUUUAAAUUAUUUCUAAAAGUACUUUUAAAAAACAAACUGAAAACACUGUCCUUUAAAUCAACCUAUUUUCAAAAUAAAUUCUUAAAAUAUUAUUUUUUCAAACUUGUUCCUUAGAAAAACGGUGCUCUAUUCUAAAUAAAAAAACUUGUUUCAACGACAGUUUACACACGGCCACUAAAGUUACUUUUACCCAAUCACUUCCGAUGGGCCUAAAAGAGCUUUGAAUAGUCAAAGGGCUUUCAGUUAGAUGACAAUGGUCAGCCCCGGUCAAAAAAUGUGUACCCUCGAAAUCAGGCCCAAAAAAAUCAUCGGUGACAAUUAAUUUAUGGAAUUUAUUGUGGACUGACUCCGUGGGCCGGCACUGAGACAAAGGCUUUAACUCGUUACAGCCUUACAGGUUGAUGUAAAAUCUAGCAGGCCCCCGAUAUUCAAGCCCACAAUGUACGGCCUCAAUGGUGGCUGUCCGUGUCACUAUCAACAGCCCCGCCUUGGGCCCACCGCACAUUCUCCGUAUGGCGUCUGUGUCCCCAUCCACUGUAUGAAGCGCACGCUCAACCUUAUCGAAUCGCGUCCACUUUUGUUCAUGCGUUAACCGGUUUACUACUUCAAGAAUAAGCGUAUACUUCCAAUAGGUUUCUCAUAAAUGCAAGCCUCUUUCUUUUGAGUUCAAUAAUUGAUUUUUUUUCCAAGUAAUAAUUUUAAAAGCACGUCGCUAUUAUUAUAAAUAAUUAAUUAAAUGAUGACUUAUUUGAAUUAACUUUUCAGGAAUAAAAAAUCUCAAUUUUGAGUGCCUCCCAAAAAUUUGUAUAAUAGUAGUUUUGAAAAUUUGUCAAACAUAUUUUCUAAAUUAUAAAAUUAUUUUUUUCUGAACAAUAAAAAUUAUUAUAAAAAACAAUUUCUUUCGACAAUGUUAUUAAGAAAUAGUUUUAAAUUAUUUUUUAAAAAUAAAAUUUUAUUUGAAAUUUAGAUAUGAAAAUCAUUUUUAUAAAAUUAUUUACAUUUACACAUGUAUAAAAAUUGUUGAAACAUUUUUCAAAAUUUUAAUUAUUAUAUAGAAUAAAUUAAUAAUUUCUUUUUAGAAUAAAUAAUUCACCGUGUUUUUCAAGUUUUUUUAAACUUAUUUUCUUCCUAUGCUUGAUUAAUUGUCUUGAAAAAACUAAUAAUGAUCUUAUUAUAUAAGUAUUUUUUUAACUUGUACAGCAAGUCCAUCCAUAUUGUCUCUCUAAAGUUAUGACUUCAAAGCAACAAAACAAAAAAGACAACCAGAGGGGGCUUUUCUUUAUUGAUAUUGUCUCUCUAAAAUUUGCAAUAAAUAAAUAAAGACAAUAUGACUUCCUUACUAGUUAGUAGUUACAAAGCAUUUUUCUUUUUCUUUUUUUGUGGUAUUAUCAAGAAAAAUGUGUUAUACCUAAAUUCUAAAAUUGUGGCUUCUGUUUAUAUGUAAGCCAAACUGUCUCAAACGGGAUUUAGUUGAGAACUUGGAAUCUCGGAUCCGCGGGGAACCCGUCCGGGUCAAUUAUUGAAAGACGGGGGGGGGGGGGGGGGGGGGGGGAAAGGGGGGUUUUGGGAAUUUUCCAAAAAACCCCCCCCGGGACCCCCCCCAACAAAAAAGGGGGCCUGUUCCCCCCCCCCUUUUUUUUGGGGGUUUCUGGGUUUUUCCAUUUUUCCCAAAAGGGGGGGGUUUUUUUUUUUUUUUUCGGGUCCCCCUCAAAAACCCAAAAAGGGGGGGGGAAAUUUUUUGAACCCCCUUUUGGGGGGUUUUUUUUGGAAAAACCAAUUAAGGGGGGGGAAAAAAAAAGGAAAGGGGGGGGGGGGGGGGAAACCCCUAAAAAAUUGGGGGGGGGGGGAAAAAAGGGGAAAAGGGGGGGGGGGGGACCCCCAGGGGAAUUUUUUAAAAACCUUGAAAAAAACCGGGGGGAAAAAUUUCCGGAGGGGGGGCCCAGGCCCCGGAAAGGGGUUUUAAAAAANNNNNNNNNNNNNNNNNNNNNNNNNNNNNNNNNNNNNNNNNNNNNNNNNNNNNNNNNNNNNNNNNNNNNNNNNNNNNNNNNNNNNNNNNNNNNNNNGGGGUGCUUUUGGCAAUUUCGCAUAGCACUCACUCGUGACUCGCCCACAACCAAAAGCGAGCUCUGUUCCCUCUCCCUUUUCGUUCGCGGUUCUCUGCGUUUUCGCAUUAUCUCUGAACUGGAUGCAUUUUGCUUUUCUUCUUCGGUUCAGCUUCAAAACCCUAGAAUCGGGGCGGAGAUUUUUCUGAUCUUCAGUUUGAUGGUUUUUUCUUGAGAUACCGAUUCGAUGGCGGCGACGACGAUGGCGACGGCGGUCGGAGCGGCGAUGCUGCUAUACUAUGUGCUGAGUCGGAGAAUAGGAGGAAAGGAGCAGGAGGAUGAUCGCAAUGGUAAUUUUUCGAAGUCGUUGAGUAGAUCCGGGAGGAGAAUUGCUCGGAGGCCGGCUCAGGCGCCGGCGACGUGGUUUGAGACGAUCACAACGUUGUCGGAUACGCUUAGGUUUACGUAUUCGGAGACACUAGGCAAAUGGCCGAUUGGAGAUUUGGCUUUCGGCAUCAAUUAUCUCAUGCGUAGACAGGUGAGCUGUGUUGAAUGGCCUUAGUUUGGCUGUUGCUUUAAGAUUCUGUUUAUUUGCAACGGUUCUAGUUUUCGCCUAUGAGAUGUGUGAGAUGCAUAUUUUCAGUUGCUUGUUUAUAUCUUUGACUGUGAAUAGCCAUGGAUUGCAUAAUCAAUGAUUUCGUGAGAAUUUUAUAAACGUAAGUACAAAUUUUAUAUUUAUUUGCCGGGAAUUUCUCUCCUUUGAUUCUAAAUUCUCAUAAGUGUAAAUUUUAUAUUUAUUUGCCAGGAAUUUCUCACCUCGAUUCUAAAUUCUUUUUCUGUCAACAUAUGUUGAAUUUUCAACCAACAAACUUCACUUAAUGUCUAAAUAUGAAAUUUAUUGCAAAAUAUUACCUGCAACACGAGACUCUUGUUUGUUUGUAUUACACCAAGCUCAAGGAGAAGAAUAUGCCUCUAAUUGUCAAGAAUUCUCUCUGAAUUAUGAGCUCAUGUGAACUGUUUUCAGUUUGUGCUUCCUCGAUUUAGUUCUUAGACUUGUAUAUAUAUAUUCUAAGAUUUCUUUGAAGUUUGCUCAUCAAAAUAAGUAAAUAAAUAAAAAAAUUGAGAUUUCUUAGUUUUUAUGUUCUCGCAGGGUAACUUACAAGUUGCUAGUGUAUAUGCUGGAUGUAAUUCUGUACAACUCAAAGGCCCAGAAAUUAUUGCAGAGUUGAACUAUUAUCUGAGGUUGUUGACCCUUUGUAUGCUUUUUUCAAAGAAGUCAUUUCCAGUAUUUCUAGAGACUGCUGGCUACACUCAGGCAGAUGUACUUCUUCAGAAGCCUAAGGCAGGGGUAUGUAAUUAUCUUAAAUAUGCUUAAUUGUGUUCAAACUUGAAAACCUCACUACCUACACUCAGAUAUGAAAAGGACUGAAACAUGAUAACAAAAUUACUUUUAAGCAUUCCUGCAGAGAUCCCAUCCCUAUAGAUUAGGACAUGAGAACUAGCUCCUCUCUGAUGAAGUUCCUUCUUUUGAAUAAGAUCAUUUUACUAAAAGCGGAUGGUUGAUUACAAACCUUGGUUAUAAUUUAACAGUAAUUUGUGGGUAAAUAUGUGGAUAACAGAGUCUCUAAUCUAUAUAGUUUUCUACCACUUGCUAAUUCUACAACCUUCUUCCUUGAAAUAGUCAUGCAGCCUCUAUUCCAAUCAACUUAAUUUAUAGGUUGCCCCGGAGACUUGACUCAGGUGGCAAGGACUGGGAUUUGGAAGAGGACAUUCCAUGUAGCAAAAAGAAAAAGGAAAAAAAAGAAAACUUAUAGAAAAAAUGAUCUCUAAUUUAUAUGAUAAAGCAUGGUUGUUUACUUAUUCUGUUUUUAUUUCCUUUUAUUUUUUAUUAGAAGAAUAUAAUUUGAUAUUCUUUUUUCAGCUUCUGAAGCCUGCUUUCACAAUUUUAUGUGAUAGAAAUUCAAAAUGCAUCCUUCUAUUGAUUCGGGGUACUCAUAGCAUUAAAGAUACUCUAACAGCUGCAACUGGUGCUGUGGUUCCUUUCCACCAUUCAGUUUUACAUGAUGGUGGGAUAAUCAAUUUAGUUUUAGGAUAUGCACACUGUGGAAUGGUUGCAGCAGCUCGUUGGAUUGCAAAGCUUAGCACCCCUUUCUUGCUCAAGUCUUUGGAAGAACAUCCUAGCUUCAAUGUUAAGGUAGAUGCUCUCACUAUGAUCUAAAUGAAUAUCAUACAUUUUAAUUUGUCUUGAUUGUUCUUUUUUCUUUUAUCCAUUUCUGGUUUUUAUGAUCAUACAUUCAUAGGUUUAUUUUGAGUGAUUUUUGCUAUACUGAUAUUAAAAUAAAUCCAACCAUCAACACACUAAAGUUAAUGCACCAUAAAAUUUUCAAAAUUUUUGUUGUAUAACAAAUACUGCUCUUCAUGGUAGCUGCACGACCUGUGCUGUAAUUUCUGAUUGCCUCAAUAACGAGGUCUGGUCAAAAAAACUAAUUUCCAUGUUAUUGGUCCUUUUGGGGAGGGGGGCUUUGCUUAACAAGCCCUAUCUGGUGAAUUGGUCCAUUGUUUGCUUAGAUAAACAAAAAGAGGGCUUGGGUUUCAUAAAUCUUUUGACCUUUUACAAGGCUCUUCUAGGAAAAUGAUCUUGGAGAUUUGUGACUGAAAGGAAUCCUCUUUGGAAGCAGGUGACUGUGGAAUAGUACGGGCAUGACAAUGGGGGUUGGUGUAUGAAAGAGGUGGGAGAGAGUUAUGGAGUGGGAGUUUGGAGGACAAUCAGAAAUGGUUGGGAGGCGUUCAAAGGUAAGACUAGUUUUAAGGUUGGUUCUGGGGAUAAGGUGAAAUUUUGAACGAAUAAGUGGUGCGGGGAUACACCUUUUGAGGGAUUCAUUCCUGAAUUUUUAUUUUAUAGCCUCUUCAAAAGAUGCUUGGGUGGUUGAUAUCUAGGAAGGAGGCAGUUGGGGCCCUAGGUUCCUUAGAUAGCUGAAUGAGUGGGAGUUGGAGGAAGCUGAAGUCUUUUUUGGGAGGCUGCAUGAUUUUUCCAUCUUUUCGGGGAAUGAUAACAAUUUGGUGUGGUUGGAGACAAAGAAUGGUGUCUUUUCAAUCAAGCCUUUCUACACCUCCUUGGCAAGUAGGAGAGUAAAGUCUUUCCCUCAUAGUAUAGUCUGGAACUUUUGGGCUCCUGUAAGAGCUAGCUUUUUUGCUUGGGAAGCAACUUGGGUUAAGAUAUUAACUCAGGAUCAGAUCAAAAAGAGAGGCAGGAGGAUGCCUAGUAGAUGUUAUUUGUGCAAGGCAGAAGAAGAAAUGGGGGAUCAUGUCCUCCAUUGUCUGAAAGUGCGUAUUUUGUGGCAGUUGAUUUUUGCUCUAUUUGAUGUUCAGUGGGUGAUGCACUUUUCAGUGAGAGAGAUGCUCUUGAUUUGGGGUGACUCCUUUAUUGGCCAAAAAAGGAAAAAAGGCUUGAAAAGGGGCUCUUUUAUGCCUUUUUUGGUCCAUUUAGAGGGAGAGAAAUAGGAAAACGUUUGAGAAUUGUGAAAGCUUGGACCAAACAGUUAAAAGUUCUUUUUUGGGAUUGAGUUAGAUUGUCCAUUGGGGAUGGUUCUUUGGCUUUGUGGAUUGGUUAGGCUCUUUGUGGGUGCGGUUACUUGUUUUUGUGUAUUCGCACCUUUUGGUUUUUGUUGCUUUGUGUACAUUGUGUGUACCUUUUAUUUUUACUACAAUCUUCAUUUGUCUAUCAAAAAAAAAAAAAAACUGUAGAACAGCCAUUUUGAUUCUUGUUGAGCCUUAUAAUAGAUCAAUCAUUUACCCAACUUUGAGAGACGAGCAAAGCUGUUUCAAGAUGCAACCCUAUUUGAUAGGUUAUAUUUAGCUUAAACUUACUAGUUAUUGCUAUUGGACUGUUGAGAAACUAGUUAUAGAAUCAUUUUGAAUUUAUUAAUGUUUGCUUUCCUAGGAAUUAAAAAUUUUUCAGCCUUUUCCACUAUAUACUUGUAUGUUCUGCUAUCAUGAUAUUAGCUCUCAAUUCUAGAUCUUUGUGUAUAAUCUCAAGUUACAAUUUUAUUUGCAUCUAUAAACUUUGUUUCCUUUUUCAUUUUAAGAUUGUUGGGCAUUCACUUGGUGGUGGUACUGCUGCGCUGUUAACAUAUAUUCUUCGAGAACAGAAAGAGUUAUCCUCGACCACUUGUGUCACAUUUGCCCCAGGCACGUACCAAUCAAAUAUGAUGCUUACAUUUCCUUUUGAGCACAUUCAAAGUGAUAACUAAUUCAUCACACUUAAACCAUUGAGAGUGUGUAAAUUCUUUUUCCUAUAUAUGCAAGCAUUCCAUUUUUAACUUCUUUUUUCAUGCCCCUUUGUUUAAUUAAAUGAAAACAGAUGGAGAUCACCCUAGCUUUUUUGAUGAAUUUGCAGUAAUAUGGAUUCCCACAUCAGUUACAACUCGGGAUCUUACCUAUGAUUUCCAGUUUUAAAUGAUCCAGAAGCAAGUUGAUGUUAUUUGUCUGUGACCUGUGUCUGAUAUGAAUUCAGCUCUGUUUCGUUGCAAGAUAACUCCAAACAUCCUAGGACCUAGAGUUUCUAAUUAUUAUCAUGAUUAUUCAAUGAUUUCUUCAUCGGAUUUGGAUUAACUAAUGGUAUGGAGUUUUGCUACUAGAAUGUUCAAUUUUCCUGUAACAUUCUGGUUUGCAACCAAUGAGACCCAGUAGGAUGAAGAAUACACACAUCUAAACUUAUGGGCUAUUUGAAUUUGAGAUAUAACAUAGAUAUGGAACAUUGUUUGUCUGUGUGUGUGGAGGGGACUAACAAACUCUAUUAUAAAACAUGGUGGUAAAAUUUUUAUUUUUUCAGCAAGGUUUUUUAAAUGGCAACACAAAUCAUAGCCUCAUUUGACUGCCAAUUUUUGGCAAUCCUUGAUGCCGAGGAUGAGUGAUGAAAAUCUGCUUGGAGCCAUUUUGAUUAGGUUUUCAAGCUUGAAAUGAGUUAAAUUCCUUUUGUCCUCAUGGAAAAGCAUAAUCAUCCAAGUCCAUUUUUCUGAAAUGUGACUUAUCUAUUCCCGGUUACUGUAGGUAAAUUUCUAUUUUAGUGCGAUGUGCUUCUCUCUAAACGCUUGAAUUACUGUUGCCAUUGUGCAGCUGCCUGCAUGACGUGGGAUCUAGCAGAAUCAGGAAGGCACUUUAUCACUACUGUCAUCAAUGGUUCUGACCUGGUGCCUACAUUUUCAGCAGUGUCUGUUGAUGAUCUUCGCUCUGAGGUGCUGUAACCUUGUGCAUAUAGAAUAUUUAUUCUUGUUAAUUAUGAUGUGAGUUCCUAUCUUAAGCUCUAAUAGGCAUCAGAAUCCUAAUUUUGAGUGGAUAUAAUCAGGUCACCGCGUCAUCUUGGUUAAAUGAUCUGCGUGAUCAAGUUCAGAGAACAAGAGUCAUUAAUGUCGUUUAUCGCUCUGCAACCGCUCUGAGUUCUCGGUUGCCUUCAAUAGCCAGUGCAAGGGCAAGAGUUUCUGGUGCUGGUGCACUUCUGCGUCCUGUCUCCAGCAGCACUCAGGUAAAAUGUGACUCAUUUUUGUGGAUGACAAACCAGUGACUGAAUCUAAAUUGUCAAUAUUCAAUAGUGGAUUAAAAUUUAUUGCAACUCUAUGAGCACCAUGCGCAGCUACAGUAGAUAAUUGAACUGUCUGAAUUCUGAUGUCUGAACUGCACAUGACUCAUUUUUUAUUUUUUUUUUCUGAGUCUAAAAAUACCUAACAUGCACCUUUAUCUGUUUAAUUUCUUGGUCAUCUUGUCUCUCUUUAACAUGACCUGAGUAUUUUUUUGGCAAAUUGCAGGUUGUGACACAGAAUGUCACUGAGGCGGUUGUCAGGACCCGCUCAUCUCUGUCAUCAUGGUCUUGCAUGGGUGCACGUCGCCGCAAUGUGGGCUCACUACCAAGCCCUAAAGAAGAGGAUUUGCCUGAGGCUUCUCUAAUAUCUUCUGAGGUAACAUCUGAAUCCCUUGUGACUGAAGUGGGAACGAGAGUCUCAGUUGUAAAUAAAGCGGAAUGCAGCUCUUCCAGUGGUGGAUCAGGCAAUGACGACACAGAUGAAGAGGUAACACUCCUCCCAGGUGAUAGAGAAGUUACCACAGCCACCACAGAAGACAUCACCGAUGGUGAGCUGUGGUAUGAACUGGAGAAGGAGCUCCAGAGGCAGGAGGACGAACCCGAUGUUCAGGCUCAGGAGGAAGAAGCGGCUGCAGUUAUAGAAAUCACUGAAGAGGAGAACAUGUUGGCUGAUGCAGUUGAGAGCAAAACGCCCAACUCCUCUGAUGUUUCGGAGAGCCUGCACUUCUAUCCACCUGGCAGGAUUAUGCAUAUUAUUUCUAUGCCCCCAUCAAAUGACAAUGAUUCAGUUGACAAUGACACUGGCGCUGGCCCUGCUGAAGAACAUGUUGCUAUUUAUGAGACACCUAGGAAUCUGUACAGUAAGCUCCGGCUCUCAAAGACAAUGAUUAAAGAUCAUUUUAUGCCUAUGUAUAAGAAGAUGAUGGAAUUGCUAAUCAGGGAACUGGAAAAUGAGGAAGCCAGUAGCUAUGUUAUGUGAAAAAGAAAAAAAGAAAAAAGCAACAAGAUGAUAGUGAAGAAAGAUAUACCCGUGUUUGAGAAAAACGAACAGGUUUUGUCUUUGAUGAUUCAUUGUAGACUCCACUUAUUUUUUUUACCAGCUUGAAAAGGGAUUACAGGAUAUCAAUAGAUAAAAAAUUUGAUCGUCAGUGUAUGUUUGAUCAUGUCAAAGUGUGGAUAUUGACAAGGCACGAUUCUUACCGACUGUUGAAUCCAAUUGUAGAAUUCAACUGUUUCUUGAGGCUGCAUGUCAAUCAGAGAAAGAAAAAAAAGAGAGAAUCCAACUCAGGCAAAUUCUUGCUCGAGUGUGUUUGGCAGCAUGUUUCAAUUAUUCUAAACUUAAAUAUCAUUCGCAUUAAAUGAUACAAACUAAAAUGAUUCAACUAAUGGCGGGUGUGUUUUGCAGAUCCAUUUCAAGGAGAUUAAUUUGAUACCAGUGGAGCCAAUUUACUCAGUCUUCCUCCUAUGGUAUACAGUAUCUCCCACCUGGAGGCAAGGGCAAGACAUAUUAGAAGAUUCACGAUUCACUCCCAACUCACCAUUCAACCAACUAGAAGGAAAAAAAGAGUCGCGAGAAAGUUUCCUUUCUUUCAAAUUCCCAUGCUAAAUGUUGACAAUAAGCCAAAAGUAGAAUUUGGGGUCAAUUGGCCCAUUUUACGUGCAUGAUAUAACUCAUAGCAUCUUUUGAAACUAUUGUCCAAAAUAUAUAUUUUUUAAAAUUAGUUUGAAACCGUAUUUUAGGCUUCCAUAUGAAUUAGAAAUUGCUGUAUUAAAGUGUUUCUAAAUGUAUAUUAAAAUCAUACUUUCAAGACAUGGUUUUUAUAUUUGUAAUAAACCGUAAUUUCAAGAUGCAGUUUGAAAUAAAUUUAAAAAGAAAAAACAAAAAUAAAAUAUAUGGUAAAGGGGCCAUUUUGAACAAUAGUUUGAGACGCCGACGAUAGUUUGAGAAGAGGACCAAAAUAGUAAUAUUUUAAUGACCAAAAAGGUCAAUUUGAAACAAAACUUCAGAAAGUAACAGAAAGUUGGUAUCAUAUUCCCAUACCAAAUUUAGCGGACUGGUUAAAAUCAACCACCAUAGCGAGCCCUGAGGGAUUCCGGAGGCUCCUCUUCCAUGAUGCCUGAACCUGUUGUGGCCAAGUAUUCACGGAUGGUUGUUUUACGGUCCGCCAGGAAAGUGUGAUCUAGAAAAUUGUUGUAAGCUGCGUCACUUAGAUUCUUUGCAGCCAACACACUACAGAGUAUUUAACGACCUUCACUUUGUCAACAAAGUUGGCAUUGCAAACAGCGUGCAUAUGAAAAGCAGCAUAUUGAAGCAUAGUUUUCUAGAUCAACAUAGGUGUGAAGAAAAUGUGGUUCUUGUGAGUUGGAAACAAUUCCCAUAUCCCUCAGGCAAUAAAAUAUGUAAAAAAUAUAUAUAAAAGAUAAUCAACACUGACCAGUGUCGAAGAUAAACACGGCAAGGUAAAACAUCAUCUCGCCAAAUCUUAUGGAUGUUAUGGCGGCCAUAUUGCUGAAAAUAUAUCUCCUUACUUCCUGCAUAAUAGUAGCAAAAAAAUAUAUGAGAAUGCAUUCCUACAUUUCAAUGACAAGCAGCAAAGGCGGAAAAAGAGUACAAAGGAAUUAAAAAAAAAAAACACUGACUGCUCCAAUGAUAAAGAUCGAUGAAAUCAAAUAGAGAUCUUUUUCCCCAUUAGUAUUUGAAUGAUGUCCAUAGGUUUUCAUUCCCUUUACAUUUAGCUUGUACAGAGCCUUAAGUUUUAUGGUAAGAAUUAUUUAAUCUUCCUUGAAUGUUGGAAUCACUGUAGAAAAGUAAAAACUCCAUUUCUCAAUUAUAUAUAGGGGCAUAGCCAUUGCAAGCUUCUUAAUCUCUUAAACAACAGGAUGAAUGGCAUCACUACCAACUUACAAAGUUUAUUACUAGGAAGUUGGUCAAAUCAUCAAACUGGAAUUCAGAACAAAUUUGUCAUUUAAUGGAACCUAUAGGCCAAAUGAUUACAUGGGUAGGCAGAAAUUUUGGGUCUUAACAAUCCUAGUUGCAAAGGAGAUGAGACUGGAAAAUCAAUGUCAAAGAAGAAGCAAAGAAAAAGGUUUUAUUAUCUAUGUUGGCUAAAAGUAAUUGAAUCUUACAGCAGAAUUAUGCUGAAGAUGAUGAAAAAGGAAAUAUGAUACAAUGCAAUGCUGGGAAAUUAAGAGCACUAAUCUGAGUAGCCAUGCUGUGAUGGAGAAAUGAAUCCCUGUGAUUAAGUUAAUUCCAUUUCAUAUAUUACUUCUGCAAAUCUAUCAUUCCAUAUAUUUGUAAAAUACUAGUAAUUUUCUCAGCUCCUAAACAUUGAGAUGGAUGAUAUUUUAGGGGGAAGAAGCAUAUAACUACCAUUUACUUUUGAAAGAAACAUGUGGACCUAGGUGACAAGAAAAAGAUUUACACAACAGAUCAAUGUAUAAUAAGUUACUCAAGUUUUUCUCAACAUGUUUUUCUACAGCACACCAGGUUAGUUUUCUAGAUUAACACUGUAUAAAGUUCUUUCAAAAAACUGUUAGAAUAAUGGCCAUCUGAAAACCCCAGGUUAAAUGAAGUGUAAAUUCCAAGUAGUACAAUCAUCUUUGGAUGAAUCACUCAACUUGUUCAGUAUUUUAUGCAAUCAAUCUCAACCAUGAGCAGAACAGUGGCUAUUUGAGAAACCCAUGUUAUACAAAAAUGCUAAUAAUUAACAUCAGAAGCAGUCACCAUCCUUGUCAAGCAUGCUGCAGAUGUCACGAAAAAGUAAUUAAGUUUAUUCUCAAGCUAAUAGUAAGUAGGACACCAAAGAAGAUUACCUUUGCAUCUAUUCUGGAAAAAUUCCUCAUCACUGUAACGAGCACAAAGUACCUGCACACAUUCACAAACCGUCUGUUUCAGAAUAAUUUAUGAGCAAAUCAUACAGCGGCAAAGAACCAAAAAAAAAAACUAUAGUGCAAAGUGAACCACCGCUGGAGUAGUAAAGAGCUUCCCAUCUAAUGUUUCAGGGAAGACCUGCCAUAAAAUAUUAAAUGGAUUCAGGUUCACAAACAAAUAAGAUAUUAAAAAAAUAAGAAAAUAUCAAUGAAGUAAACAUGUAACAAACUUACAGCUAAGAAUCGAAACUCAUGCUCCCUCUUGAUAAAAGAUGGAAUCUGACCUUGUGAAGCAGCAUAUUGAGUUAAUAUUGAGAAUUGUGAAAUCAUUCAUCUGUUCUUGCUUACACUCAAGAUUCAAAUUAAGCACCAACAAUUGAAAGUUUUUGUUUACCUCAGAUCUUUGAAUCUCAAAUACAGUAACUAUAAGGGUUUCCCCUUCACAAGGCUCCACACUCAAGCUUGAAAUCUCCUGAAAUGUUACAAUUAACACAAAACAAAAAAUUAAUCCAAUUUUCUUCAUCAUAUAAAAACUUCCCCACUAAAAAUUGAAUAAACUAAGGUCAAUUUGUUGUUGAGAAAAUGUAAGAAAAACAAAAAUAAAAACUCCUCUGCGAAUUCUAACAAAAUCCAUGACUUAGUUGACGUGAAUUUUCGCAAUUUCAAAACCAAAAACAGCACAAAACAUGAGAUUAUUGAAGAAUUUCUCCCAUUCCCCCAAAUUUCUCAGCAACCAAACAGAAAUAAAGUUAAAAUGAAAAACACUGCUAGGAAUAAGUUUAUAUUAACCAUGGUUUCUGGUUUGGCGAUGCCGCGCUCAAAAAAAAUUGGAGCAACAUGAGCGAAGACACGUCGAAAGCUGUUCAAUCUCGCAACUCUGAAGUUCAUCAGAUCCGGAAAUGUGCUCCUCGCACUUCUCUCUGGUUCCACAACGCAUCAUACACACAUUGAUCGUAUAAUAACAACGCAAGAAUUCUAGUAAUGGUGACAACGAUCGUCCUUACCUGAGAGCAGAGAACCGAAGCCGCAGACGGAGAGAAGACCAAGACCACCGUCGGGAGAGAGAACUUUUUCGAAAUCGGAUUCAUCCUUCAAUUCAAUCAGUUUGGAAUCAUCACGAACCUCGCCCGACGACAUGGCCGGAGAUCGAGUUUGGCGGAGAGGUGAAGAGGAGUGUGUUUGGUUGUUGCUUUACGAUGAGUUGGGAAGGUGAGUCCAGGGAACUCUUUUGAUUUUUGAAUGUCGCCACGGGCCACGCUCCAUGCGCGCGAGUAAGUGGUCAUAGGCAGAAAAAGCAUGACUGGUGGGCGGUUGUUGGCGGUUUUGCCAUUUGUCAAUCACUUGAAGGGUACUAAGGUCAAUUCAAGUGGCACCUCCAAAUGCAUAAUUACAAAAAAAAAAAUUAGCUCACUGUUCUUACGUUUUAAAAACUAAGUUUAUGUAGAAAUUAUAAUUACCAAAAUACCUUUUUCUUCAACUUAUCUGCACCCACCUAUACUCUCCAUUUUCUCAGCAACUAAGCAUUUUCUCUCCACAUCCACAUAUUAUGCAAAAUCACCCUCAACUGGAGCUAACUAUACUAGUGAUGCCACAAAUGAUUUUUAAAUCUAGAACAAAUUUAUCCUAGAAGGCUAAAAUCAGUUCUAAAAUAAUCAUAGAAUUUAAGGGUGAUGGAAGUUACAUGUUCCAACAAUGAACCAUUAAAUUUAAUAGAAGAUUCACAGUUUAAAUCUCCAAUAUGGUGACUAAACAAAUUGAAGGAGAAAAAGGGGGUGAAGAGGGCUUUUACAUAUUUCAAUUGCCUCCAUUGACUCUCCCCCUUAUUUUUAGCCUGCACAAACCGCAAGGUUGAAGAAUUUCAUGUCCUAAUAUGGGAAGCCUUAUUUGCAGCUACCAAAUUUGGCUCUGCUCUGUGGACUUGUUCAUAUCAACCACCAUAACGGGCCUUGAGGGAUUCUGGAGGCUCCUCUUCCAUGAUGCCUGAACCUGUUGUGGCUAAGUAUUCCUGGAUGGUUGUUUUGCGGUCUGCAAGGAAAGUGUGAUCGAGGAAGUCGUUGUAGGCUGCAUCGCUGAGACUCUUUGCUGCCAACAAACUACAGAGUGUUUUGCAGCUUUCAGCUCACAUAUAGAAGUUAGUACUUGAAAACAAAAGUACAUCCUAGGAAGUGUAAGUAUUAGAUCAUAUCAUUUACUAGGGUGUGAACAAAAUAUUGCACCGUGGUUCAACAUUUGUAAAUCAUUCCCAGAUUCUUCAAGCAAUACUAUGAACAUGUGUAAGCAAAACAUUCAAGGAUAAUUAACACUAACCAGUGCCGAAGAUAAACACGGCAAGGGAAGACAUCAUCUCGCCAAAUCUUGUGGAUGUUAUAUCGCCCAUAUUGCUCAAAAAACAUCUCCUUGCUCCCUGUAUGAAAGUAGCUAGCAAAUUAGCAAGAGAAGAACAUGUGGAAAGAAAUUCAAAAUGACCCCUUAACAAGUCCAAUGAUCGAGUCAGCUGCAGUACAUGAAGAUCUCAGUUCUCACACAGGUAUGGAGAGCCUUAAGGUUUUAUGAUAAAAAUUAUUUUCUACUUCCUCUUAAGUAAAACACAAAGAACAUGACCAAUAUGCCCAGCUUCUCAAUCUUUAAAAUCAAAUAAUGAUAGUUGACAUCACUUCCAACAUUAAAGUCUAAUCCAUUAGGAGUUGGACACGUCCUUACAAUGAUGCACAAAAGAAUCAUGUGUUAUUUCCUGGAACCUAAUACCCAAGCCAUUACAUGAGUGAGGAAGAAUUUUUGGAUCUUAAUUAUUGGGUUACAAAUUAGGGGUUAGAACUCUAUCAAGAUCAACAGUCAUCCAUGAACUUAAUUUCAUGAGAGGUCUGGAACAUCCACAUCCAAGAAAAGGGCUUCAAAAUCUGAGAAUAUUAUAGCACAAUUACAGAAACGAAAGAGAUGAUGCAAUGCUGAGAAGUUAAGUGCAUUGACUAGAGUCACCCUGCUGCAGGCUCAUUACUUGUGCCAGAGAAAUGAAAUCCUUGUGAUCUUAUUAAUUCCAUUUCACUUGUUAUUUUCUAAGAAAAAAAAUGUGUGCAAAAGGAAAGGAAGGAUGCAUAUUGUUCCUGGGCAGAACAGGUCUCUGAUCAGGACAUACAAAAUCUUAUUGACCACCAUCAACUUGUUCCAAUGAGAAUGCUGAUGACUUAUCACAGAAAAUAAGGCAUAGAACAAAUGGAACCAUUCUAAUCUUUGGUUCCAAACUUCAAAACUUGUCUAAAACCAACAGAACUUGGCACUCAAUCAGGUACCUACAACUCCAAAUUUAUUUUUAAAAUCAAGGAAGAAUCAGCUUUAUGCACUUUCUUAAAUACUAAAGAGUGGACUCUUAGAAAUAAAUAAAAGAAUUCAACCAUCACAAUUGGUUUGCAGAUAUGAAUUUAAAUUAAAGGACUAAGAACAGAGUUUACCAUUAUAAAAAAUAGUAAACUGAAAUUGCAGUUCAGGGUUCCAAACUGCCACUGAGCUAUCAUGCAAUUCUGGAUUCAGGACCUAUUGAUCUAUUGGAGAUUACAAUUUGUAAAGUAGAAGUAAUUUUGUCAGCUAUCAAUACCAUAGAAGAUAGCGAUAUAUGACUAAAAAUUUAGCUUUAGCACAAACAAUAGCCAGAUUUAAAUUGAUCUUAUCUAGAAAUUCUCUCAGUAUCCUUUCCUUGAGGCAUACCAGGUAUGAUUUCAAGAUCCACAGUAUAAGCUUAUAAGGAUCCUAAAGAAAGGAAUAUGAUUGUGAAGCACACAUGUUCGUGAAGCACACAUGUUCCAAGUUGUAUGUAGUCAUCUAUUCACCUUCAAACAAGUCAAUCAACUUGUUCAGUAUUUCAUGCACUUGAUCUAAAUCACAAACAAAAGAGUGGCUAGAGUACACAACUCAAAACAAGAAUUAUAGAUGUCCCAGGGAAGUACUCAUUUGUCAUAUUUCUCUCCCCAGGUGCCUAUAACCAUAGAGGUCUUUAAACUAAUAGGAAAAUCCAAAGAAGAUUGAUUACCUUUACAUCUAAUCUGCAAAAAUUCCUCGUCACUGUAACGAGCACAAAGCACCUAAAUAAAAUCCACAAACCCAUAAUCCAUUAAUAAAGUAAUUUGCAGCCAAAUAAUAGAAAGGAAAAUGAGAAGCCAUGGAAAAUAUUUUUACAGCAUAGUGAAUCAUCCAUUUCACGCACCGCUGGACUAGUAAAUGGGGUCCCAUCUAGUGUUUCAGGGAAGACCUGCCAUUCACAUUCACAUAUAAAGAAGGCAACCAAAAUGUUCGAAAUGACAAUCGAGUAAAAAUCCAGGAACUCACUGCUAGAAACCGAUACUCAAUCUCCCUCUUGAUAUAAGAUGGAAUCUGACUUUAAGAAGUAGCACAUUAAGUUAAUCUUGAGAAGUAGAACUUCACUACCCUGUUCUUUAAGAUUCAAAAUAAGCACUAAUAUCGUUGUUUACCUCUGAUCUAUGAAUCUCAAAUACAGUAACUAUAAGGCUUUCCCCUUCACAAGGCUCCACACUCAAGCCUGAAAUCUCCUGAAAUGUUUGCAGUUUACAUAUAACGAAUAAUGCAUUCAGUACAAUUUUCCUUGUCAUAAGAAAGACCUCCCUUUGCUCAUAACUAAAUGAUUUAUCUCCAUUUGGUUUCUGAGGAAAUCAGGAAAAGAAAGAAUAUCUCUCUAUGAGUCCAACAAAAGCCAAUUGCCAUAGUUGUGGUAAGUCUUUUCCUGCUUUUUGAGGGGGAAAAAAAUAUUAAAUUCAACAUUCUAGGGCCUGUUUGGCAGUGAAAAUAGGAAAUGUUCUAUAUUUUAUCUGUAUUAAAAAAAUAGAAAAAAAAAACACAAAAAGCAUGUGCAUCAACAUUUUUCUGAAAGUUUUGGAUCAACAUGGUUUUUAAAAACUUUUUAGGAACAUGUCCCCAAAAACCGUAUUCGGGAACAUUUCCUGAAAACAGGUCUUCAUUAUAUUUGUUAAAAUAUAAACUAUAAUUUUUUUCAGUUCUAAAUUUUGAGUUCUAAAAAUUCCAAGCACAUAAGCUAUUGAAAAUAGUAAAAUGACACUACAGUUUAACUGUAAAAAAAAAAAGAACAGAUUCUGAAAACACAAUUUUUAUACCUGCCAGCAAACAAGCCCUUAGUUUUUUUUAUUACUUUCCUGAGUUUUCUCAGCAACCAAACAGAGGUCAGGUACUUGACAAAAGGCACUGCUAAGGAAUGAGUUUAUAUUAACCAUGGUCUCCGGUUUGGCAAUGCCGCGCUCAAAGAAAACUGGAGUAACAUGAGCGAAGACACGGCGAAAUCCGUUCAAUCUUGCGACUCUGAAGUUGAUUAGAUCCGGAAAGGUACUCCUCGCGCUCCUCUCUGGUCCCACAGCGCAUCACACACAUUGAUCGCAUACUAACAACAAGAAAAUUCUAGCAUGGAUGAUGAUCAUACAUACCGGAGAGAAGAGAACCGAAACCGCAGAUGGAGAGAAGAUCAUCGUUGGAGGAGGCAAGCCUUUCGAAAUCGGAUUCGUCGUGAAGUUCAGUCAGUUCAGAGUGAUUGAUGACGUCCCCGGAAUACAAGGCCGGCGAGGAUGCCCAGCGGUCGGGUUUGGCUACGAAAUGAAGAGCAGUGUAUGUAGCUAUCGCUCUGUGAGGUGUUGGGAAGGCAAGUGACGAGAGGCUUCUGGAAUGGCGCCACCGCCCAGUGCGCCCACGCCCUCGCGAGGAAGUCCAGAGAAUGAAUGGGAAAUCGAGAGAAGUGGUCAUCGGAAAAGAAGCUAGAGGGGAGAGAGGGUCUUUUUGCUAUUUAUUAAUCACUCAGGGUCGUUUUUGUCAUUUCAGUACCGCCCAUGUUCUAAGGGAUAAAAAUGGAAGAGACUAUCCUUCCCUUUUACACGCUCACAAGUCACAAGUCGCAUGCUUAUUAACCUAAGUUAUCCCAAUUUACCUAAAUUACCCUCCUCUUUCACUAGUCUUCUUCCUUAAAAAAUCUUACUUUUAUGGAUGAAAUUGGUGUCAACAACAAUGUUUAGUUGUCAGAAAAUACAAGGAGAGAAAAAAAAGGCGUUCAUUGAGAAAAAUAUACGGAAAAAAAAUCAAAUAUAAUUAAUUAAAAUUUUAUAUAUUUUUAAAUUAUUUAAACGUGAAAUGAUUUUAAAAAAUUAUUAACUUUAAAUAUAUUUUUUUUAUUUUUUUUAUAUAUAUUUUUGGAACCAAACAUAAAGAGAGAUUUUGAUUAUAAAAGAGUUAACAUACAAGUUUUUAUACACUCUUGGCAUUUUAGUAUCCAACGUUAUAAAAGUGCAUCGAAAUAUAGUGUAAGACACCUCUUCUAAUGUUUACGGGCAUGUCUUCGGACAUUUAUUUAUUGUUUGGAAGUAUACUUCCCAAUGUUAAAAAGAAUACCUCAGCGAAAAUUUUUGGAUAACUUCAACUUACCUUCCUUAGAACGAACUCCCAAAAUGCCCGAAAAUAAAUAAAUAAGUUUUUAAAAAAAAAAAAAAAAACAAAAUAAAAACCAUACAUCUUGGUUUAUAACAAUGAUGAUUUUCUUAUCCAUUUAUCUAAAAAAUAAUUUUUUUUUAAACCCUUCAUAGGAGAAAUGGAAGAAGAGGAAUUGUUAUGUACAUGAAUUUAUAAAGGUUGAGUAAUCUUGUCAUAAAACAAUUAUUAGGUAAUAUAGAGCCAUUUGGAAGCGAUUUCAAAUGCAACUCUCCAAAAUAAUUUUUAAAAACAAAAUUUUGUUUAAAAACUCUACCUACAGAAAUUUUUUUAAAACAUUUUCUUUGUUUUCAAUUGUUACUCAUCACAUUCUAAAAAACAACUAUUGAAAACACAUAAAUUUAUUCUAAAAUGCUGUGGCUUGAAAACAAUUUUUUAUUUUAAAUUUAUCGAACUUUUUUAUCAAAAAUAAUUUCCAAACUGGCCAUCAUCUGUCCACGUGUAAACCUCUUAAGGGCUUUUCUCAUAAUAUCAUUAGAGCACAAUGUGGCUUCUAAACCAUCACUUACAUCCCCAUUCUGUUUCUACACGUGAGUAAUCUUAAAUACCAUCAAGAUAUUUCUCUUGUAAAUUACAGCACAUAACAGCACUAGUAUUUUUGAAUAAUACAAAAACAUACAUGAGAUUUGAUCCAACUGGUGAAGAUAUAAUUUAGAAACUAGGAAGAGUCCACAAUAUUCAGGAAAGUUCCUGUUCACAUUUUUGGUUUUUCAUUCAAACUUGCAUACAUUUAAAGGCAUGCAACAAAGAUAUUUAAAUUGAAACAUAGUUGAAACUUGAAAGAUAGCAUAAAGGCAAGGGCAAUGAGCAAUUACCCAGCUUUUGUCAUGCCAGCCUCUUCUAGGACCUUAGCAUUGUUGCCUUGCUGGGAGGGUGAAGGGUGGAAGAAGAGGCAAAUAGCUGUGAUGUCAUCCGUUGCAACACCCCGUUUCUUUCGUUUCCAUGCAUCAACUGCACAUUCCACCAGCCUUUUAGCAGAUUUGUUUCGGUCUGGUGCUGAAGAAACAAUCUCAACUGCCUCUUGGUUAGAGAUGACAUCCCAUACCUGAACACAAAAGCCAAGCAAUUGCCCAAUAAUCCAGAACAAUUUGUCAUUUAUGGGUUUUUCACUAAGAUCAAAUCUACUUAAAAUCUAACCUUUGCCAAACCAAUUUAAGAAAGUAAUGCUUUGAUGUAAAAUUUGGAACCGGAAACAAUGAAAGGCAUACCCCAUCUGUGGCUAAAAUGGCAAAUUGGUCUCUGCUGGUUAUAUUUCUUUGUGUGACUUCAGGCACGGAAAUAACCCCAAAGUCCUUCAUGCAGUAGUCACCAAAGGCUCUUGAUAUUGCUAGCCCUGGCGUCUUUGUAUUUGGCAUCCAAACCCUGUACACCCCUGGUUCAUCUUGUAAGCAAUAUACCUGCCCUCUGGACUUAGUUAUUCGCUCAGCUUCCUCUGUAACCAAGAUGAAUAUGAGUGUAAAAUUAAUAUUAUCGAUGUAUACUUAGUAUAACUUGUUAACACAACACCCCACAAACACAUGUAGAGAAGGAGAACUAACGAGGUAAAUUGGGCUUAAAGUCGACAGUAAGUUGAACUGCUACCAGGCUGCCAUCAUCAGACGUGGUUCCCAACACAGCCCGAGAAUCACCAACAUUUGCUAUGAUAAUGAGUUCUCCCUGAAAAAGUUAAUGUGGCAAGGCUGAGGCAACUUUCUGCUUGAAUCUAAAAAUUUCUAAUAUCUGAUAGUCUUUUAAUUUAGUUUUCCAAACCAAUAAAAUUUUCAAGGGACAACGGUAUAGAUUAUCCAGCUCAGUCCAGAAUGAUCUUAGAAAUCCAUUUUCCUAUCUUCAUUAAAAUAUCUGUAACUUGCUUUUGGUUGGUAGACAAAGAAACAAGGGUGGCAAAGAAGAUACCACCUAUUGAAAUCAUUUUAGACAACCUCGACCUUAUUUGUAGCUCUAAACAGAGGGUUGGCCUUGACCACAUGGGAAACUAAUUCAAACUAGGACAUGCCCGGGAAUUCCCAUACAAACUAGAGGUCUGUUCCUCAUCUGUACAAAUUAACCUCAAGCUUUUCAAUAUGUCACUUCAGCCAAAGCAUCUUCUGCAUCUUAAAACUCCUUUUUCUUUCUUUAAUUUCAGUAUUUGACAACAGAAGACAUAACAUUAGAUAAAGCUGAAUGGUGGUCAAGGAAUCAUGUAGCGGACUUUGAAAUUUGGGUUACGAGGUUUUGUUAUUUCAAUAAUAACACGAAGGAAAUCUACUAGAAGUGAUAAAACUGAAAACAAGAAUCAAUUCAAAAGAACAAUAAUGAAAUGACUAAUCAAACCAAGCAGUUAUCUGCUCAAAUUAGAUAUUAUGCAGCUACCUGUCGAACAAUUGUCAAAGCUGUGGUGCCACUGCGAAAAGAAUCAAGAUCUGCAUGCUGCUCGAGCUCCUCAUCAAUGGCAGCACAAGUUUUCAAGUAGGAUUGCCUCCAUAUAUCAAAUGGGCAAAGGUUUCUAUCAAGUCCCAUCAUGUCAAAACCCUGAGCAAGUGCAAGAGUUUCUUGCCAAUGGCAUAACAAAAAUGAUGGCAUCAAUUUCCUGACCCUUUUGGCUACAUGGUGCCCCCACAAGCCAUGCCCAUCAAAAAUCCCACAAAAGGUCAUGUCUUCUUGGCAUCCAAACUCCUACCAACCAAACCAGAAUUUGUGGAUCGAUUAGAAACUAAAUGGUAAUUAUCAUUUUCAAAGAACUGUUCUAGAUUCUAAUAACAAGUUUGCCAUAUAUUGACUUUGAGAUAUGAUUGGCAUACCUCCCACACAAUGAAGCAAUCUUGAUUCACUCCUUUCUUUCCUUUCUUGGAGAAGACAGAGGCAAAAUUACUAGAGCCCCUUGAAUUUAUAAUGCCUGGAGAAGUCAACAUCAAAUUGUUCCCCCUUGCUUCCUUUGCUAACGAUUCAGCAGCUUCUCUUCCAACAUCACUCCUCCAGCUCUCCCCUUUCAUGAGUGAUAUAUUCCGCAUCAAUGCGUCAAAAAGAGCCAAAAGAUUCUCCAUCGGCCUUCCCUCCAAAUCACACCUGCAAAUUACAUGGUAUUUUCCAAUCUAUUUACUCAGAUUAUCAAAUAUGAAAAUGACUCUCAUGUCUACUGAGUACUGGAAGAAGUAAAUGAAUUCAUUUGUUACAAUUACAUUCCAAUCCAAACAAUAGAAAAAGUAAGAUAGAAAAUUUUCUUUCGUUUUCCUCCUUCCUUUGCUACCAAACAUAAAUAAAUUAAAGCAAAAUACGAAGUGCAAUGACUGAAGGUCAACUUGAAGCUAAAAAGUAUUCACACUCGAAAGGAGCCCAACGGAACCAAAAGGAAAGACAGGAAGAUUUGAAAACCAUUCCUCCCCACACAGAACCGAGGGAAAGAAAACCUAUCCUCUCAGCUGAGUCCUUGGUCUAGUUUUUGCAAGUACAAACAAUGAAAAAUUUUCUCUGGUUUCCCCGACCAAACAUGGUCUUAAUCUACUGCCUCUAAAUAACAUAACCAACUGAUGUUCAGAGAACUAACACACAACCUUGUUUUUCCGCGGUGGUCAAAGACCGAUCACGCCGUCCCGGAGAUCUCUCCGGAGAACUAUUGCCAAACCAACUGAUAUUUCCAAUUCUAGCAUCUAAAGCAUAGCUUUUACCGGGAAGGGCCAUUUUUCAUUUAAGUAAAAUAGUAAUCAAAAUAUUUUAUUCAGAUUUGGUCUGAAAGAAAAUUAUAAUAUGGAUUAGGACAAAAUAGUAAAAUAAUUUUUUUUUUUUGAAUGGAAAUUGACUCAAAUAAAAAAUGUUUGUUCUGAAUUAAUUACAGUUUUUACGUGGAUGGAAAUUGAGGCUAAUUAAAAAUGCUUAUUUUAGAAGAACAGUGGGAAUUGAAUAAAGUUUUUCUUGUGGAUGGGAAUUCAUGAUAAUUUUAAAAAAUAUUUUGAAGAAGUCGUAAUGCAAUUACAUAAUUCUUGGCGAAGGAAAUGGAAUUAGUAAAUAUAAGUUCUUUUUCGGAGUGGUUAGAAGUAAUGACAUCAUGAAAGUAGUACAUUAAGUAUUUUAAACAAGGGUUUGGUUAUGGUAGUGUGAUAUCCAAGGAAAGUAGGCUAGACCAUUUAAUUUGAAAGCAAUUAUGGGUUUUUUUUUUGUGACAAUUACGAUUGUUCCUAUCAACUAUGUUUGAUAAUAUUAUAACUCUGGAAGGCAUGAUGUUUCAUCUUUAAGUUCUUGUCGAGUAAAUAUUAUGCAUGUAAUUCAUAAGUACAUGUAAUGGAAUGAAAUGUAAAUAGAAAGGUUUCCAUUGUUUUUGUUUAUACUAAAGUUUAUAUAAAGGUGAAUCUAAUAAGAACUUUAAGAAAAGAGGAUCUACAAGUUAUAAUGAAUAUUUUUUCACCUAUUCUUAGAAGAACCUUUUUUUGUCCCGUUGAUCCCAUUAUUUUUUUGUUGUUUUGUACCUGACAUUUUAUAUUAUGGUUUUCCCUUCUUUUUUUUUUUUUUACACUUUUAACCCCCCAUUUGCUCGUUACCCCCCAUUCGAUGACCCAAAUUUUACCAUAUGGCCUAAAUUAAAAGCUCCACGUGGUGCCACCAUAGAGUUUUCCAAACAAGAAAGUAGAUUUGAAAUAAGAGGAGAAGGCUAGGUUGUGUGUGAUGCUAUACCGAAACAAACAUUUUAUGGAGAAAUAUCAUCCUGAAUUUUACAGUGUACCUGCAAAGCCUCCAAAGGUAAAGCAAUAAGUGUUUUUGGAGACAAACGUUGCUUCCGGAUGCAGGAAAAGAGAUUCACCGAAGCAACUACUUUCAUGAAGUUUUAUACAACUGACGAUAAAUGAUUGACCUAAAAUACAUUAACCCCAAGUGGGGGAUUAAUUAUCAGCCACAUUAGACCUUCUCUCUAUCAUUUUUUGUAUUCAUGCUAACAAAUACUUACAACAUUGGGGGAGCCGUGUCUGUCAUGAACCUGAAAUCUUCACUUCACAUGACCGAGAAAAUGAUGGAUCUCAGGAUAACAUGCUGUGUCUUUUGAGUAUUAUAUCCGGGGAGGUACAGCUACAACGUGAAGGGCAGGGACCCCAUCUGCCGUGAAACUCUUUAAUUAGUGUGUAGGAAAAAACUCAGUGAAAGACUUGAGGAGAGGCAUAGUACUCGCUCUCAUUGAACACAGGUCUUAAAUCUUCUUUGCACAUGAAAUCUAAGGGGAAAUAAACAAGAUGACCCUUCACCGACUCUAAUCUUUCCAUGGGUUCGAUUGUCUUCAUGUCUCCAUUGUCAUAGGAUUCUAGCUUCAUAGGGGCUAUUCCUAAAUCAAUGGUGGUGUGGCCAAGUUUCUCCUUCCAGAUGGCCAUAUGUUGUCUCAUUGCAGCUCUGCAUGUGAUGAAGAUGAGAUGAAAAAGAGGUUAGCAGGGAGAAAAGAGAAUGUGAGAUGAAGAUCAGAGCUGCUUCAUACCUAGAAUGUAUGAGAUCGUUUGGGAUGCAAGAAAAGACAUCUUGGUAGAUUGUGGAAUUCGUCUGUCAAGGUUAAACACCCAUAAAUGGGAGUUAAUUAGAGAAAGAAUCAAGAGCAACAAACAAAUGAAAAAGACUCGAGCACAAUAGUAUAUCAACAUAAAGAUGUCUACACCGUUGGGAAGAUUUAGCAUGCACAAAAAAUUUGUCAUUUUCAUAUGCAGGGAAUUAUCUUUCAUAAAUUAAAAUAAAAAUGCAAAUCUUCUGAAUAAAAAUAAAUGCUUUCCCCACUCUCGGCGUUGACUUAUCCCAUCCAGAGAAUACUGGGAAAAAGAAAAGAAGGGGGAAAAAAAGAGUGGCCUAUAUAGAAGUUAAAAAGCCCAUAAAAUAUGGGCCAUAAAUUAGAGAAAAAUAUUUAAGCAAAAUUAUGUAUCAUUAAUAUAGUUAGUAAAGAAUCCUGAAAUUCUCAAAUUCAUUUCUAUUGGUUUGAUGUUGAGGAAAGUAAUGUAAAUGCUAACUUUGAAGUCUUUUGUUUAACAGUAACACUUUUCUUUUAGUUUUUGAUUCAGACCUUUGCAGUUGCCAUCCACACAUCUCUGUAAGUUGAAUCAACAACUGGAUCUUUUAUUUGAUCAAUCUGGAAAAAGAAAUAAAGAACAUACAGUCAGCCAAAUGAUAUGAGCUAUAGUUAGUUCCUCUUCAUUGAUGCUAUGGUUUGCUACAACCAACCCUCAGUCGCAUGGGUGUGGUUCAGUGAAGGCUUUUGAAGAAAAGGCUAAGCAGCAAUUAUCAUAUUUAUGACUAACCUCUCCUCCUCGAAGACCAAGGUGUUCUGACCACAGUGAGAGGCGGAGACUAUGAGCAAAUUUGCCAGCCUUCUUUGGUUUUCCUCCCAUAUAUGAAUCAACCAAUUCCUUGUCUUCAAUGAGCACGCCAAUCUGAAAGAACAAACAGUUCAGUGAUAAUUAAGGUAAACCUAAUCAUAAAAAAAGAAAAAGAGAAGCAAGUUUACAUUUAGAACAGAAAACCGUAUCAUUAGGUGGGGAUAACUCCUAAUUUUGGAAUUAUUCGCAAUGACUAAGACAAUGCAGGGAAGAGAAAAAUUCAGAAACUUGGUAGCAACAAAAAGACAACACAAGAACAACAGUUCUGAAGAUAUUAAAUUCAAUUUACAGUUUAGCUAUUAAAUAUUAUAUUGACCAAUAUUCUGUAAUGCAAUCUGCUUAAGUUCACAAUCCUGGUUCAACAAUCUAUAUUGUUCACUUUAACCAUGAUAUUCCAAUAUUGAAAUUAAUACCAAAAUAAAUAAAUAAAUAAAGUUCUCACUAUACAUAAACUCAUGAUAUGCAAGGAAACCCCAUGGUGGAACAAUUUCAGGAGCAACUAGUUACCAAAAAGAGGACUAGUGAUGGAAUAGAUGGUUCAUUUGUCUGAACAGUCCAGGGUUUCAGAAUGCUGAUACCACCUCCUAGACCAUAAAGAAAAACCAACCUUUUUAAAAGCAUUCAAAAUGCAUUAAGCAUUAAUUUUAAACAAGAAACAGCUCUAAAUUGUUUGGUGAAAAGUACAAAAGAAAUUUCAAGAAAUUGAGAAACCUGUAUCAAAUUCUAACUUGGGAAAAAAUCCACAGCAAUGGAAAUGGUGAACCUUAGUGUAGCAAUCCAAUUAUACAUAUGCCUAAACUUUAACCUCCUCCUCUGAAUAUCACAUGGGCAUGUUUGGUUCUCUCUGAUAACAGUUUUUUAUUUUUAUUUUAAAAAUGAAGUAUAGAACUUCUAAAAUCUAUAUUUGAUUCACUUUUUUCAGAAACUAUUUUAUUUUUAUUUUCAAAACAGGUGCUUUAAGAGAACAGUAAAAUGUGGCUCUAAAGUUUAAUAAUGUUAUUGAAAACAACUCAACAAGAACUUCAAGUUGUCAUUGACAUUUAUAACCGGGAGAUAGAAGGAGAAAAACUAAUGCUACUUUCUUCCACUCAGGUCAGAGUUUCAGAUAGAAAACAAAAACAACUGGAAGUCAAGAGUUAAAUAGGAAGGAGCACUGAAACACUUUGAAGCUUGAUAGUUGGGAGAGCAAUCUUGGAACAAUGAGAAAUUGGAAGAAACUUAAAACGAAUAAUCCCUUUAGAACUUAUUAAGGCAAGGCGACACUUCCACAGCCAAAGCCUGUCCAUAAACUGAGAAGGACAAAAGAGAGAAUAAAGUUCAAAAAAAGGGCGAUAAAAUAUCCUCCAACUCCUGUAUUUAAAAUAAGGGGAAAAAAAUAAUUAUGACUGCUGAGCUUAAAAUCAGUUCAUUUCAAAUCUUGUAUUCCUGAUUCCAUUCAUUUUCAUUCAAAUUUCUGUGAUUAAUUCAAUGGUUCACAUAAAUUUUCUUGAUCACACAAUAUUGUAUUUAUAUUUUUAAAGACAUGUAAUUUUUUUUCAUGGGUAAUUUUUUUUGGUCUUCAUUGGGUCUCAAAACUUGGAACCUUUCACAUCUCUAAUACAACCCUUUGUGACAUGGGUCAGGCCAAAUGAGCAAAACAUGUGAAUUUUAACUGCAAAUUUGGAAACAAUUCACUCACAAAAUUCAUCAAUGUGCUUUUUAAUUAUUCAAUGGUCACAACUAUACAAAUUUUGAUUAUCCUCUGUCUUCUGAAAAAUUGUUCUCUAAUUUAUCUUACCAAAAGUGUUUUUGGAUAAAAAUUUUCUGAAACUCACAUGUGAAGAAACUAAUCAUGAUAAAUCAGAGUUGUGAACAAUAAAUUGAUCUCAUGCUCUAGAACUGAAAAGAAUGAAAUACCAAUAACAAAAAUUUUAUUCAUGCAUAUUAGGAGAUAGAUUGGAACGCUGUGAGAAAGGAAAGUAGUGGGCAUCCAAGAAGUUGAUAGUAUGAUAGACUGAUUCUUUGUUAUUGGAUGAUGACUGGAAUACACAACACUUCUAAGAUUAUUCCUAACGAUGAAUAAAGCUUAGAAAAUAUGCAAUUUCCUCAGUCUUCUUCAGUUACUAUAAAUAAAAUUUCAAAUUCUCUGGUUUUUUCCAUUUCUGAAGCUGAAAACAUGGGUUUUUUUUUUAAUCACAUAUGAUAGGUUUUAGCUCUGAAGCAUGAACCUGUAGAAGAAUGAAUAAGUAUAAAGCAAAGGGAUGCUUGAGAAGUGAUACCUCAGAAUCUCUUGAUCCAAGCAAACUCCUAUCAUUAAUGUUAGCGGAUCCAAUCAAGGUUGUGCAGUCAUCAACUAUCAUGAUUUUGCUAUGCACAUACACCUACAGAAACAAUAGGAAUAUAAUGUGAAAAAUGAUAUACCACUGAGUUCCAAGCUCAAUUGUUUUUCCCAUGUCCAUUAUAAAAAUUUAAAAAAAAAAACAUGAAAAAGAUGCAUACAAAUAGAUUUUGUAAUUGAUUAGGGAACAUUGAAAAUAAAUGUACAUAUGUGAUUAUGUGCAUCAGCAAAACACAAUACCUGACUAGAGGCCACAGGACCUCCAUCAAAAAGUCUACCAUAAGCUCUGAGACCAUAGAAAGAAAUGUAAUCAUGUGUUUUAUGACCAAUAACAUCAUAAAGAUUUUGUAAUAUUGAAUUAUUUCCUCGGCAUAUAGUUCGAUACUGCCAAUGCAUUAUGGCUCUUACAGAUGCCGCCCCACCAUCAUCCAAACCACCCUGUUGAAAUUCAAGACAAAAAUAAAAAACAAAUCUCUUUUAUUUCAAAUGUCAAGGAACUUAAUCAAGAAUAGUACCUGGAAGCCAGGUAGGAGUGGUAUGACAAUAAUAACUCUGAAACACUUCUUAUCAUUGUAUGCUUGCAUAAUACGCCUGUAUAACACUUCUAAUACUCGAUUGCGUAUUAUCUCAUCACCUGAAAGACCUGAUAUGAAAAAUUGAUUCUGGGAACAAGUUGCCCCAUGAGCAGAACAAAAAAUCAGAAACAUUAGCAGCUAAUUGGAACUUUUGCAGGCCUCCUUGGGAUGGAGAACCUCCCAAUAUUCAGUAAGAAAUCAAAGGUUCAAAAUAAAUAAAUUAAAUAGAUAUCCAAUUAUGAAGGAAAACUUGUCCAUAUAAAUGUCUUAGGAAGACAUCUAAGACCCUAACAUGCUGGUAAACUCAAGUGUAUAUGAGAAAUAUGUUUUCCUGUUUAUUACAUGCUUCCAUGCAUAUUUCUACAAGUGCAAAAAAAAAAAAAAAAAACAUCCAUCGCAUAUGGUUGUCAACUAAUCAUUCAUUAAAGAUGAAAAAGCUCAUCUCAUUCUAUACCUCAAUAUAUAUAAAGUGUUCUGCCUUUUCUAUAAGGGAGCAAUAAGCAUUAUGAGUGCUGUCUUCAACUUGGCUUGUUCCAGCAGACCACUGACUGACGCUCCUAAUAACCUGAAAGUGAGAUAUUAUUUCUGAUAGUUAAACAAAUAAUAUUAUAAUGAAAAAAGGAUUCAAUCCCAUAAAUAUGCUAGAGUGACAACAUAUAUAAAUUUAUGGGCUUUGUUUUUUGGUCCUCAUUGUGAAUAAGGGCUAAUUGUUAGGGUGCAACAAUUCUGCUCUUAAGCCCAAGGAUGGGUCACCUAAAUGAUGGCUCUUAGAAUAGACUCACAAGAUAUGAUGUUAAAUGCCAUAACAGGUUUUGCUUACCCUUAUUGGACACAAACAAGUUUUCAGAUGAGAUGAUUAGAGUCUAAUCCAAGAAUUAGUAUCAUUAACCUACCCUCACUAGACACCAAUUGGUUUUCAAAUGGGAUGGUUAAAGUUUGAUCCAACACUAAUCACAAAUAAGGUACCAUUGUGUUGGUAAUUGGCUGGUGCUACUUAGUUCCUGAAUGAACCACAAGAGCAAGGCACUAGCAGCUUUUCAAACCUUAAAUCCUUGUUUCCCUUUCUAAAUAUAAAUGUAUACCAACGUUAACUAGCUAUCCAAUUUCAUUCCAAAUCCCUUGCCACUUGCAAAUCUGAAGACACCAAAUGAUAAUACAGGUUCUAGCAGCCAACUAUACUUAAAAGGAUAUAGGAAAAAUAUAGCAAAAUAUUUUUAAUGUCAUAGAAUUGUGAGAAUAUAACCAAAAACCAAGAGUAAUAAUAAUAUUCUAUAUUAUAAGGAAAGGACUGUAGAGUACUGACAAGGUUGGCAGGGUGGAUUCUACAUUAAGAGGAAUCCAAUUUAGAAAUGUGACAAGAGGGCAGGGACUGACAAGGCAACAAACCAUCAUCACAGCAAGACUUAAAGCUAUGAAAUUCUAUGCCAGACUAUGACAUUCAAUAGUAAUUGGGUUGCACUCUCUCUUUUUUGUUACACCUAUCAAUUCAGAUCCCUAAUAUGCCUAUCAAAAGAAAAAAGAAAAAAGAAAAAUGAAAAAGCCUGUCAAUAAAAGGUUGACAUCCAUAGUCUGUAGAUACAGCAAAAAAAGAAAUGGAAAGAUUUGCAAUCUUCACCAUGCAGAUGUGAUCUAAUUCCAAAGUCUGACAACAUCACGGAAAUCUAAAAUUAACAUUUUGGACUACAUUGAGCUUUUUGACAGAUUGCUGAUCUCCCCUGAGGAAUUCACCAACACAUCCCCCCUUAGGCAACUACUAUUUUUAGUGCGAUAAACUACUCAUCUACUCCUGAAAUAAUAUAAAUUAUUUAAAUUAAAUAAAUGGUAUUUUCAACUUGGUUAAAAUGUGCAACUCCUGAUUGAGAGCAGAUAAUUGAUUCUACAUCCAAACCCCAGGAUUCACAUAUCAUAAGCAUAUUGAUAUUAUAGGAAUAUGUAGGUUGCUGAUAUUUGGCAUAAUUUAAGAUUUUAAAGAACUUCAAGAAUUAUAUAGUCAUAAUUUUAAGAAUUUUAAACCCCUUCAAGGUUAUAGCCUACCUGACAACGACAUGGAACGCAAGGACCAACUUGUCCAGUUUCAUCAGCAGAAAGAACUUGAUUCCCCCGCUCUUGUGUUUCCCACCACUCUCUAUCACACGUUCUCAUUCCAGGCUGUGCCAUUAUAUCUGAAGACAUUUUUCCUUUCAGAUCCAAGGUAUCAAGGUCAUCUACAAAACCUUUCAUUGGCAUAUCUGGGACUGGUUCAAUUUUGGACUUGCGAAAAGAGAAAGAAAGACUUCUGCUGACCCUAGUUGGCUGAUCAAGGAGAUUACUAGAGGAGUCAAACCCAUUCAAUUUUGAUUCUCCAUGGGGAGAAUCCAAUCCAUCAGGCUCUUGAGGCAAAAGCAGUGGGAUAUCUUGGAAAGAUGACCGAGAGGAAAAGGAAUCCAGUUUUUUAAUGUCUUUAUAGUUGUUUUCAACAUUCUUCUUUUCAACCUCCAUCUCUCUGCUCCUUCCCAUGUAAUGUGGAAUGACCAUGUGCUGCUGAGGCAUAAGUAGUGGAAUUGCUUGCUCAUUUGGAGCUUUAUUUCUCUGCAGAAAAGUAUGCUUGUAUUGAGAUAAAAGGUUUAUUAUACUUUUGAAAGAAGAACUAGGGAGUAUGUAGUGAAGACAUCAACCUUUGCAUAGUUCCAACGCUGAACAAAGUGCCUAGCUACAUCACGACAAGGCGGUCCCCAUAGGGCACAAUGGACGUCAUGCCAUGGCAUACGAGGAUAUUUUCCACGAUCCAAUUCAUCUUUCAUUGUAUCUUCCCAAGAAUUUGGUUCAGAUUCCCUGAAAUUGAAAAUUCAUUACAAGUUAUCCAAUGUGAAAGAGCCAGAGUGAAAACAAACUUGCAAUUACUUAGAAAAGAAGAAACUAUUGUCAAUGUUCUCACACAAACUAUGGAGCUUGUCACCCAUAUGUUUACAAGGGAAAGACAGUCUCUAAUAUCAAAACAUUUUACAAAAAAAAAAAAAAAAAAAAAAAAACUGAUUCAAAGCAUCUGAUUGAGGGAAUAGUGCAUAGACAAAGCAUGCAUCUAAAAAAAAUGCUUUUGAUUUUAAUCCAGCGUAGGAACAGCAGCAACUGGUCCCUUAAAAAUUCUUUAUCUUAAUAGUGAAUGAUCUUGUUGAUGAAAACCCAAAACACAGCAUACCAACCAAACAAAUACAGAUCAAUGAAAAGAGAACUAAUUUAAACUUCGAGAGAAAAGUACAGGAUCUAUAUUUAAAAUUGUCUUCCAAUAGUCAUCCAUUGCAAUAAACUUUCUGAAUCAGGAUCCAGAUAUUGAGAAAAGAACUUGCCUUGGGUUGUAAUAGUCUUUUCCUGGCCACAUCAAAGGAGGGUGAUCACCUACUUUGUGUUCCAAUGUGUCAUAACGGCCAAAGCAUAGAUCCAGACCUCCAAUAAAGCAAAUCUGGUAAUCAACAAUGACAAGUUUUUCAUGGUGGGACCUGUAUAUAAACAGAAAUGACAUCAGCAACUUCAAAAAUUCAUUACAACAGGAAAUACUAUAGCUCAAUUCUUACAUCUAUAGGACUUCAAAGUAAAUUACAUACCACAGAUAAACGCCAGUUGAGAAAUGAUCAGGAUAUCGCAGUACUCUCACAUUCUCAUGAAUGCUAAGAAGCUUCCUUUUACUGUAGACACUGUUGAUUUUCAAAGCAAGAGCAACCUCUUUGUAGAGAAGAAUGUAAAUCUGCAGUCAUAAGAUAAAUUAACACCAGCAUCCCUUCUAGUGGAUCAAAGUAGGUCCCAUAAUCAACAGAAAGAAAAAAAAAUGCAGGAAUAAUGAUUUCCAGAGUCCAUGGAUAUGGAGUUCAGUAAAGCUACAUGAGUUCUCAUGUUGUGGUAAAGUAAAGAUUUUGAUCAAUGAUAUCCAGUAUCCCUCCCUUCAAUCCAGGUCAGUGGCAUCCAUCUCUAGGAUGAAAUGUCAUGAGUUAAAAUAUCCAAAUGAAUAUCCACUAAGAGCAUAUUGAAAAUCAAUAACAAAUGAUUCACAGCCUAUCUUCAUAGUGGAAAACAUCGUCACUUGGUGCAUAAAUGAAUAUCCUGAAAAACCAAUGGUACAACUAUACCAAACUGUGGGUUUGAUAUAUUUAGAUGAUAUAAUGGAACAUAAAUAUGAACAACCAUUUAAGGAAUAAGGGUACCUGAACACCUUGCUUAGCUUUUGCUUCCAGUAAAGCAUCAAGCCGAGAAGAAGCAUGAGAGUGAAAUGGACGCCUCAGAUACAGUUCUGGGCACACCCACCAGCCACAAAUAAAUAUCUGCAUCGAAAUUUCAUCAUCUAAGAAUUGCUUUAAACUGACUACAACGAUAAUCAACCAAGACAGACCACAACUGCAUUAUGUGCUAUAGCAGGAAUCUACCUCUGAUUUUGCUUCCUCAAUUGCGGAGGCAAUCGCUUCAAAUGCCGCUCGACCAUCGACAAACCAUUGAGCUAGACUACCAUCUUCACUCAAACCCCUUGGAGGUGCAAAAGAGCCAAAGCGGUGAGGAUGACACCAGCCCUCAGGAGGCCUAAGUCCAGCAUCAUUAAUUGCAGCAACCCAGUCUUUAACUUUAGCACUACUCUUAGCUCUUAACCUUAUGCUCCGGUUUCCGCAUGUCACCUUUAGAAAUUUCCUGUUGUCUGUUAGAGAGUGAACUUCAUCUAUCCAACAACUAAACUAUAUAUCUAUCCAUAUAUAUGUUCCCAUAAAUUAAAUGGACCAAUUUAAUUUCAACAUGAAGAUGUGGUGGGAAAAAUUCAUCUCAAAACAUAGCAAAAUUUCUUCAGCCACUAAAAUUUCAUGUCACUUGCUCUGUGAGGAAAAAGGCAGCACAAGCCCUAAUAUCUAGCUGUAUAGGGGUAGAAUCAGGCAAAAGAAUUAAGUGGCUGUAGUCCCAAAACAACCCCUACAUACUCUAAAUUACUGCAAGAAAGAAAAUCAACCUUACUUUCCAAAUUAAGUGUCGAAGUUGUCGAAUAUGUUAAGGCCCUUGUUUUUUAGGUUCAAACCAGACAAUAAACAGAUCUUUAGUAAACCUACAGAAAUUUAUAAGCAUAACUUCCCUCUCAAAGCCAUUGCUUUAUUGCAGGGCUUCUGAAACAUGUGUUUCUAAUAAGCAGACUCCCAUACAUCAGUAAUCCAGUACCAUAUUAGUAGGUUUUCAGCUUCUCAUAUACCAUAAAUACAUAUCCUUUCAGUUAGAUCGAAUCAGAAGAUACCCCAAGCAUGGCACACUAUGGUUGGUUAGUUAAGAAAAUAGACUGUACACAUUGAGGUGGUGAUAUUGAAAUUUCCAAUAAUACAAUAGGAAGUGAAAUGAACCUAAAGGCUCACUGGAAAGGCCAGUAGCCUGUGCCUAUUCCAUUUAUGUGGUUCUGGGUGGAGUAGAACAACAAUAGACCUAACUUCCAGAAUUUUUUAAUCCAGCCUCUCCACCAGAACCAAAAAGAAUAAAGCAACAGAUUUUCACAAGAUGAAAGGACCACAUGCUUCUUACCUUUAAUGCAUGGCGUAAAGGGUUCCUUUCCUUUAUUUCUUUUGCUAAUGAUAGCCGGCCCUCCCCAUUUCCAUCUGAGGCAGGUAGCAGAUCAAAAACAAUAAUAUCUAAAGGCUGAGGAUGAAAAGGAUCUUCCAGCAAGGCCAAGAAUCCAGGUUUCAAUACAGCCCACACCUGCAUAAAAAUUCAAGAAUGUGAUAAAAUGAAAAUGUAAGAAGAACAAAAAAACAAAUGCAGACGUACUAUCAAAGGACGAUAAAAAAGAGAAACACUUGUGCAACAUGGUACAGAAUAUAAAUCACACACUAAAAUUUUUCAUAUUUAACCACAAUUUAAUGUUAACACUGUUAACAAUUCACAAACAAAACUGAGGGAACCACAGGUUUGUCAGUACGUGCCGUUAUAUGGCACAUAGAGUAGAGAUGAACUAGGGUGAAAGAAAAACAAAUAACAAAGGAGAUUAUAAAUAAAUGUGCAAGCAUAAUAAAUUAAAAGAAUGAGAGUAUAGGAUCUAGGAUCAUGGUACUCCCAGAUAUGAAAAUAUAAUGCAGAUAGUGAGCAAGAAAUCCAAUAACAGUAAGCCUACAGCCCUGUUAAUAGGCCAGAGGGCAGGUCAAAACCUUCAAGCUACAUUUGGUUCAUGGAAUGGGAUGGUUGUUGCUUUCCAUUCCAUCAAUUCCAGUAUUUGGUUAUGCACAACGUUUUUCUUUUAGAAUUUUAAUAGGUUUGUGGCACACAUAACACACCUAGGGAUGUGAGUUUGCAAAAAUGAUUGCUAUGAAUGGGUUUUAAAAUAAUUGAAGUGACAAGCAGAUCCUUUUAUUUGUUACUCAAAUUACAAUAAUAUCAUAUUGUCCAUCAAACUAUCUUUAGAAAGUAAAUUAAUUUGAACUUUUGUAGAAGGUAAAUGACAAAUUACGAAAAUAUUCUAGAAAAAAAAAAUUAAUUACAAUUCUAAUAGAGUGCAUAAUAUACAUUGUGGGCCCAAAUCCAAUAUGCUUAAGCUUUUAGGAAAAUUAGUAUUUUAACAUGACAUCAAAGCCUUGUUUAGUGGGAGAUCAAGAGUUCGAGCCUCACCAUUGCAUGUUUAAUUACCCAAUUUAUUUUUUUAAUCAGAAACAAACAUAUUUAGUAAUUAAAAAAACAUAAGAAGGAUGAGAAGUCCUCCCCAGGAUGUACAAACCUGCUCAAAAGAACUAAGAAAACCUCUGCUAAAAAAGGAAUGCUAUACAAAAAAGACAAAAGGCCUAUACAAGUAUAACCACUUCAGACCCAAUUUUUAUUUACCUAAUUUAUUAAGUCCAUAAACCCAAAAAUGGAGGUUACAUCUAAGGGAGGAUGUUAAAGUGCAUGAUAUACAUUGUGGGCCCAAAUCUUAUAAGCUUAAACUUUUAGGAAACUUGGUAGGUCAAUACUAAACAAAAUCUUUUGUGAUGAAUUUUUUUUCAUAAAUAAAAUAUACUUGUCUGAAAAAACUGGAACAAGAAUUAGAUAAUUAAAAACAUAAAGAAUAAUAAAGUUGUUAUUAGUCAAAAUUUAUCAUAAAAGGCUUCACAAAAGCACAUAUCUUUUUAAUGGAACUUUAUUUUUUGUUAUCAUUACUUAGAACCAUUACAGAAAUCUAUGAUUAAAGUAGAUCAUAUUUUAACACCACCAGGUAGAUAAGAAACUUCUCAAAACCUCGGAAUUCCAAUAUGGAAAUGUUCAAUUGAAACAGAACCUUUUCAAGAUACCAUUAAAUAUAAUUUUUUUUUAGGAUAAGAUUGCAUUACCUUUUGCCAAUUGUCAUUGCAACAACUGAACCAAGGACAUGGGCAACAUUUUCUAGUAUCGUCUUCCUUUGGAAUUUUUGGUAAAUGCUUGACCAUCACAUAAUCUUCUUUCAGCUUUGGGCCAUAUUCCGGAGAAAAUGAUAACUUCGAAACCUCCAAAAAUUUGCAAACCUACAGCAUAGAAUAACCCACUGUAAGAACCAGGUACUAUGCAGUGGUGCCACUCUCAAGCACACCACUCGUGCAUGGUGCCACCUGUUUCAUUUAUUUGAAUAAUGCUAAAAAAUAUAUUCAUUUCAUUCUCAGUUGUCCCUCUCAAGGACUUCACCAGUUGACAAUUUCUUUUAACAUAUAUGAAUAUUCUUCUGAUGAUGCUUUUUUGAAUUUGAAUAUAUUUUGCUUUUUUUAUAUAAAUUUUUUUUUAUUUAUAAAAUAACUGAAUAAACCUUAGAGAUAAAAAAUAAGAAAUAAAAUUACAAAGAUAUUAUUUAAUAAAAUUUAUUACCAUUUUUUAAAAUUCUUCUUAGAAGUAUAAAUUUUUUAUAUAUAAAAAAAGACACAUAAUUAUUUAAAUAUGGCUUUUUUUUACAAAUAUAUUUUUCUAUAAAAAUAGAAAAUCGGUUUACUAUUAAAUUUUGAGAACAUAUUGGUUGUUUCAAUUUAUAGGCAACCAUAUGCACAAUGACCCAAAUUUGAUUUUUUUUAAAAAAAAUUAUUUCUACAAUAUUUUUAAAAUGUUAUUUAAAUUUUUGUAUUUUUAAUUGAAAAAACUACUCUUUCUUAUGUUAAGGCCCUUCCCCUCCCUCCCUCCCUCCCCCUCCCCAAAAAGAAAAGACAAACAUUUCUACACCCCUAGGGAGAGUGUACAUUCAGUUGAAGACAAAUACAUAAUAUCAUAAAACAAUACAUAAAAUUUUAACUAGCAAUUAGACACCCAUUUUUGACAACAGCAACUAAAAGAUUGUUCUAUUGACAAAGAGAUAAUUAAAGGAAGAAUUAUGGAAUAGUAGACCAUUUAAAAAAAAAAAAAGGAUUUUGUUAGAACCCAAACUUAACCUUUUCAUAUCAAAUACAUAAUAAGAUAAAAUAAUCCCACAAGACAUGCAGACGAGUAAUUAUGAUGGAAUUCCAAAAUUGCCCAUUAAAAAAAAAAGUUGUCCAAAACUCCACAUAAACUCUCUUGCUAUGUAAACAUCCACAUGGUAGCAAAAGAGGGAUUGCCACACAAGCCCAUGCCCACAGUUUUAAAAGGCACAAGGAGCACCUAAAGUGCAAAAGUCUCCUACAUCGUAGGUGCAAGGCACAACACAAGGCACACACUUGAGCGACAUAAAAUGUGACCUAAAAUGCAUAUCAAUUUUAUAAAAUAUGAUUCAAAAUAUAAUAAAAUCAAUAAAAAUUUAAGAUUCCAAACAUGUAAGAGAACGAUUCAAUAAAAGAGAAACGAAAAUAUAUAAAUUUCAAUAUGUUGUUAGAAAUUUAAAAAGUAAAAGUGUUUGAAAGGGAAAAGUAAAAUAGACGAGGUGCAACUCUCCAACAAAACGCAUGCCUUGGCAAGCAAUGCACUAUAACUAGGGAGUGGUUGCUCCUUGAACCUAGGUGUGUGCCUUCUAAAACUAUGCCCAUGCCAUUAAAAAAAAAAAAAAAAAUGAAAGAACCCAAGCCCUAACCUAUUUCUCAUCAAAGCACUUUCCCUCCCACAACACUUACCAUGUCAAACCAAAUUUAAAGCCAUAACCAAGCCAAAAUCCACUCUAUCUCUACAAAGAUAUUGAAAUCUACUCUAGUUUUUCAUUUGAUGCCCAAAUCUAAUUCAUCUAUUGCAACCCAUGCUCAACAGUGGUUGGCCCCUCAAAAGUCCUUGUACUUUGAGUCCCUAAUCAUCCAUCCCCAUCAAUGUGUUUAUAUAUAUGGGUGUUUCUUUUUGUAAUGUUAUUCACUUUCAAAUGUCUUAGGUUUAGAUCUUUUUGUAAUUUUUCAAAGCUCUAGUUUCAUUGAGGUUGUUUGUAAUUUUUUUUGUGAUUUUGAAAAAAAGAAAAAAAAAAUGGAAUGAACUUUAUGUUGAUUUAGUUGUAUCCAAUUGAAGGUGCAAGAAGUGAAAAAUAGUUGUGAAUAGAGUAAACAAUUAUUAGCUAAAGGAAUUUAAUUAAUGAAAAGAAAUGAAUGAAAUGGAUUUCAUUUCUUAGGUUUUCAUAGAAGGUUUCAAUACAACUUCUGCAUUUUGUUGGUGCUAUGUGGUUUUGGGUUCUUUUCCUUUUCAAUCCUGAUGUUUUGUUGUUUUUUGGGUUCUUUAUACUCUCUUCCGACAUAGCAUAGAAUCAAAACAACAAAGCACAAAGGGAAAAGAAACCAAAACAAUAUAGCACCCAACAAAAUACAAAACUUCCACGGGAACCUUCUAUCAAACACUAAGAAACAAGAUCCAAUUUCAUUCAUUCCUUUUUCAGUAAUUAAUUCCUUUAGCUUAUAUAGAAGCAUAAAAAAGCUCAUUCUUUACUACUAUUUUUGGUAUAGGCUCUUAAACUAUAUACAACUAAAUCAACAUAAUGUUCAUCCCAAAUUUUUCCACAAAAUCACACAAAAAGUUUAUCAAACAACAUGAAGAAAUAUUGAGCUUUGAAAAAUUACAAAUAAGCUCAACCUAAGGCAUUUGAAAGUGAAUAACAUUAUAAAAAAAUGCACACAUACAUAUAAACAUAUCGACGGGAAUGGAUGAUUAGAGACCUGAAAACUUACCAAUCUUUUGAAAAAGAAAAGAGAUCUGAAUGGAGCCAAAGUACCACGGUUCUUGAGGGCUGAUUAGUGUUGAACGUGACAAUAGAUGGGCUGGAUUAGGGUGUCAAAUGCAAAGCCAGAGCAAACUUCAAUAUUGCUGCAGAGUUAGAGUGGACUUCAGCAUGGUUAGGGGUUCAGAUUUGGUUAGGGCCUUUGAUUUGGUUUAGCGAGGUAAGUGUCAUGAGAUGGAAGGUGCUCAAACAAGAAACAGGUUAGGGCCUUGGUUCUUUUAUUUUGGGGGUUUCUUUCUUAUUUUUUUCUUUUUAUAAGUCCACCUGUCAUGCCAAGUUAGAAUGCUUACAUGGCAUGGGCUAGUUGGCAAAUCCUACUUUGGCUGCCAUGUGGAUGUUUAUGUGGCAAGAGAGUUUCUGAAAUUUUGGAGAAAUUUUUAAAAAAAUAGCAAUUUUGGAAUUCCAGUAUGAUUAUUGUUCCAGUGCAUGUUUUGGGGAAUUAUUUUACCCCAUUGUGCACUUGUUAUGGAAAGGUAAAGCUUGGGUUCUUAAAGAAUCCAUUUUUUUAGAUGGCAUACGGUUGCAUAAUUCUCCCCCAAUUAAAGAAAUGUGAAGUUCCAAAGUUCAAGUAUGAACAUUACAUACCUCAAGAGUUAUAAAAAGAGCAGAAAUCAAAUAACUAAACACAACGCAUCAAUUAAUUGGAAGUUUUCUAUUAUCAAAAUGAUGUGACUAGAAUGUUUAGGUAGGAAUAUCAUUUCAAGAACAUUAGUGUGCAUCAGAAUAAGGAGCCGAAGAAGACUUGAAAAUAAACCUUCGGUAUAGAGAAUUUAGUACCAUUAUAGACACUAUUGGGAGCAUCCAAAACAAAUGAAGAGCCAUAUGGUAGUUUUUAGGGUACUUCCACAAGGAAUCAAACCAGGAAUCUUCUCUAUCCCCACCCCAACACCUUACUACUUGAACUAGGCCUCAAGGAUUAACAUCGUAUAUCCACCUUAAGAGAAGCAGGGUGUUAAAUGCUACGUAAUAAAGCAUUAGCAUUAUCAAGGACCCCUUGUCAGUGCAUUAAUCCAAAUGAAGAGAUUUAAGAUUAAAAACUUUGUCAAAGCAGCACAAGACCUGAAAUAGAGGGUUUUUUUUUUUUGUUAGGAUGCAAAUCUUGCAAGAGAGGUAGUGUGCUUUUCUUUUUUUUGGUGGGCUUAGUGGCAGAGAGAGGAAUUUGAAGUAUUCUUCAGAGACAUGGAAGCAAUAAAUUUUGAAUUUAGAGUGACCAAAACUCUAAUCGAAUUAGAUAAUCUAUUCUCAAUCCAUGAACACAAGCCAAAACAGUGAUUAAAACUCUAACUGAAUUAGACAAUCUAUUCUCAGCCCAUGAACAGAAGCCAAAGCAGCAGGGCAUUAUAGGACUUAUAAUAAGACAGAAGAAACUCAUUUAUUGCAUAUUAGGAGCAUAGAUGAUAAUUGAAAGGGUUCUACCUCUUUGCAGAUGACAUAAAUAUAACUAGCAAAAAAAAAAAAGAAAAGAAUACAGACAACUAACUAAAGGUAUCUGAAUUCAAAUGACUCAAAAUAAGAGAGGCAUCACUAUGUUCAAAAUGAGGAGCUUAAACAUACCUCUCGGGAGUUUACUAUAUCCAAAUUUCCAAGAAAUAGAUUAAGAUACCCUUGCAUUGCAACCUUUGCUCUAUCAGAAACAGAAUUCUGCCUUCCCAGGGCUGGCCGAAUGAUUGGCAGAGCAGCACUAGAUGGAAUAUCUCUGGAAAAAAAAAAAAAAAGGCCACCCAUAAGAACUCUAGCAGUACACAGAUGUGCUUUAUUUUUAGCAUCCAUCUGACAAGAACAAGAUCCAGCAAUCACCUGUUUUUAACACUUUCAUCAUGAUGUAAAGGAACAGUUUCCUCAUCAGGUUCAUCAUCAUCAUGCACGACUGCUGUGUGCUCUCCUAUUCCUAUGUUUUGAAGCCAUUCUUUAACCUUUAAAUGUUAAAUAAAAACUAUAUCAAAAACCCCACACCUUCCCAACUAAACAAUAAAUGGGAGAAUCUUCCCGAACUUACGUUAUCAGAUACAAUAAAAAACAAGGAAAAAAGAAUGAAGCACACCUGCUCUUGCUUCUCUUGAAUUUCCUCGAUAAUUACUCGUUUUUUUAACGCAAAGUGUAAAAAGAAUACUUGUGAAGCUUUCUUUAUUAACCGCCACUUGAACUGAAGUAUAAGAACAAAAGAUUAGUACACCAAAUUUUAAGGUGUUCACUUCCAACAAAAAGGAAAAGGCACCACUAUGUAUUGGGGACAGAAAAAGGAAAAGAAAUAAGAGAAAUAUCACACUGACGGAGAAUAAAAACCUAAAUUUUGUACGGUAUACAACAACAUGAAAAUCGUAUUCAGAGUUGAAAAUUCAAUAAAUUUCCACUAUAAGAUUGUUGUUGAUCUGCCAGCAUUAAAAGAAAAUUAUCAUUAUCAUUGUUACCGUUCUCAUUGAAGGAAGAGGACACACCUCUCUCCUAGGUGUCUCAUUUCACACUUGCCAUAUGUAAAAUGAUGUAAAUAACUGUAUUUUACCCUUAUGAUACAAAAUGAAAGAAUGCAAUGAUAAUUACACAAUAAUAAUCCUACAAAACUUCUUUUUGUGCAUGUUACAUCUACAUGCUUGACAUUUACCAAAUGUUAAUUCCUAGUGUUCAUGUACGAGUUUCACUAUCAUGGCCAUAGCAUGUGUAUGCAUCUACUGUGAAUAUUAAAGGCUAUGUACAGUAGGGCACCAAAAGUAAGUGGCCUAACCUGUUUUAUAAUUUAUCAUGCUUGAACUCCACAUAACAAUAAAGAAAAUCACAUUGAUUGACAAAAAAGGUAAUGAUCUUACUUAGCAUGAGUGAUACUCAUUUCCUUGCAAAUGAAAUGGAUAACAAUGCAGUUGAAUCAAUCAUAUAAUUUUAAGUUUAAUUCAUUUAUCACAAUCUUGAACCUAAAAACCCCAAAAAGACUGAUAUCAGCUUAUUCAAUAAAUCAAUUUUAAUCAAGUCAAUGUGAUUUGAACCUAACCUAAGUUUCCAACCAAGAAACCAUCUAAAGUUGCCGAAUUCAACUAAGCUCAACCUCCGAUAAAAUAAUCAUCAAACGCUAUUGCCUUCGGUUUCAAGAAACCGAGGGUUAUUAAGAACUUAUAAAAUCGGAAAAUAACAGCAACUCUAACCCCAACCUGGAAUAAAAAUCAAAAAGGAACUCCAAAUUAUUGUUCAUCUGACUCUUUUCUUUUUCUUUUUCUCGCAAAGCAAACAGAGGCGUAAAAAAUAAAUCCAGAGAACAACAAUGAAAAAUAAAAAUAAAAAAACGAAACGAUCUUGCCUGUUUAUAUCGGAAUUCAAUGGUGUAAGUUAACAGCGCGGGGCUGAUGUCGCUGGCAUCGGGCCGAGAGACGAACACGAUUGUGGCCUUGGGCAACUCGUCGAAAAUCCGAGUUGACUCCGGGCUCUGGCGGAAGCUGAAGAACGACGAUAUCGUCGACGGCAUCGGCUCCGAUUGCAUUUGAAUGUAGCGUGCCCCAGCGCCGGACAUCAAGUCCUCCGACGCCAUUGAUUCCGAUCAGACUCUGAAGUCUCUCAGUCCCUCCCCUGAGAAUUUUGAUUGAAAAUAGAGAGCCGUUCAACGCCUUGUUACGAUGGCUCCGGAUCCAAGUUCCAGAGAGAGAAAGCAACAAAGAGAGAAAGGGCCGGAAAUUGUUGGUUUUGGUUUUGCUUCAAAUAAAAACAACUGCUCUACAACUACGUCAAAAUCUGGAAACUCAUAUUGAAUUUUGCCAUUUCAUGUAUAUGGGUUUCGGAUCUAAUACAAUCCGGAUGGUUCAAUGAUCCGAACCGGAAAAUUCAUAUCGGAUUCUUAAUCCAACGAAACUUUUAAUCACGUUUGGCUGCCACGCUUCCACGUGUCUCCCAUAAUUUUCAUCAUCUAUGAGAUGAGGGAAGUAGGCACGCCUGAACUAAUGUUUUGAAAACUAUAUACUAUUUUCACCAAGUUUCUAGACGCUUCCCUAUAAAUUAUAAUUGGGAAAUUUCCAAAUUAUCCUUCUUAUUUUUAAUUAUUUCUUAUAACACAGUAUAUAAAAUAAAAUAAAAAAUAUCUAAAAUUUAUUGACUCGAAAAAUUAAUUUUUAUUCUACAAAACGAAAAGUUGUUUUUAAGAAGAGUGUUAAAUGUUCAGAGUUUUUUAUUGGUCUGUACAAAUUUUCAGAGAAGGAAUAUUAGUUGAUACACAAAGGAAGAUGCCACCAUAUUCCCCCUUUGGUAGUUGCCUUGAUUGACUUGGAAAUGAUUGAACCAAAGGAAGUCGGUGGCUCGCAGUCGCAGACACCUAUUUCUUAAUUAUUAUUUAAGAUAUAUAUAUUUUCUCUGUUGGUUUCGUGCCAGACUUGUAGAUGAAGCAUGGCAAGCAACCAAACUGGCAUGCGAUGCAUGAUUAAAUUAUUUCAGAUUUCGUGAAUUAAUGGAUAAAAUUAUGGGUUCCAUGUAACCAUUUUAUUUAAUCAUCUUCCAAGGGUUUAUCGCUUAUUUUUAACAUUGGGUACAAAUUAAUUUUUGUUAAGCACACUUUUCUCUUGACAACAAGAAUAUGACAUAAAAAAAUUAUGAUAUCAAAUUCAAUAUCAUACCAAAAUUUCAAUAUAGAUGGUUGAAAUGCAGAAUGAAAUCUAAGUUAUUUAAUGAGGGUAUAAAUAAGUGAAAUCAAAAUAGAAAGUAAUAGAAUAAGGUAUAAAUAGGAUCAAAGUGUAAAUAUGGCACAUUCUCAUUAGUGACCCCUUUUCAAGUACUGGUUCAAAGGGAUGAUUUCAGCCAUUAAAAUGUAUGUUUUGUUAUUUUUAAAUCGCAGCUUAAUAUUACAACUAUAGUAUAUAUUUAGAGAAGGUGGGAGGGUCGUGGAAUUUGUUUGCUUGGGAGUAAUGGUAACUCAAUAUAUGAAUAUGUGCCCAUAUUGGUUUACAGCUAGAUGGCAUGGGGCAAAGAAUUGGACCACAUGGAUAACAGCCAAAAUAUUUUGGGCAUUGGACCACAUUGGGCUCCCAGGGGCUUCUUUCUAAAUACAGCAAAUUUUGAAAGUUAUUUUUAAAAAAUGAUAAUAUUUUGGAGGGAUUAUAGGAGCUUGGCUGAUAAGAUCAAGAACCACCUGGAUGGUGCUACCAUCAAAAUUUGCAAAGCACAAUCUCAAGAAUAACAGCAAUCCACAUCCCGAAUUGAAUCUUGAGGCUUAAAGCAUCAAUUGUUUUUAGCAAUCUUGAAUUCAUAACAAUAACUCGUCCCAACCCAGCGAAGCACAGAGGUAAGUAGCCCUGAUACUAAAAUCCAAAAAUAAAUAAACAUUUAAAAAAAAAAAAAAAAAGAUAUGCUACUGUUUGAAUAUACCGUUCCAAUUUCGGAAAAAAAUGACCUCAAUGCAUUAAGGUGCAACGGGACUCAAGACAUUUUUAGCCGCUGCUUUGUAAUCGGCUUUGAGCAAAGCAGCAAGAAGAGAACAAGACAAACAAGAUCAACUCCAAACAUUAUGAACAAAGCAAACUUUUAAGACCCAAAACUGUGCUUUCAACUAAUACGAGUAAAUUCUUAUGUUUAACUGAAGCAUGCACACAUAAUUUAAUGGUUCGCUGAAAUCAUAAAUGAACAAAGCACUCAACAUAUGGGAAAGUACCUAAAACUUAAUAGAGGUUCAAGAUUUCUUAUAAAGAAAAAAUUGGCCACAAAAAGAGAACAAUAUUGGAUUAAGAACAAAAUCCUACUGCAGAAAACCAAGAGAUUGUCAUCUGUUGUUAUCAGUUCUUCAAUGUUCAUGGUAGAGGCACCUCUCAUCACUUCUUGGCCUUUUUAGUUCCCCUACAAGAGAGAGAGAGGGGUUAGAUCCACCUGUUUCAAAUAGAUGGAUAAAACAAAAUUUCACAUUUCUUACUCAGCAGGCUGGGGUGCAGAUGCUGGUGGUGCCCUUUCCACAGGUCCCUGAGUACAUUAAGACAUGAUUAUAAUUCACAAGGUCAUCUGAAUAUAAAAAUACAAACUACACAUAUGCCUAUACUUCUGUGCAGGUUGGUUUUAAACAUUACAAAUGCUUCUAAAGUGUACAUGGGGCUUGGGAUAUUCUAGCACCUAGCAUUCACACAAGCUCAUUUUCAUUAUCCUUGCAAUAUCUCAUAUAUCAUUAACUAAAUUAAGCUAAAAGAAACAAUGUUGAUCUUUUUUCAUAGAUCAUUUUUGAGCAUCCAACAAUCAAAGAUACUUUCAAGCUUAUAAAGGACACUGUGGAAAGAAGAGGUUUGUACUCUCAUCAUACCUGGGCCAGGCGCUCCUCCCUCCGAGCUAGCUUCCUUUCUCUGCUUGCCUUGUUCUUAGCACGCUUAGCCUCAAACUGGUCAGAAAGAGUUUUUUCUCUUGCCUUUUCAGCCUUCGACUUGUGGAUACUCUCCAUUAGCACCCUCUUAUUCUUAAAGACAUUACCUUUCACUUUCAUGUACAUGUCAUGGUACAUGUGCUUGUCAAUUUUUUUGGACUCCCGAUACUUGCGGAGCAAGCGCCUCAGUACACGCAUUCUCCUCAUCCAAAGGAUCUUAGUGGGCAACCUUGCCUCCCUUGUACCCUUGCGUUUACCUGAAAAAAUUCACACAUUAUCAAGCUUCAUUAUGGUCUUAAGCUCUUCAAUCUGAAUCAAUGUGAAGAGGGAAAUCCAACCGGUAACUUAUCUAGAGCAACCUAGCACAUGCAUUAUCUAACUUGGGCAUAAAGAAAAUGAAAUAUUGAAAGCAUGGUAAAGUUAAUAAUUUCUGUCUUCACAUGGAGAAUUGUUUAUUCUCCUCUUCCCAUGGGAAUAGACAUGUCCAAAGAUGUCAGGUACAUGCACCACAAAUUGUGAGACCAAAUAUAUUCCCAUUCUAUAGUUAACAUAUUUUUAAAAAAUAAAAAAAUUAUCAUAUGAGUUAAAGUUUUAUGAUAUGAUUGUAACAAUGAAUACCAGAAAAUAUGAGGCAUGUAACCAUAAUUACCAGCAAAUAUGAGGCAUUCACUUUGUCUUGAGACAAACAAAAAAGGGUGCAAAAUUCAUGAGUCUUCAAAAGUUAAACUAAAGAUUGUUGGACAUAAAUUUAAAACAUGUAUAACAUUCAUUGUAGUUUUUAAAAAAAAUAAAAACACAAGAAAAAGAAUGAGAAAAUAAGGGCCUUAAAACAAAAAAACAAAUACAAAUACAAACAAUAAAUAAACACUGUUUAAAAACAGGAAACACAAAACAAAGAACACAUCCAGGUAAGCACCAUAAUGAGUUGCCAAAGCUAGUAAAAAUUUUCCCAAUACUUGGCAUCAAGACUUGCAAACAGCAAUUGAGAAAACUAUUGCAAAUGAAGAAACCAAUUACACAUAAACAACUGUUCUUCAUUUCAUAAGUCUAAAACCAAGUAAAAAAGAAAUGUCAUGCAUAAACACCUGUUGAUUUGAAAUGACAUUCAAAUAAAGGUUAUGUACAUCAACUGAUUCAUUACUGUACAUUGCAUCUAUAAAGAUAUGCAGCCAUUUAACCAUGACCCUAUACAUUUAACAAUUAACCAUACCAUAUCCAGAGUGACGUCCCUUUCUCUUGGCCUCCUUCAUUCUCCGUGCCCGAGAUCGAGAGUGGAUCUUAGUUGGCUUCCUGAUGAUAAAACCAUCUUUCACAAGUUUCCUUACAUUUUGCCCUGCAUUAGCAAUCAUUGAGGAUACCAUUACACAAAAAUGACAAAUAGAACUCUUGCAUGGACAAUUAGUUUGAUUUUAGAAAUAAAAGAUUAACCAAAGUAAUAUAUUUUUCCCUGCAUUAGCAAUCAUUAAGGAUACCAUUACACAAAAAUGAUAAAUAGAACUCUUGCAUGGAGAAUUAGUUGGAUUUUAGAAAUAAAAAAUCAACCAAAGUAAUAUACUAAAUCGACAAAUGAUAAGUAUCAAAGAUUAAUAUAAGGCCCCACAAACAAUCAUUUAGAAUAUGGCUUUGACCCAAGCUUCAACAGCAAAUUAUAUAUAAAUAUAUAUGAAAUAAGAAUUCAGCAAACCAAUUCCAUUAGAUGACCCGAGAUCAUCUACAUUUUCACAAAAAAACACACAUCAUAUUAUUGAAGGAAGAUACCAAAGUUAUAAGGAAAACCCAAAGAAAUAAGAAUCACAGAACAAAACAGCACUCCCCCCCCCCCCCCCAGCCCCAGCCCCAGCCCCACCCAAACCAAAAAAAAAAAAAAGACAACGAGGAGAAAAUAGAAUCAAGUACAGCAAGAAGAAGAAGAAAGAGGAGUAUCAGCAAGAUUUUGAUGUUGGACGAGCUUAAACAGGCAAUUUUCAAAAACAACUUCCAGCAAAUAAUUGAACCCAAGAAUUACCAAGUCUACUUCUUUCAAUAAGGAUAGUGUUUUAUACUAACAUAAACGUGAUAACCAAUAAGAUUACCACUCUACUUUGCUGUAAGAAUGCACCUAGUAAGGGGAAUUUUUCUUAACAUGAUUAAGAAGAAAUGGAUUUCGCAUGUAACUAAAUGUUCACAGCGAUUCAUCUCAAGAGUACCACGCUACACUACAAAAACGAUAAAAGAAAUAUAAACAGAGAAACAUCAAUCUGCUAAACCACUAAAAUCCACUGUCCAUGAAAGUUCCACAAACAAAAAAAAAAACGCAAAAGGAAUGGAAUCCUUCAACCGUCCCUCCAAAAUCAAAGAUGCUACAAAAGAUUCUAU
rnacentral:lncRNA from 1 species